UGCAAGAAGAAACGAACUAAAAGCCAAUCCAUGGUGCAACCCUAUCUGACUCGGAGUGCUAUAAAAUAAAGUUUGAGAUAAUCGUGGUGUCCCAGUUCGGAGGUGCGAGAGGCUAGCUUCGGAUGGCUUCAGGAGGAGUAGAGGUAGGCCAAAGAAAUACUGGAGGGAGGUGAUUAGACAUGACAUGGAGCAGCUACAGCAUACCAAGGACAUGACCCUAGAUAGGAAGGUGUGGAGGUCGCGGAUCAGGGUAGAAGUCUAGUGUGAGUGUGUGGGUUAUAGCAAGGUGGUAGAAGAGCGCUUGUGUAGCCGAGUUAGUAAUCCUAGGUCUGUGUCCUUGAGUAGGAGCCUCUAGUCUGGGGAGUUUGGUUGUGAUGGGUGUCUUUGGUCUGGGAGUGUAUUGUUACUACUAGGUGGGUGUCCUCUUUCUUAUGUCUUAUUACGAAUUGAUAGUAUUUCGCUUAUUUUCGUAUUUCUUUGUUAUUUAUUUUGUAUUUUAUGUUUAUUAUUUCUUAUUUAGUCUAUGCCAUCCAUCCUGUUUCAUGUUUCAUUACGGCCUUGGUGUACUAUUCUCUAUCUUGAGCUGGGGGUCUAUCGGAAACAGCCUCUCUACUUCUGCGGAGGUAGUAGUAUGGACUGGGACUGUUGUUGUUGUUAAUAAUCGUGAUGUCCGGACCAACUUGCGUGCACCUCGACUAAUAUCAUGGGAAACCUUCCACCUCCACCAGCAAUAGGUACUAGAUACCUCUAUCCACCAAGGAUAGGAAGGAUGGGAAGAAAUCACCUAGAGAUUUUUAGUCUCCGUUGGGAUUUGAGACCUCAUGGUUCUCACCCACUACAUUGACCACUAGGACACACCCUUGGGUGCAAGCUAUAAAAUUAUUUUUAAAUAUUCUAGUUUAUAGUUUCAGGUCAUGUGGCAGUGAUAAAGCUAUAACGCAUACUCAGUGGCACUGGAAUUUCAUAUGAUAUGAAGAUAAAACAUGCUUCAACCUUCUCUUUUGGUUACUUCCAACAUCCUCAGAUUUUUAAUCUUAUACUACCAUCUAUCGUAUUGUUCCAUAUUUUUAUGGAAUCUCCCCAACAAAUAAAAGGAGAGUGAUUAUGCACUAUAUAUGGAAGGAUGCACCAGCAACAAAGUAAACACUUACCUUAAGUUUCAACUCAGCUACCUCUGUAUCAUCACAUACCUCAGUAAUCAGAGCCUGAUGAAAAGCAGUAGAACAAAUAAACAAUCAUGCUUAAAGUCACAGCAAGCAAGAGCUAGUCUAGAAACUUGUCUAAGAUAAGAAAGCAGUAUUAAAAUAAAUAAAUAAAUAAAGCAUGAUUACAAUUGUCUAACGAAGACUAGAAGACAUGAUUUUGACUUGGUUGUCAGAAUUAGUAAAAUGACACUAGUGACUAUGGGAUCGCCAUAAACAUGAGCUGCGUUUUUAAAUCAAACAGAAAAAUGAGAAACAUUUACAUAAUCACAAAUUCAAAACUAUGUCUGACAAAGAUUGGCCGAAGUUGCAAGAUUUCUUAGUUUCUACAUAGUUCAAUUUGCAUUUGAAUGGAAAUGGUGAAAAAAGGAAAUCCAUAGAACUCAUGCUUUAAUACAGAAGGACCAAUUAAGUAAAUUAAAAGUUAAGCAUCAAGCAUAUCAUGAUAAAUAAUCACCACAAGGUACAUACGGCCCCCAAUAAAAAGGAAGAAAAGAAAAAAAAAGGCAGUGAGACAUUCUAACGUCCAAAGAGAUAAACCAACCUUGAAGUUACCAGUUUCAAAAAAAGAAAAAAAACAGAGAUAAACCAACCUCAAAACCCUUUGGAAAUGUUGUUGUUGGCAGUGGACUACUCUCCGUUGGCACUUUUUUGUGGCUAUCUGCAAGAACAGCUCCUUCAGAUCAAGAGAGUUAGGCCUAAAAAAGUUAGAUGUGACAAAAUAAAGGAAACUAGAUGACUACUUUCCACUCUUUAUCAGAUAACAAAAUGAUAAGUUUUAGAUUCCAAUAGGAGAUCCGCAUACUGCUCGAAAUGAAUUAAUAGGUUGUGAUUGAAAGCAUAACAGUAUGUUAGAUUAUCAAAAAGUACCAACACAUCAAAUAAACCAAGGAUGAUAUGUGCAUUCAAUGCACUAUCCAAAUGGAAACUAGAAAAGAUUAGCCCCUAGAUACUGAUUCACACCUGAUGCGAUAACAAAUUAACUCACCAUCAGAUUUCGCUGUCACGGUUGUUUCAGAUGUCUUUGCACAAGACAGCAUCAAUCUACCAUGUUUGUUAGGAGAAGACAUGAACCUUGCACCAUUUGAGGAGUCCUUUAGGGUCAACUUAGUAAACUUGGAGAAGGCAAUACUAUUUGUUGGAAUAACACCAGGCAUUUCAAUUCCUGACCUCACAUGGGAAGUGGUACCAACUGAAUCUAUCAGAAACAGUAAAGUAGGAUAACAGAAAGAUUGAUUAGAACUAUUGGAGGAUAUCCCACAUGAAACAGAUAGCUAGAGCAGACCUAUUGGCAAGCAUUUAUGCAAGAAAAUAGAUUGGCACCAGUAAGGUAAUUGAGAAAUGGAUACAGUGAAUGCCAAAAGCUAAAAGGAACUUUAGGAUACAGUGAAUGCACAAAAACAAGUAAAGCUGAUUAUAUGCUUAUGCUAGAAAAAUAUUGGCCCUUCUUUUUGUUCAAGCAGAAGGAGAAACAUUACUUUUGUCCUUUCCUGGAUCAACAUCAGUUAAUACUCAUUAAUUAAGAUUCUACCUCAUGUUUUUCUGGCUCAAUUGCACAUUAGUCCCUAUAUUCAGCAGAACUGAAAGUAAAUUGCACGAGAAGAUCUUGCAGCAGCAUCAAUCAAGAACCACUAGUUUGAAGUUCCUCUUAGAGACUAAGCUGAUAACACAUAUUUACUGCCACAAGUUUCUGAUCUUCAAGUCUUAUAAAAUCAGGCAUAAAAGAAAGAACACUGUAUAGCCACUACACAGUUUAAAAUAUCAUUCAAUGCCAUUAUAAAUCCACGAAAACUAACAGCAGAGAAGAAAACAUACAGAUAUCUACAAGCUAUAAAGCUCACUUCAAUUGCAUAAUUAAUGCAUUUAAACCAAUGUCAGUCGGAUCUGAGAUGAAAAUAAGGUAGCUAUCAUUUAUUGUCAAUGAGAGAUAAAAAGAACCUAAUUCUAACAACUUAAUCCUUCAACAUGAACAGAAAAAAACUGCAGAUAAAAAUACAUGGGUACAUUAACAUAUAAAACCAUUCAAUGUAAAUCUUACGGUGGAAGGAGCGGAGAACGACGGCGGACUCCAUCUGGUUAGCAGCUCUGAACGGAGAAAACGAUGAAGAAAUUGGAGAUAUUAGAGGGAAAAUGGAAAAUGAGAGUUAGGUUCGGCGCUUAGCACAGUUGCGACAUAUAUUACUAUGAGAAGCUCUAUAUUGCUAUUAUCUUUCAUUGAGAGGUCCGCCAACUUAUAUUUCUUCACCCAUUUUCCCACUGUUUAGUUGCACCAAACCAGAUCUUUAUUAAUCCUAAUUAAAUUUCUUAAUAAAAAUUAAAAUAAUAUAUUUACAGCUGAAAUUUAUUUUUCCCUCUCCAAUCUUGCGGAAACAAUUGUACUUUCCCUUUAACUAUGGAUAAAAUAUUUUUUUCCUCUCAUAUCUCAAACAAUGCUAUUUUAAGUUCUUUUUGUCUUAUCGUAAAGGCUUCAUUCAAAACGUGCAUCAUUUUAUUUUAGAAUGUAGUUUUAAAGUCACUAGAAGUAUAAAAAGUACAUAUUUUUUGAAUUUGUAAGAAGUUACAUUUUUAUUAUUUUGAUAUUAGAAUUAUUAGUUAUUCAAGUUGGUCUUAAAAAAUUAAUUUUUUAAGAACUACUAUUUUGAUAUUAUGUAUAUUAGCUUUUUUGUUAAAAUAAUGUAUUUUAGUAAUUCGGGAUUUGUUUUUCUCCUUUUUUUAAAAAAAAAAAUCAAAGUAAAAUUUAGUUUUCAUUACUGAAUACAUUCAUACAAAAGGAAAUUUAGUUUCUUACUCGUUUUUAACAAGUUUUUUCGUUAUUUAAAUCAUUAUUUCAUAUGUUAAUACCCACAAAAAUACAGGAAGUUUAACCAAAUUUUCAGUGGAGCAUAUUGAACUUUGCGAGGGUCCUAUUACCCCCUAUACUUUUUAAAUUGAAAUUAAUUCCCCCGAACUUUUUUAAAGUGGAAUUAAUCUCCCUUCAACAUUUUUUCACAAUUAUAACCAUAUUAAAUAUUCCAAAUGAUUCCAUUGAGUUUAUGAAGAAAGCUUUUUCAAAUAAUUGAAUGAAAUCUUCCAUUAAUUUUUCAUUGAAACUCGGAAGAUUCAAUUAGCGAAUUUCAUUAAUGGAAGAUUCAUUGAAACUCGCUAAUUAAAUGGAACUUGCUAAUUAAUGGAACUCAAAAGAUUCAAAAAAUUUAAUUUCAUGAUUCAAUUUCCAUUAAUGGAACUCGGAAGAUUUGAAAAAUUCAUUAAUGGAACUCGGAAGAUUCGAAAAAAUUAAUUUCAUGUAUGAAGUUAUUCAAUCUUCCGUUAAUGGAACUCGGAAGAUUCAAAAAAUUCAUUAAUGAAACUCGGAAGAUAUGAAAAAUUUAAUUACAUGUAUGAAGCUAUUCAAUCUUCCGUUAAUAGAACUCGGAAGAUUCAAUUUUCAUUAAUGAAACUCGGAAUUAAAUUAGCAAGUUUCCGAGUUUGAAUCUUUCGAAUCAUCCAUUGAGUUUCAAUUAGCGAGUUCCNNNNNNNNNNNNNNNNNNNNNNNNNNNNNNNNNNNNGACGAAAGAAGAAAGAAGAAAGAAGAAAGAAGAAAGAAAAAAUAAAUAAAAAUAUAAAACUUUAAAUAAUUAUAAAAUUAAGGGACUGUUUGGUAAAAAAAAAAGAGUUUAAAACGUUUUUAACACUGUUCACGCACUCAGUGCGCGUGAAUCACACGCAGUGUGCCAAGUGGUUGAUAUAUGCCAUUAAAAUACGAAAAACAAAAGUCUGGGGGUAAUAGGACCCCCGCAAAGUUCAGUAUGCUCAACUGGUAAUCCAAUCAAACUUUAGGUAUUUUUGUCGGUAUUAUCCCUUCAUUUUUCUAUUGUUUUACUCCAUAAAUAACUUUGAUUUGGUAUUAAAGGAAUAAAAAUUUAAAAUAUUACAAAAUAAUAAAAUUAAAUUAUUCAUAUCGGUAGUUUCAUUAAUGCACUUUGUGGGAAUACAUUGGGUUUGGUGGUGGUGGUGGUGGUGGUAGUUUCAUUAAUGCUAAUUAAAACUAAAAUAUAGAUCCACCAAAAUGAAAAAUAAAAGUCAGAAGUGUAUGUAACUAGAGAAAAUUGAAGAAAAGGUGUCAUUUAAUCUUAAAAUGAAGGAUUGGUGACAUUGACCAACACAAAGGGUCAAACAUAAUUAGAAAACUUGAUUAAGUUAAUUAUAGACGAUUAAUAUUUUUAAAAAUUUCUAAUUUUUUUCAAAAAUACAAAUCAAACCACACCCCUCUCCUCUCUAAAUCAUCAAUUGUCUCUCUCCUUUCUCUUUCGACAGUUUCUCCCAACUAACAGUUCUGCAAAUUGCUCCUUUCAAUCCCUGGGGACUUCAACCUCCAGCUACAAAUAGUUGGGCUUUGAUUUUUUUUUCGAAUUUCAACCGUCAAUCGACGAGACAGUCUUGCUCUCCGGCAACAACAGUUUCGAGUUCUUCAUCGUCCCUUUUUCUUCUUUCACAGAUAAAAAAUUAUGGUCUUUUUAGUUUUAAAGAAAAAGAAAAACUUGAGCCAACUUCUCUUCUAGUAUUGAUUAACAAUUUCAAUAUUUGUUGCUUUAAUUUGAAAUGCGAUAUGAAUAAAAUUCUAAUUUCUGAUAUUUUUUCUCUUCUCUUUUCAGAGUGAAAUAUAAUCUUUUGUUAUUUGUUGCAUUUUUUUUUAAAUUUGAUUUUCGUUGUUUAUGUUUAUACAAACAAAACAAUGAUGUUGGUAUUUUUGGUGUUGCGUUCGCUGCUGGGUUAAUUUGUUCUUGUUCUUGUUUUCGGUAAUAAUGGUGAUAUUGUUGUUGCUCUAUUGAACAAAAUCAUGCUACUAUUUUUUUCUACAACAGAUUAACUAUCUGAUGCAACAGAUUAACCUUCUGACGCAAUAGAUUGAUUAUCUAAUGCAAUAGAUUAACCUUCUGACGUAACAGAUUAACCAUCUAACACAACAGAUUAACCAUUUGAUGAAGUAAAUUAACCAUCUGAUACAACAGAUUAACCAUUUGUUGCAACAGAUUAACCAUUUGAUGCAACAGAUUAAACAUUUGAUGUAAUAGUUUUACAAUCUGAUAUAAUAGAUUAAAUAUUUGUUGCAACAGAUUUACCAUCGGAUGCAAUAGAGAAAUCAACCAAUUUAUAAUUUGAUGCAACAGAUCAACCAUCUGAGGUAAUGUAGAGAUCAUCUGAUUAAAAAUCUAAUGCAAUAGAUAAACCUUCUGAUAGUUAAAAUCCUACCAACUAUUCCAACAAGACAUGUCUAAGACUUGAUUUUUUCAAUUGAUCAUUCAUCUGUUGUGAUAGACGACCCUUCUAUUGGAGGAAAUCUAUACAAUAUUGACCAUUGAUAACAGUUCUAAUAGAUUCCUCAUAUGUUACAACAGAUGUGUGAUCUGUUGCACAGACCAGACAUCUGUUUCAAUAGAUGAGUGAUCUAUUUUUAUUAUUGCAACAGAUUACUCAUCCAUUUCAACAAGUUAGUUAUAUAUUCCAACAGAUUACCUACCUGGUGCAACAGAUAUGUGAUCUAAUGGAACUAUUAUUUUACUGUUGUAUAUGUUAGAUAUAUUGUUAUUCUUUUUUAACGAUGCAUUAUUCAAUUAUAAUCUACCUGUUAUUUUUAGAUUAGAUGGCUCCUAAAAGUCCAAGUAAAAGAACAAGUGAUGCAGCUAGGCUACAUCCACCACUCUAUAAGCUUGCUAAGCGUUAUCUCAAUCAAGAGCAGAAUAUGAUGAACAUGGGAAGGAGGAAUGUUUCAAAAGAGAUGAUCCAAAUACAAAUAGCCCUUCAACCGAAGAGUUAGUCAAAACCUUCUGCAUUGAUCGUUAUCCUGUUAGAAUGCAGUGCGAUGGUGCCAUAGAUUUAACGGGUGAUUUCGUGGUUAAGUUAGCCAUGGAAAAAUCUUUCGAUGCUUUCAGAAAAAUACUUCAAGAACAAAAAUUAGAUGUUUAUUUUAGGGGCAGCUGCUUUGGGCAAUAUCUUGAUUUGCCAGAGGACAACAGUGCUCGUUUCUAAAUAAAAAUAGUAUAUGAUCUUCUCAAGCGUAGGUUUAUAUAUGAAAAUAAAGAUAAGAUGGAUGAGGUAUGGAUAAAUUAUUGUGACAUGCCUGUUUAUUUUGGUUGGAAGGAGUUUUCCAUAGUUACUGGACUAAAAUAUUAUCCUCCAUCUCCUUCUCAAGUUAUACCUAUUCUAACCCAAAAAAGUACCCCGCACACCCAAAAAAGGCAAAGGCAAGUCGAGUGAUCGUGAUGACCUGGUGUCCAUUGUUGCGCCAAGCUUCAAAAAUAAAAAUUUGAUAGAAGCGUUGAAAGGUAAAAGAAUUUCAAAGAAGAACAAGCAAUCAUUGUGCUUGGUUUGGUUUGUACAUAAUAUUUUUUUGGCGAGAGACGUUAACAACAACAUAAGUGUUGGUUUAAUAAAGCUAUCCGAGGAUCUUGAGGCAUUUAACAAAACUAUCCUUGGGGUUAUGAAAGCUUCAAAAUGACUGUUAAAUAUUUGUUGACUCCGUUAAUGCCAAAGAUAGUCAACUUAUAUAUCUUUCCACGGGCUUUCAUGAUAAAUAUUUCUUUUAUUAUGAUAUGAUUUAUUUUUUUUAUUCAAUAAUGGUUUUAAUUUAUUGACGUUAUUUUAUAGGUUUGGGCAUUUGAAGUCAUUCCUUAUUUGAGACGACAAGUGAACUACCAGAAAAAAGUUUCAUAUCCAAGAAUCUUGAGAGGGUUGUUGGCCAAAACUAAUAAAAAUGUAAAAUUUCUUGAUCUCUUUAACUCCCCGAAGGAUGCAGUGAGUAUAAUUACAGUUAAAUUUUUAUUUUAAUUAAUGAUAUUUUUGAAUGAUCUCAUCAUCAUUUUAAUAUAUGUAAUGAUUUAUGUUAGAUUGCGCACCCGUGGCUUGUUCCGACCAAUCGAGAGUUGAAGAUGCCAUUUUUCUUACUUUAUGGUCUAUACAAACUUUAUCGGACUCUAAGAUCAUUAACAGAAUAAAAAUAGAAUUGUUGGGAGCAACAACCAUCACAAGAAAAAUAAUUUGAAGGGUGGGCUUGUUGUUGUUGUUGAUGGUCUUAGUGGUGAUGGAGCUGUCGGUGGUGAUAGUGGUGAAGCUAUUGGUGUUGAUGAUGCUCCUCUUAUAGUUUUUAAAACAAACCAUUAUGAGUAUGAUCGUGCUUGUUAUAUAGAUUUUGUCUCUCCUAGCAAAUAUUCUGCAUGCAAAUGUCAAGACUGUAAGGCAAAACAUGAUGUAGUGAUUAAUGCUAUUAAUGCAUUAGCUACUUCUGUAAAGGAAGUGACAUCUAAGAAGGGUGUCAUUCCAUCAAAGAGGAUUUUAUAUCUAUCUACUUUAUUAGAGAUUAAGCCUAAGAGAAGAAGGAAAGUAAUUUCCAAGGCAUUAUCAAGCAUCCAAAAAAGCAAAAUUGCAACUCCUCUGUCCGUGUGUUGCACUUUAAGCAAUGUACAAAGGCCACAACAGAGCAGCACGAGUUGAAAAGGGUGAAUAUAUAUCGUCUGUUUCAACUAACAGACAUAUAUCUAUUUUAACAGAUGACACAUCUGCUGAAAAUUAUCAAACAAAUAUAUACAUUUGUUGCAAUAGUUAACUAACCUGUCCCAUUAGAUACAGUAUCUGUUGUAAUAUAUGUCUCAUCUAUUUUAGUAAAUCAAAUAGCUCUACGUAUCAUUUUUAUUUAUACCAACAGAUGACCUAUCUGCUACAAUGGACUGGUCAUUUCUUGGGACAAAUUAAAUCAAGAUUUCCUACCAUUUUAGUUUUUCCAAACAGAUGAGUCAUAUGUUGCAAUAGAUGGUUCAUUCAUUGGAAAUUAUCAUAUGGGUCUUCCUCAUCUUAUAAUUUGUCCCAACAGUUGAUCCAUCUGUUGCAGCAGAAAUAUAAUCUAUUUGGGAUAAUUUAAAACAAGAGGAAGACCUAUUUUAUUUGUUAAAACAAAUGAGUUAUCCUUUUCUGUUUUUUGUAUCUAUGAUUAGCAUUGACCAAUUCUAGCUUUCUAGGUGGAUGUUACUGUAGAAGCUACUGCUAAACAACAUUGAUAAUAUGCUAUUCUUUUUAUGGAAAUACGGAGAAGCGAAAGCGCAGAAAUCGUAUGCAAGCGACAAUAAUGAUCCACGAUGACCAAAGUCAAAUUCCAUAGCAUAGGAUGAAGAACAACUUGUCCAUAUUGAAUAAAUAUUUAUAGCUUGAGUCUGUCAAAGUAAUAACCUCACCCCUCCUUAGGAAUUAUUGGCAUCAAAACUUAAUUUGUUGAUUUAUUUGUUGAGAUCUAUACCCAUAACAACUUUUUUAUAUUUUAUUUAUUUGUUGAUUUAUUUCAUAUAAUUUCUUAAGGCUUCGAUUUAUUUUAUUUUUUCUAUGAAUUUUAUUUUACCCUUAGAUUUGAACUUAUUAAUUGAAAUGGGAUACUAGAUUCAUAUAUUGCAACAGGUAAGGUAUUUGUUGCAACAGACGACAUAUCUGUUAGAAAUUAUCAAACAGAUUUAUACAUAUGUUGCAACAUAUAGGUAAUCUGUCAAAAAUUAUCAAACAGGUCUUUCCACUGUUGCAACAGAUAUACUUAGAUAUAAAUAUUGACAUAAUGCAACAGAUGACCAACCUAUUACAACAGAUAAAUUAUCUGUCAAAACAGGUAGAAUAUUUAUUACAACAGAUGGACAAUCUGUUGCAUUAUAAAAAAUUCAACUUGCAUUAGACAUAAAAAAUUGCCACUACAUGUAAAGUGAAGUGACAAUAAAAAAGGCGGAACCCAUUGACAGGCACCUAAAGUUGUAGUGAUCUUUCACUUUGGUAGCUCGGGUGUAAUUCACGCAGCCAAGGCUCGUUAAACCCCCAUUUUUGCUGACUUGACGUCUGAUUUGGCCCCUAACGGUUAUUUUUCCUCUUAUAUAUUCAUCUUCUUCCUAAAAAUUAACCCUAAAUUGCCAGAUGUUCUUCUUCAUCAUCUUUUUUUCUCUAUCCAAAUUCUUCAAAUUAUUUGUAUUUGGUUUCUCCGCAUAUUUUUUUCAUUUUUAACAACUAAGUUUGACAAUGUCGAGCUCAUCUUUCACUAUUUUUUAUGAUAAAGAUUUUCGAUAUUGUAAGGGUGAUCAUGAAGCUCUAUUGAAUACUUCUUGGACUCAACAAAAUCCAGGUCGUAGGUUUUUUACUUGUAAAAUUUCAAAGGUAAUAUUUUUUUUAUUUAAUUAGUUGAUUAAUUAUUGACUUGUAAUUAUUUUGUAAUUGUGGGCUUAUUUUUAUAGAAGUUUGGUGGAUGUGAUUACUUUGAUUGGUACGAAGAACGACACCCUUCACAAGCAAAUCGUGUUAUCUGAGUUUUGUUGAAGAAAGUCAAGGCUUUUGAAGAGAAACAAAAUCGAGCAAGAAGAUACUACAUUGUUGGCAUUAUUGCUACUGAUUUGGUGUUGUUGGACACAUAGAUAUUCAAAUCUAAUUGCUGAAAUUUUUAUGGUGGUGUAUUUUUCUUUGCUAUUGGUUUGGUGUUAUAGAGCACAUGGAUAUUCAAGCGUAAUUGUUGUAAAAUAUCAAAAAAUUGCCACUACAUGUAAAGUUACGUAUGUAAAGUAAAGUGACGAAAUAAAAAUUGUUAUUUCAGAGGCUCUUCUUUAUACACAGGCUCCAAGCGUGAUACAAAAUAAACAAGGAAGACGUGGAAUCAUACACCAAAAUAGUCCACAAGUUAAGAAACCAAGGACUAUCUUAGUGACUACACUCAGAUUUGCUAGUGAUAACAAUAAUAGAGAGAAUAUCACAUGUUGAACACAAUAAUCAGCCAACCCUAAGCUAAGAUUAACAAUAAUAUAUGAAGCACAAGAUGAACAUAACAAUGUGAACAACAACAACAAGACAAACGACUUACAAUGCAAGAUACCAAACCGUGACAAGAUUACAAAAAUGUAAAUGAUAGAAAGAUAGACAUACACUACUACAAAGUCUAAGAACCUAAUGUGUUCUCAAACAUAAAGACCCUUAACAAUGAAAGUAGCAACACCUACACUCUUCAAAGAACAUAAGAGGGAACUCAAUCCUUCAAGCAUCCAAGGUUCCAAGCAAACAAACAACAAGAGUGAAUUCACACUCUAAUUGUUACCUAGUUUUGGCCAAGCCCCUUUUGGGAGAGAACUUGUGUGUUUCAAGAGUGAGAUACAAUAUUCAAUAUUAAAAAUUUGAAAACUGAAACCCAAGAAUGUUUCUUUUAUAGUGUAUUACAUAAUAAGAGUUAAAAAGACAAAAAGGCCCUUCAAUGAUGGGACGCUCCGCUAGUGCAUAGUGGGCUGGUUUGGUGUGUAUUUAGGUCUUAUUUGCACUUUAUUUUGUACACACCAAGCUUUGGGCCUCGGUCCCAACACAUACUCUCUUAAAUCCAUCUACGUGAUCCCAUUUGUAUCAAAGCGUCCAGUUAGUACCCCAAAAGCCCAGACCUCUUGCAUGUUUGCCAUAAUAUUAUAGCACAGAAAGGUCGUUGGCUCGAUCAUUUUUGUGCCAAUCAACAAACAUUCGAUGUGUGUAAGCACGUGUGACCCGUACGUGUCACCGACUUCAUUUUUUGGAAGGUCCAUGUCCUUGUUUUGACUUUCAAAAUCCCAUGGUUGCUUCACCAACACUUUCAUUGGCAAAUAAUCCAUCAGUUUACUCUGCCUCAAUAAGAUGGGGAACAACUCCAAUAGUAGCUGCUUGUGGGUUAAAAAAUUGGCCUCGUCCAAGGCAGAUAAGUUGCAGUCAUAAACCUUGAUCUUCUCCUUCUCAAGUAGUAUCUCAAAGACCCAAUAAAAUAUACCAUCCACGUGUAUGACUCCAAAAAUCCUUUUUGCCUCGGUCCAGAUCUUAUCGUAUAGAUUUGGCCUCUCCCCUCUAACAUAUUUUAUCAUUUCUUCAUCCCAUUGGAACCCAGAAACUAACGAAUAAAAUCCUGUACCAUCGGGAGUUGAUGCUCGUUUACUGAGAUCAUCAUACCUAUUCUUAAAAUUCUUGUAGAAGUCGAGGUCCAUUAUUCCAUCGGCACCAUCAUAAGCCUCUAGGUAUGCAAAUUACCUGCCCCUCAUGAGGCAGAGAAUUUCUUCAACAUACUGUGAUAUAAGAAGUUAAUUUUUAAAUAGUCUUGUAAUUGUAAAGAAGGAAAGCAUAGUGGGAAGAUGCAACGGAUUGUCCAUCUAUUGUAGAGGGUUCUCUGAAUUUGUUCAUAGAUUACCCAUCUAACACAACUUAUGCAAGAGAUGGGUAAUAUGUUACAAUAAAACUACCAUAAGUUGCACCAAACUACAGAGCUGUUGUAAUAGAUGACACAUUUAUUGUGUAGUUUCUUCUUCAUGAAGUAGAUUAGAAGGCUAGGUUAGGAAAAUUAAACUUACCCUGUCUAUGUACUGCGUACGCAUAUCUGUCAUACUCUUGAAGUCUUGGGUGGAAAAGGUAUGGAUGGGGUAAUUUUGUGCGCUUUGCUUAACAUUCUUGGCCCGUCGCAGAUCUUUCUUCUCUUUGGUGCUAAGUUUCAUGUAUAUGUCCACCUUCUUGAAUAGCCCCUGAACUUCAAAAAAUUUUGAAGAGGGAGGAGUUGCAAUUUUUUUAUUUUUAAUUGGAGAGUACUUGGCUAAUUGCCUUUUUCAUCCUUCAAACUGCCACUGCAGGAGUGUAUGACUCCCUCACCUUCUUGGAUGGUAUGACACCCCAAUUAGAUUUCUAUUCCUCAACAGCUUUAGAGAUAGCCUCUAAUUUUUCAAAGAGUUUAUUCUGGUUAUUCUUGCACUCUUCGCAUUUACAAUGAGAACAUGAGGGUGAAGAGGGGUGAGAGGGACCGGUGUAAGGAUGAGAGGUCUUGUGUAAGGGUGAGAGGGACCUAUGAAAAGAGUGUUUUCAAAUAUAUAUUUUUUAGAACUAACAUGCUCAUCAUGACAACUGGCAGCAACCAAUAUCAACAACUACACCAGCAACACCCCAGAAGAAGCACCCUGAUCUGUUGCAGUAGGUUGGUUAUGAAGAGCCUCAACAUUAGCUGACCUUGCCUAAUUGCUCUUCUUAUGGCUGUUGCUCUAGCCAAUUCCUUCUUAUUAAAUCUACCAUUAGGUUUACUAUUGUAUCAACAAGACCUAGAGUAAUAAUAAAAGUCAUCCCCAACUCCUGCUUAGUAGGCACAAUCUAUGGGUGCACAACCUAUAAAAAAGACAGAUACAUUUAAAUCAUAUAAUAAUUUGCAAUCAGUUGGGUUACAUGUUAACACAAACAACUUAUACAACAAAUAAUCUUUCUAUCACAAUAGCUGAUCUAUGUGUCACAACAUAUUAAUAAUAUAUUGCAUCAGAUUACCCAUCUGUUACAUAAUUUAUAGUAGAUGUGUAAUCUGUUGAGUCGAGUUCAGAGAACCAAAGCAACAGAUGGGUAAUUUGAUGCAAAAUAUGAAUCAUCUGUCAUAACAGAUUACCCAUCUGUUGUAUCAAUUAUAGUGUAUAGGUAAUUUAUUGCAAAAUAUAACCCAUCUUUUGUAAUAGAUGACACAUCUAUUUUAAUAUCGUUCUUUAAGUUAAAUUAUUUUACUCGAAAGAAGAUAUACUGCAUCAUCCGAAGGGUUAAAAAGAUCAACCUUCUUAAUUCUUAUGUAGCUUUUUGUAGCCAACCACCUAAGGAUCCUUGGAUGAGAAACCUCAUCUGAGUAAUCCUUGACCUAUUUUUGAAGGUUUGGCUUCAAAUUCCCAAACCUACAAAAUGCAAAUAGGAGGCAAGCAAAUAAUUAUUCAAUAUAAAUUAAUGGAUGAUUAAACAAAUAGUGAUGAAAUUUACCCUAAAAGCCCAAGAAAGGCUAUAUAAUUUGGUCGUCUUUGGGGAUAGCUUGGUCAGUAAUUAUUCGACAGUCAAGUAGUAGUUGUCAUAUCCUCAGGAAUAAUUGUUGAAUUUCUCAAAAUCCUCAGCAAGCUUCAACAAAUCAUCUUCUAUGACUUUGUAGACGUCUCUUGCCAAUAUAACAGAAUGGGCAAACCAAACUAAGCAUAAUUGCUCCUUGGACAUCUAUGAUAUAGUGUUAUCUUUGUGUAAUGUCUCGAAUCUGGUACCCGGAAUGCCACAUGGUGCUCAUGACACCGAAGGACCAAAAGUUAACCCAUGACUAAUAUCUGUAACUGAGCACUGCAUAACAUACUUUAUAAAUACGGAAUAAAAGGCUGAAAAGCCAUAAGGUUCAAAAAUCUAUUAAAAAAUAACAUCUGGAGAUACGGUAUAUCAAUACCAAAAUAACUAAAAUACCUGUCUGAACAUGCUAGUCUAAAAGCCUCUAAACUAUCUGAAUAAGGAGUUGAUGGGACAUGUCCCCAACUAACUCCAACUGCUGAAAUAAAAUAAGUACUACAAGAAUGAAAUAGUCAAAUAAUAACAUCCUCGAAUGAUGAGGACUCACUGCUAGGCUAUCUAUUAAACGGCUGAUCUACUAAGGAUGCUCUAGAGCUCGUGCUUCUGAAUCUAUGGUAUAAAACACCAUAGCGCAAAAGAAAAGUAUGCAUCAAUAUAUGAGAAUGUACUGGUACGCAAGUGAGAUAAGCUGAAUGCAAAAGUUCAUAUGCAUGAACUAUAACUGACUGACAUGAACACGAACAUGAUGUGAGGAUGCAUGCAUGAAUACGUGUACUGUAGCUGAAGUCAUUAUAAUACAGAAUCUAAAUACAGAUAACAUGAGUUUCGUAUUAACUAAGAGACUGUGUUUAAUAGUCCUGAUUCUAAUAGAACUAGCUGAGUUCCAUGCUGAACUGUGUGACUAUCUGACAGUCCUGAAUCUGAAGACCUAUUUGAGUUCUUUUACUGAGAUUGAGAUUGAGACUGUGGGAGAUAAUCAUCUAACCAACAUGCCCUUAAUAAGCUAUUAUAACUGAGUUGGGGUCUAAUCUGUAACCCCAAUUAGAAGGGUAUCAAUACCGCGCCAUUGGUAAGGACAAGCAGUGAGUGACCCUCAUCUGGCAGUGUCCCUAAAUGUGAACGGUGGGACCUUCAUCUGGCAGUGUUGAUCCACCUCAUCAACCCUCAUCUGAUAGUAUUGAUGUCUCAACCUAUGCUGGCUACAUAGUUCUGGAAUGCAAGGAUUGCUUCUAAGGGCCAUACCCUCUACUGUCAGUAUGUGCCCUCGUCCUUGGGUUUGCUCAGUGCUGAAUCCUACUUCCAACUAAGUAGACAUAUUGAGAUGAACUGGAUUGAGUUCAUUGAGUUCCGUAGACUGACGAAAUAUUACUGAAUCCUUUUAACUGACUGAGUUCACGAGAUUUCUGAGUUUUCCUGAGUCAUGUAACUGACUAAAUUCUACUGAUCAUGGCAUGACUGAGAUUAUCAUGAAACUAACACUGGCUCUAGGCAUACAACUAAAUUAUUGGAUAUAAAUAUCCCCAGGACUCGAUAGCAUAAAAGUAAUUCAUGGCACAAGUUUGAAAGCACAAUAAUGGCUACACAUAUAUCCAUAAUUCAUUAACUAAGACAUUUCAUCAAAUAUAUAGGGAGCAUACUUUGGUUAUACCAUCAUCAAUGCAUCUAAUUAUCAUGGUUGCAUAAAUAAAUUUGUAAUUUUAAGGGUUUAUCAUUAAUAUUAUGAAAAUCAUCACAUACUAGGAUCAAUCAUUGGAACAUGUAAUUUAAAACAUGAAUCAAAACCUAACAACAACAUGGACAUGAAUUUCAAUUCAGCCAAAUCAUGAACAUUCAUAAAUACAUAAUCUUUGGAAUUUGAAAAGAGAUUCUUGAGCUUCAUGGGUGAAAGAGACCCAUGAAUCAACACUUAACAUACCUUGAUUAUGAGUUUCUUGAUGUUCUUGGACUUAAAGAACAUAGAUCUCUUAGUUUCUUAAAGAAGGGUUGGGAUCUUGUUCUUGGGGAUUGAUCUUUGAGAAAAAUCCUAAUUUGGUGUUGUAGAUGAAUAAUGAAGUUAUGAGCCCUAGUCUGGUAUAAUUAGGUGUUAAAAGGGGUGAAAAGACCUAAAUACCCUUAUAAAAAUGGCUUUAAAUUGCUGAACGAGAUCUACGAUGGCUUGGGCGACGGCCCGUCGACCUUCCCAUUGUACUAGGCCAGAAUAUGAUCUUUUUUCCUUGGUUGCGAUGGUUUGGGCAACGGUCCAUCACUAGUUUGAUGGACUGUUGGACAUUUUAUCGCACCUGGCCAGAAGGUCAACUCACUGCAUCUACUACGACGGUUUGGGAGAAGGCCCGUCGCUAGAUCGACGAUCCAUUGGCCCUUUCCGUCGCACUUGGGCGGUUCAGACUGCUUUCUUUAUUUUAGUCAUAACUUUCUACCUCGAUGCCAAAUUUAGGUGAAUUCAGUAUCGAUGGAGAGCUUAUUCAAUUGCCCAAAAUCAUAUACUAUUUUUUUUGUAACAGAUUAACCAUCUGAUACAACAUAUUAACCAUCUGAUGUAAUAGAUUAACCUUCUGACGUAAUAGAUUAACCAUCUGAUGCAAUAGAUUAACCUUCUGACAUAACAAAUUAACCAUCUAAUGUAAUAGAUUAGCCAUCUGACAAAAUUGAUUAACCAUCUGAUGUAACAGAUUGACCAUUUGUUACAAUAAAUUAACUAUCUGAUACAAUAGAUUAAAUAUCUGAUGUAAUAGUUUCGCAAUCUGAUGCAAUAGAUUAAAUAUUUAUUACAACAGAUUUACUAUUAGAUGUAACAGAGGAACCAACCGAUUUAUAAUCUGAUGUAAUAGAUCAACCAUCUGAGGCAAUGUAGGGACCAUCAGAUUAAAAUUCUAAUACAAUAGAUAAAUCAUCUGAUGCAAUAGAUGAACUUUCUGAUGGUUAAAAUCCUACUAACUAUUCCAACAAGACAUAUCUAAGACUUCAUUUUUCCAAUUGAUCAUUUAUCUGUUGUGAUAGACAACCCUUCUAUUGGAGAAAAUCUAUACAAUAUUGAUAGUUGAUAAUAGUUCUAAUAGAUCCCUUAUAUGUUGCAACAGAUGUGAAUCUGUUGCACAGACCAGACAUCUGUUUCAAUAGAUGAGUGAUCUGUUUUAUUAUUGCAACAGAUUACUCAUUUGUUUGAACAGGUUAGUUAUAUAUUCCAAUAAAUUACCUACCUGGUGCAACAGAUAUGUGAUCUACUGGAACUAUUAUUUUACUGUUGUACAUGUUAGAUAUACUGUUAUCCAUUUUUAACAAUGCAUUAUUCAAUUAUAAUCUAUUUUAUAUUCCUAUUAUUUUUAGAGUAUAUGGCUCCCAAAAGCCCAAGUAAAGGAACAAGUGAAGCAGCUAGGCUACUUCCACCACUCUAUGAGCUUGCUAAGCGUUAUCUCAAUCAGGAGUAGAAUAUGAUGAACAUGGGGAGGAGGAAUGUUUCAAAAGAUAUGAUCCAAAUACAAAUGGUCUGUGCAAACUUUAUCGGACUCUAAGAUCAUUAACAUAAUAAAAAUGAAAUUGUUUGGAGCUAUAUCCAUCACAAGAAAAGUAAUUUUAGAGGGUAGGCUUGUUAUUAUUGAUGAUGGUCUUAGUGGUGAUGGAGUUGUUGUUGGUGGUAGUAGUGCUGCUAUUGGUGUUGAUGAUGCUCCUCUUACAGUUUUUAAAACAAACCAUUAUGAGUAUGAUCCUACUUGUUAUAUAGAUUUUGCCUCUCCUAGCAAAUAUUCUGCAUGCAAAUGUCAAGACUAUAAGGCGAAACAUGAUGUAGUAAUUAAUGCUAUUAAUACAUUAACUACUUCUGUAAAGGAAUUAACAUCUAAGAAGGGUGUCAUUCCAUCAAAGAGGAUUUUAUAUCUAUGUACUCUAUUAGAGAUUAAGGCUAAGACAAGAUGGAAAGUAAUUUCCAAUGCAUUAUCAAUCAUCCUAAAAAAUAAAAUUGCAACUCCUCUAUCAGCGUGUUGCACUAUUGAGCAAUGUACAAAGGCCAUAGGAGAGAAGCACAAGCUGAAAAAGGUGAAUAUAUAUCAUCUGUUCAAACUAAAAGAUAUACAUCUAUUUCAACAGAUGACAUAUCUGCUGAAAAUUAUCAAACAAAUAUAUACAUCUGUUGCAAUAGUUGAUUAACCUGUCGUAUCAGAUACCAUAUCUAUUGCAACAUAUGUCUCAUCUAUUUUAGCAAAUCAAACAGCUCUACGUAUCAUUUUUAUUUGUACCAACAGAUGACCUAUCUUCUACAAUGGAUGGGUCAUCUGUUGGGACAAAUUGAAUCAAGACUUCCUACCUUUUCAAUUUUUCGAAACAGAUGAGUCAUAUAUUGCAAUAGAUGGUUCAUUCAUUGGAAAUUAUCUUACGGGUCUUCCUCAUGUUAUAAUUUGUCCCAACAGUUGAUCCAUCUGUUGAAACAAAAAUAUAAUCUAUUUGGGAUAAUUUAAAAUAGGAAGAAGACCUAUUUGUUUUGCUAAAAUAAAUGAGUUGUCCUUUUCUGUUUUUUUAUCUAUGAUUAGCAUUGACCAAUUCUGGCUUUCUAGGUGGAUUUCACUAUAGAAGCUACUGCUGAACAACAUUGAUAAUAUACUACUCUUUUUAUGGAAAUAUGGAGAAGCGAAAGCGCAGAAACUAUAUGCAAGCGACAUUAAAGAUCCACAACAACCAAAGUCAAAUUCCAUAGCAUAGGAUGAAGAACAACUUGUCCAUAUUGAGUAGCUAUUUAUAGCUUGAGUCUGUCAAAGUAAUAACCUCACCCCUCCUUAGGAAUUGAUGGCAUCAAAACUUAAAUUGUUGAUUUAUUUGUUGAGAUCUGUACCCAUAACAAUUUUUUUAUAUUUCAUUUAUUUGUUGAUUUAUUUCAUGUAAUUUCUUAAGGCUUUAAUUUAUUUUAUUUUGUCUAUGAAUUUUAUUUUGUCCUUAGAUUUGAACUUAUUAAUUGAAAUGGGAUACUAGAUUCAUAUAUUGCAACAAAUAAGGUAUUUGUUGCAACAGACGACAUAUCUGUUAGAAAAUAUCAAACAUAUUUAUACACAUGUUGCAACAUGUAGGUAAUCUGUCGAAAAUUAUCAAACAGGUCUUUCCACUGUUGCAACAAAUAAACUUAGAUUUAAAUAUCGACAUAAUGCAAUAAAACAUCGACAUAAUGCAACAGAUGACCAAUCUAUUGCAACAGAUAAAUUAUCUGUCAGAACAGGUAGAAUAUUUAUUACAACAGAUGGACAAUCUGUUGCAUUAUAAAAAAUUCAACUUUCAUUAGACAUAAAAAGUUUCCACUACAUGUAAAGUGAAGUGACUUGAAAUAAAAAAGGUGAAACCCAUCGACAGUUACCUAAAGUUGUAGUGAUCUUUCACUUUGGCAGCUUGCGUGUAAUUCAUCAGCCAAGGCUCAUUAAACCCCCAUUUUCACUGACUUGACGUCUGAUUUGGCCCUCAACAAUUAUUUUUUGCUCUUAUAUAUUCAUCUUCUUCCUAAAAUUUAACCCUAAAUUGCCAAAUCUUCUUCUUCAUCAUCUUUUUCUCUCUAUCCAAAUUCUUCAAAUUAUUUGUAUUUGGUUUCUCCACUUUUUUUUUUUUCAUUUUUUCAUACUAAGCUUGACAAUGUCGAGCUCAUCUUUCACUAAUUUUUGUGAUAAAGAUUUUCGAUAUUGUAAGUGUGAUCAUGAAGCUCUAUUGAAUACUUUUUGAACUCAACAAAAUCCAGGUCGUAGGUUUUUUACUUGUAAGAUUUCAAAGGUAAUAUUUUUUUAUUUAAUUAGUUGAUUAUUUAUUGACAUGUAAUUAUUUAGUAAUUGUGGUCUUGUUUUUAUAGAAGUUGGAUAGAUGUGAUUACUUUGAUUUGUAUGAAGAACGACACCCUUCACAAGCAAAUCACAUAAUCUGGGUUUUGUUGAAGAAAGUCAAGGCUUUUGGAGAGAAACAAAAUCGAGCAAGAAGAUACUACAAUGUUGGCGUUAUUGCUACUGAUUUGGUGUUGUUGGGCACAUGAGAUAUUCAAGCCUAAUUGCUAAAAUUUUUAUGGUGGUGUAUUUGUAUUUACUACUGGUUUGGUGUUGUAGAGCACAUAGAUAUUCAAGCGUAAUUAUUGUAAAAUAUCAAAAAAUUGCCACUACAUGUAAAGUUACAAAUGUAAAGUGAAGUGACAAAAUAAAAAUUGUUAUUUUAGAGGCUCUUCUUUAUACACAGGAUCCAAGUGUCCAGUUAGUAUCCCAAAGGCACAGACAUCUUGUAUGUUUGCCACAACAUUGUUGCCCAGAAAGGUCAUUGGCUCGGCCAGUUUUUUGCCGGUCAUGAAACAUUCGAUGUGGGUAAGCGCGUGCGACCCACACAUGACACUGGUUUCAUUUUUGGAAGGUCCAUGUCCUUUUUUUGACCUCCAAAAUCCCAUAGUUGCUUCAUCAAUAUUUUUGUUGGCAAAUGAUCCAUCAGUUUACUCUGCCUCAAUAAGAUGGGGAACAACUCCAACAGUGGCUGCUUAUAGGUACAAAAAUCAGCCUCGUUUAAGAUAGGUAAAUUGCAGUCAUAAACCUUGAUCUUUCCCUCAUCGAGUUGUAUCUUAACAGCCCAAUAACAUAUGCCGUCCAUGUUUAUGACUCCAAAAAUCAUCUUUGCCCCGGCCCAAAUCUUGUUGUGUGGAUUUGGCCUCUCCCCUCUAACAUAUUUUAUCAUUUCUUCAUCCCACUGGAACCUAGAAACUAAAGAAUAAAAUCCAGCGCCACCGAGAGUUGACGCUCGCUUACUGAGAUCAUCAUACCUAUCCUUGAAAUUCUUAUAUAAGUUGAGGUCCAUUAUCCCAUCAGCACCAUUAUAAAUCUCCGGGUACGUUAAUUGCCUGCCCCUCAUAAGGCAGAGAAUUUCUUCAACAUACUGUGAUAUAAAAAGUUAAUUUUUAAAUAUGCUAGUAAUUAUAAAGAAGGAAAACAUAGUGAAAAGAUGCAACAGAUUGUUCAUUAGUAGAGGGUUCUCUGAAUUGGUUCACAGAUUACCCAUCUAGCACAACUUAUACAAGAGAUGGGUAAUAUGUUACAAUAAAACCACCAUAAGUUGCACUAAAAUACACAACUGUUACAAUAGAUGACACAUUUAUUGUGUAGUUUCUUCUUCAUGGAGUAGAUUAGAAGGCUAGGUUAGGAAAAGUAAACUUACCCUGUCUAUGUACUGCGUACACAUAUCUAUCAUACUCUUGAAGUCAUGGGCGGAAAAGGUAUGGAUGGGGUAGUCUUAUGCGUCUUGCUUAGCCUUUUUGGCCUGUCGUAGAUCUUUCUUCUCUUUGGUGCCAAGUUCCGCGUAUAUGUCCACCUUCUUGAAUGACCCUUAAACUUCAACAACUUUUGAAGAGGGAGAAGUUAUAAUUUUUUGAUUUCUUAUUAGAGAGUACUUGGCUAAUUGCUCUUUUCAUCCUCCAAACCGCCACUGCAGGAGUGUAUGGCACACUCACCUUCUUGAAUGGUAUGACACCCCUCUUGGAUUUCAACUCCUUAAUAACUUUAGCGAUAGUCUCUAAUUUUUCAAUGAGUUUAUUCUGUUUAUUCUUGCACUCUUUGCAUUUCCAAUAAUAACAUGAGGGUAAAGAGGGGUGAGAGGGACUGGUGUAAGGGUGAUAGGUCCUGUGUAAAGGUGAGAGGGACCUAUGAAAAGGGUGUUUUCAAACAUAUUUUUUUAGCGCUAACAUGCUCAUCAUCAUAACUAACAGCAACAUCAGUAUGCCUGCCACCAACAUCAAUAACUACACCAGCAACACCCCCAGAAGAAGCACCCAGAUCUGUUGCAGUAGGUUGGCUAUGAAGAGCCUCAACAUUAGCUGACCUUGCCUAACUGUUCUUCUUAUGGCUGUUGCUACAACUAAUUAUGGAUGUUGCUACAACCAAUUCCUUCUUUAUUAACUCCACCAUUAGGUCUGCUAUUGUAUCAACAAGACCUAGAGUAAUAAUAAAGGUCAUCCCCAACUCCUGCUUAGUAGGCACAAUCCAUGGGAGCACAACCUAUAAAAAAGAUAAAUACGUUUAAAUCAUAUAAUAAUUUGCAAUCAGUUGGGUUACAUGUUAACACAGACAACUUAUGCAAUAAAUAAUCUUUCUGUCACAAAUGCUGAUCUAUCUGUCGCAAUAUAUUAAUAAUAUAUUACAUCAGAUUACCCAUCUGUUAUAUAAUUUAUAGUAGAUGGGUAAUUUGUUGAGUCGAGUUCAGAGAACCAAAGCAACAGAUGGGUAAUCUGAUACAAAAUAUGAAUCAUCUGUCAUAACAGAUUACCCAUCUGUUGUACCAGUUAUAGUGGAUGGGUAAUUUGUUGCAAUAGAUAACCCGUCUGUCGCAAAAAAUGGCACAUCUAUUUUAAUAUCUUUCUUUGAGUCAAAUUAUUUUACUCGAAAGAAGAUGUCCUGCAUCAUCCGGAGUAUUAAAAAGAUUAGCCUCCUUAAUUCUUAUGUUUCUCUUUGCAGCCAACCACCUAAGGAUCCUUGGACGAGAAACCUCGUCUGAGUAAUCCUUGACCUGCUUUUGAAGGUAUGGCUAACCUAAAAAAUACAAGUAGGAGGCAAGUAAAUAAUUAUUCAAUAUAAAUUAAUGGAUGAGUAAACAAAUAAUGAAUAAAUUUACCAUGAAAGCCCAAGAAAAGCCAUAUAAUUUGAUCGUCUUUGGGGAUAACUUGGUCAGUAAUUAUUUGACAGUCAAGUAGUAGUUGUUAUAUCCUCAUGGAUGAUUGUUAAAUUUCUCAAAAUCCUCAACAAGCUUCAAAAAAUCAUCUUUUAUAACUUUGUAGAUGUCUUUUGCCAAUAUAAUGGAAUUGGCAAACCAAGCUAAGUACAAUUGCUCCUUGGACAUCUUUGAUAUGGUUUUAUCCUUGUGUAAUGCCCCGAAUCUGGUACCCAGAAUGCCACACGAUGCUCAUGACCUCGAAGGACCAUAAUUUAACCCAUGACUAAUAUCUAUAACUGAGCACUGCAUAACAUACUGUAUAAAUACAAAAUAAAAGGUUGAGAAGCCAUAAAGUUCAAAAAUCUAUUAAAACAUAAAAUCAAGAGAUAUGAUAUAUCAAUACCAAAAUAACUGAAAUAACUGUCUAAACAUGUUAGUCUGAAAGUCUCUAAACUUUCUGAAUAAAGAGUUGAUAGGACAUGUCCCUAACUAACUCCAACUGCUGAAAUAAACUAAGUACUGAAAGAAUGAAAUAGUCAAAUAAUAACAUUCUCGAAUGAUGAGGACUCAUUACUAGUCUGUCUACUGAACAACUGAUCUACUAAGAAUGCUCUAAAGAUUAUACUUCUGAACCUAUGAUAUAAAACACCAUAAUGCAAAAAAAAAGUAUGCGUCAGUAUGUGAGAAUGUAUUGGUACGCAAGUAAGGUAAGUUGAAUGCAAAGGUUUAUAUGCAUGAACUAUAAUUGACUAACAUUAACACAAACAUGAUUACUAAGGAUACAAGCAUAAAUACGUGAACUGUAACUGAAGUCAUGAUAAUACUAAAUCUGAAUACAGGUAACAUGAGUUUCAUAUUAACUGAGUGACUGUGUUUGAAAGUCCCUAUUCUAAUGAAACUAGCUAAGUUUUGUGCUAAGCUGUGUGACUGUAUCUGACAGUCUUGAAUCUGAAAAACUAUCUAAGUUCUUUUACUAAGACUGAGAUUGAGACUGAGACUGUGGGAGAUAAUUAUCUAAUCGACAUGCCCCUAACAAGCUAUUAUAGUUGAGUUGGUGUCCAAUCUGUAACCCUAAUUAAAAGGGUGUCAAUACCACUCCACUGGUAAGGACAAGCUGUGAGUGACCCUUAUCUGGUAGUAUCCCCAAAGGAGGACGGUGGGACCCUCAUCUAGAAGUGUUGAUCCACCUCAUCAACCCUCAUCUGGCAGUGUUGAUGUCUCAACCUAUGAUGGCUACAUAGUUCUGGAAUGCAAGGAUUGCUUCUAAGGGCCACACCCUCUACUAUCAGUAUAUGCCCUCAUCCUUGGGUUCGCUCAGUGCUGAAUCCUACUCCCAACUGAGUAGACACUGAACUGAUUAUAUUGAGAUAAACUGGACUGAGUUCAUUAAGUUUCGUGGACUGAUGGAAUGUUACUGAAUCCUGUUAACUGACUAAGUUCAUAAGAUUUCUGAGUUUUCCCAAGUCAUGUAACUGACUGAAUUCUACUGAUCAUGGCGUGAUUGAGAUUUUUAUGAAAUAGACACUGACUCUAGGCAUACAACUAAAUUGUCAGGUAUAAAUACCCCCAGGAUUUGAUAGCAUAAAAGUAAUUCAUUGCAAAAGUUUGAAAGCACAACAAUGGCUACACAUAUAUCUAUAAUUCAUUGACUAAGACAUUUCAUCAAAUAUAUGGGAAGCAUACUUUGGUUAUACCAUCAUCAAUGCAUCUAAUUAUCAUGGUUACAUAAAUAAAUUUGUUAUUUUAAGGGCUUAUCAUUAAUAUUAUGCAAAUUAUCACAUACUAGGAUCAAUCAUUGGAACAUGUAAUUUGAAAUAUGAAUUAAAACCCAACAACAACAUGGAUGUGGUUUCAAUUUAACUAAAUCAUGAACAUUCAUAAAUACACAAUCUUUGGAAUUUGAAAAGAGAUUCUUGAGCUUCAUGGGUGAAAGGGACCCAUGAAUCAACACUUGACAUACCUUGAUUGUGAGUUUCUUAAAUUUUUUAGACUUGAAGAACUUAAAUCUCUUAGUUUCUUGAAGAAGGGUUGGGAUCUUGUUCUUGGGGAUUGAUCUUUGAGAGAAACCCUGAUUUGGUGUUGUAGAUGAAUAAUAAAGUUAUGAGCCCUGGUCUGGUAUAAUUAGGUGUUAAAAAGGGUGGAAAAGACGCAAACACCCUAAUAAAAAUGGCUUUAAAUUGCUGAACGAGAUUUGCGAUGGCUUGGGCGAUGGUCCAUCGCUGGCUCGAUGAUCUGUCAAAAUUCUCAUCGUACUAGGCUAGAAUAUGAUCUUUCUUCCUUGGUUGCGAUGGUUUAGGUGACGGUGCGUCGCUAGCUCGAUUGUCCAUGGGCCAUUCCGUAUCACCUGGCCAGAAGGUUGACUAACUGCCUCCACUGCGAUGGUUUGGGCGAUGGCCUGUCGCUAGAUCGAUGGUCCGUCGGCCCUUUCCAUCACACUUGGGCGGUUCAGAUUGCUUUCUAUAUUUUAGCCAUAACUUUCUAACCUGAUAUCGGAUUUAGGAGAAUUUGGUAUCGAUGAAAAGCUUAUUCAAUUUCCCACACAACAAAAGGUCAAAAUCUUAAAAAUUCCACGUAUAUGAAUAUGGAUUCAUCCUUUAAAGCAAGUCUUUAACAUUUUUGGGAUAAUUUUUAAGCUAGGUAGUAGUAUGGGGUAUUACACCUUGAGAUGUUUUAUCAACUUAUUGGCUUUGUACCACGUCUAGCAAUUUCCAACAACCCAUAUAUUGGCUUUGGUGGGUGAUCACUGGGAUAAUGCCUUCUUUGUAUUUAAUGGUGGUGGUUUGGCUGUCCUGCUUGCCUUGGACCUUUUUCAUGGUGUUUUAUUGGUGAGAAGUUUUUCUGGAUGAUCACAUCUCAAGCCUUUCACUACGACAAACUCUUUCAAGCAAAAAAAAACCAGUAUCCCACAAUAGUUGAUCCAGAUUUUAUCUAUUUUUUUUGCCCUACUUCGAAUCUUUAUCAUCCCCCAUGUACUUGAUCCUGUGCUUGAGAAGACCAUAUACCAUGCUCAUUCAGAAAUAGGCAGUGUGGUCCUCAGGAAGCUCAAGAACAUAUCCAAAGUAGCUCUUCUUAAAAAGUCUGUCUAUUUUUUCAUUCUUUAUAGUUUUCCUAAAUUUAUCAAAAGGUUUUUCCAACUGACCUUUAAGUACAAGAUCACCAGUUAGUUCUGCAGGGUCAUCUGUAGGCAUCACAACUUGAAACCUUUCAAUAUUAAUAGUUUUGAUAGCCUCAUGUUGGGAUUUCGAUCUUAAUUCAUGCCCCAUUGGUGAUACAUUAUCAUCAUGUUGAUGAUCAUCCUCUUUCUCACUUUAUACCUCCUUCCCUUUUUGUUUAUUUUCUUCUUCUUCCUCCUCACUUUCAUUUUCCUUAUCACUAUCUCCAGACCCUUUUCUAUCUCCCACAAUAUUAUUUUUAUAUCUUUCCUCAGCUUUACUAUUCCCUGGCUAAGAUUGUUCAGGAAGAUCCUCCAAAUCCCUCUGUACUGUAGCCUUUUUUAUUAGGUGGUCAAAAGUUGAUCCACUUUUACUUUCUUUUCUUUUGGGAGACAUGUUUACCUAAAAAUAGUUGAAAAUAAAAAUUACAUUACAAUUGAUGUAUGCAUAAAUGUUAAAAAACAUAUUACAAUUACCACCAAUACCGACACCACAACAAUCACCACAAACACCACCAACCAAUGCCACCAACACCACCAUUAAUAGCCACCACAAAAACACUACCACGACCACCAACCACCACCACUACCAAUUCCAUGAUAGUCAAUAAAAUACUGUGAUAAAAACUAGGGUUUUCUCAAAUUCUUCCUACGAUCUUACCAUCAAAACUUAAAAUUAUAAACUCAUUCUUGAAGAUAAUAUAACUAAAAGUCUUUUUUUCAUCAUUAACUUAAAAUCCCUAAUUUUUACAAAAAAUAACAAAUAUAAAACUCUUCUCAAACUAUGUUACCUAUGAAGACAAACAAAACAAUGGAUACAAGAAAGAAUAAAGUCGAAAAUAACACCUAUAUGGUUGAAAAUGGGAAGAAAAUCGAUUUGUUGUGAAGGGUUGAGCAAUUUAUUGAGUAGUUGUUGUCUGUACUGUUGAGAGAGAGAGAGAGAGAGAAAAAAGAGUGAGAACUUGAGAUUUGAAAUGAUGAAAUAUUUUUACCGCAAAUGGAUGAUUUGUAUUUUGGAAAAGAAUGUCAAGUUUUGAAAAUGUUAAUUUGGUCCAAAUUGAUCUUAAUUAUUUUUUUAAAUGUUAAAAGAUAUACAUAUUUUUUAACCAUCUUAUCAUAAUAAAGUGUAUUAAGUUCAACUUAAACACUAAUGAAUUUUAGGUAUUAGUUUUAUAAUGAGGUAAUAAGAAUCGUUUAAACUUGGAGUGAUUGAUCGACGACUUAGGUCGGGAGGAAUGCAAUACCAAUAUCAUGUAAUUGCCAAAGUCUCAAUUGAAGUUGUAGUUGACCCCAUGGACUCACCCUUAUUUUUGGAUAAAUCAACUUAGAUAUUAGCUUGAUAAUUAAUUAAGUUAAUAAGAAUUAUUUCAACUUGGAGUAAUCGAUCACGACUCAGGUUAGGAAGAAUGUAAUAGCAACAUCAUACAAUUGCCAAAGACUCAAUUCAAGUUGUAGUUGGCCCUUUGAAAUUACCCCUAGUUUUAGCUAAAUUAAUUUAGGUAUUACCUUGAUAAUUAAUUAAGUUAAUAAAAAUCAUUCUAACUCAGAGUGAUCGAUCGACGACUCAGGUCGGGAGUAACUCAAUACCAACAUCAUGCAAUUGCCAAAGACUCAAUUAAAGUUGUAGUUAACCACAUGAAAUCACCCCUAUUUCAAGCUAAAUUAAUUUAUAUAUUACCUUGAUAAUUAGUUGAUAAGAAUCAUUUCAACUCGAGGUGAUCGAUUGACAACUCAGGUCGGGAGGAACGCAAUACCAAUAUCAUAUAAUUACAAAGACUCAUUUGAUGUUGUCGUUGAUCCUAUCAACUUAUCCUUAGUUUUAGCUAAAUUAAUUUAGGUAUUAGCUUGAUAAUUAAUUAAGUUAUUAAGAAUCAUUUCAACUUGAAGUGAUCGAUCUAUGACUCAGGUUGGGAGGAAUACAAUACCAACAUCAUGCAAUUGCCAAAAACUCAAUUAAAAUUUUAGUUGACCCUAUGAACUCACCCCUAGUUCUAGAUAAAUCAGUUUAGUUAUUAGCUUGAUAAUUAAUUAAGUUAAUAAUAAUUAUUUCAACUCGAAGUGAUCGAUCGACGACUCAGGUCGGGAGAAACGUAAUACCAAUAUCAUGUAAUUGCCAAAGACUUAAUUGAAGCUGUAGUUGACCCUAUGAACUCACCCCUAGUUCUAGCUAAAUCAAUUUAGGUAUUAGCUUGAUGAUUACUUAAGUUAAUAAGAAUCAUUUCAACUCAGAGUGAUCAGUCGAUGACUUAGGUCGGGAGGAACUCAAUACUAACAUCAUGCAAUUGCCAAAGGCUCAAUUAAAGUUGUAGUUGACCCCAUGAACUCACCCCUAGUUCUAGCUAAAUCAAUUUAGGUAUUACCUUGAUAAUGAGUUAAUAAGAAUCGUUUUAACUCAGAGUGAUCGAUCGAUGACUCAGGUCGGAAGGAACAUCAUACCAAUAUUAUGUACUUGCAAAGACUCAAUUGAAGUUGUAGUUAACCCUAUCAGCUCAUCCUUAGUUAUAGCUAAAUUAAUUAAAGUUGUAGUUGAACGAACUCAAUUGAAAUUGUAUAAAAACAAAUGUUCAACCUGUUACAACAGAUGACUUAUCUGUUUGAAUUUAUUAAGUAGAUUAAGUCAUCUGUUGUAAUAGACUAACUAUCUGUUGUAAAUUAACAAAUAGGCAUUGCCAUUUGUUGCGAUAGAUAACUUAUCUAUUGGAAUUUAUCAAACAAAUUAAGUCAUUUGUGGCAACAGAUUAACUAUUUAUUGUAAAUUAUCAAAUAGUCAUUACCAUCUAUUGCGACAGAUGACUUAGCCAUUGGAAAUUUUCAAACAAAAAUUGUCAUAUAUUGCAACAGAUGACUGAGUCAUUGGAAAUUUUCAAGUAAAAAUUGUCAUCUGUUGUAACGGAUGACUUAUAUAUUUUAAGAUCAUCUUUUUUAUUUUAUUUUAAAGAAAUUUCCUAAUUUCCUAUAUGAGAUAAAAGAGAUAAAAUACUAAGGCGGUAAAAAAUAUUACUUGGAUAACUCAAAAAUCUCCUCCUUGAGUAGUCUUAUUUUUUCUUUUCAAUGUCACUGUCUCCUCGUUCCCCUUACAAUUUAUUAAUGAAUAUUUAAAACCCAUCUCUAGAAUUCUCUUUCCUUUAGCCAUAAAUUAACUCAACUCAUCUCUCAUCUUUAUUCAAAUUUAGAAUUCUCUUUCUCUCCUCUUCAGGGUAAUCACAACCAUUUUUUUUCUCUUUUUUCACCUCUUUCGCAUGAGGAUCCUUUCGGAUCUCAACCCAUUCCCCAAUAUCUUUGAUCAACUGAAAUGGAUAUUUUGAUCCCUUUGGUUUUUUGACAUUGCAGGUAUGGUUCACUAUUGCUCUUUCUUCUCAUCAUUUUCUUUGUAUGUUAUUUAAAUUAGAUAUUUACAUUUAUUUUUAUUAUUGAUUUACCCAUUACCAAUUUCCUAUUUAUUGAGAAAUGGGUGUUGGUGUUGUUGAUAUGUGGUGUUUGUAUUGUUGAUAGUGUUGGAACAUAUGCUGUUGUUUCUUUGUUAUUGUUGAUGUUGUUGUUUUUGAUGUUGAUGGUGGUGUUGCAACAGUUUUUUAACUAUUGCAACUAAUGAAUCAGCUGUUGUAACAGACAGAACAACUGUUGGAAGAAAUCAAACCAAUAGUAAGGCUAGUUUGAUUUAUUCCAAUAGAUGAUCCAUCUAUUGCAAUAUGUCAUCCAUCUGUUUCCACAGAUGCGUCGCCUGUUGCAAUGGAUUACUCAUCAGUCGAACAAAUGGGGAAUCUGUUACAUCAGAUGGGCCAUCUAUUGAUUCAUUCAAUUUUGUGUUACCCCUUUGUAAUAUUCUUUUUGUUCUUUUCUUAUUUGAUAUCAAAUGUUUUUCUCUUGUUUGAAGAUAAAAGAAAGUAAAACUGAAUCAACUUUUUCCCGACCAACAUUAAAGGCUAGAGUAAAGAUGGGUUCAGAUAAAUAAGUUGCUUGUAGAUGGAACCACUUCAUAUAUGAGAGGUAUGUAUUACUGAUCAACCUAUCAUGAAAACAUACAUCCAGUACACUGAUUUUGUAAAUGUUGGUUCCUUACCUAUUAGGAGUUAAUCUUUCAAAAAAGAUAUGGUAUUUUAUAGUUAAGAUUGUUAGGUUAGAACUGGUUAGGCUGAGGAACCAAGUAGGUGGUUUCGAUACCUUGUUAUGGUUUAAUAAAGAUUUUCCUAAUAUUUAUGUGUCAAGUUUGGAGAAGGGUUCAAGUUUUUGGUGGCCGUGUAGAUAUUCAAAUAGUGAUUGGACUGAUUUUAAGGGUUCAAUGGACUUUUGAAACGCCUCCAAAGCCUUGCACUACUGCAAAUAAGAAUGAAAAUAAAUAUAGUUAUUGCUCUGGUCCAAAUUUAUAUAUAUAGAUUGCUUGAAGAGACUUAUACAAGAGAAGGUGAUUGGAAGAAUACCUAUAUGGGAAGGAGGAGGUGAAGAAGACCAUAUAUCAACUUAGACCUUAUUAAAGAAGAAACACAGGGUAAAAAGGAAAGCGUAGCAAAACUAGCUGAAGAAAUUAACAUGAAAAAUAAAAAAAUUAAAUGAGCUAAAAUGUGAAAAUGUAUCCAAAAAUGAAAAUCCAUCAGUCCAUUUUAAAAAGAAAAAUGCUGAAUUGGAUUGGAGCUGUGCAUUUUGUUAGGGGUUGCAACUAGCUAUCGGGUCCUGAAUGAAGACCCACAAAAUGCAGGAUCAGAACUCUAAGGUUUCAGUUUUGUGAGCACCGAUGGUGGUAAGAUUAUUGGUCAGGAAUGAAACCUGAACCAACAAAUCCUGAAGUAAAAAUAAGGGAUCAAGUCAAGGUGGCAAUUUCUCAAGUUAAACUUGCAUCCCAUGCCUCCUGUUUAUGGAUUUGGUCUGGUCAAAGUAAGUGGAAACAACAUGGCAUGGGAUUUCUACCCAACUUCAAACCUUUUUCUUUCUACUUCCAUUGACCUGAUCAAAACCACAAACAGAAGGCAUGGGAUGUAAGUUAGACUUAAGAAAUUGACGCCUUGGCUUCCCUUAUUUUUACUUCUGGAGUUAUUGGUUCAGUUUUCAUUCUUGACUGAAAAUCUUACCAAUCCUCUGUGCUCGCCAAGAUGCUUUCUUAGAGUUCUAGUCCUGCACUUUGUGGGUAUUCAUAGAGGCCACGCUCACUAGUCGUAGUCUUUCGCAAAGUGUCCAGCUCUAGUCCUCUUCAGCAUCUUUCUUUUUCAAGAAUGAAUGAUGAAUUUUAAUAUUUUGAUACACUUCCACAUUUGAAGCUUAUUCAGUUUUUCAUCUCUCAAGUUAAUUUCUUUGGCCAGAUUCGCUAGAAGUUCCUUACUUGCUUUCCUGUGUUUCCUCUUAAACAAGGUCUGAGAUGAUAUAUGGUCUUAUCCACCUCCACCUUUCCACACAGGUAUUCUCCCAAGCACCUUCUAUUGUAUAAUAGUCUCCUUGAGAAACCCAUCCAUAAAAUUUGGACCAGGGGAAUUUCUAUUGGUUUUUAAUUCUUGUUUGCUGUAGUGCGAGGCUUUGGAGGCCUUUCAAAAGUCCAUUGCACUAUUAAAAUCGGUCCAAUCACUAUUGGAUAUUUACAUUUCCGCCAAACACUUGAACCCGUCUCCAAACUUAACACAUAAACAUAAGCAAAACUGUUAUUAAAUUAUAACAGGGUAUCGACACCACCGUCUUCGAACCCUUUGUCCUUAUCAGUUCUCACCUAUCAAACUAAACUUUAAAAUACAGGAUCUUGUUUGAAGGAUCAAUGUGUAAUCGGUAAAAAUUGCAUUCACAAAAUCAUUGUACUUUAUGUGUGUCUGUCAUGAUAGCCUAAUCAAUAAUUCAUAACUCCCACGCAUGAAAGUGGAUCCAUUCAUCUGCACAUACCUUAUUCUUCCUACCCCAUCAAUGUCAGACAGUGUUUAUUCUUCAAUUUCCAUCAUUAAGUAGUGUACAAAACUACAGAGGCUCAAAGGGUAGCCAGCUUUAAUGUCAGAUGACUACUUGCCCGUUAAGAAAAAAAAGUGCUAUAAGUCAUGAUUUUUUACCUUUUUUGUUUUUAAAUAUAUUUAUAUAAUAAGUCACCAAUUUGAAUUAAUUAAGGUAUGUGAUGACUAUUAAAAAAGAGGUGAGCAGUUGUGACUUUUUGUCUAACAUAUUCAAAACAGCUGAUGAAUUAAAUCCCUCAUCUAUUGCAACUAAUGAAUCUGCUGUUAGAAGAAAUAAAAACAUCUCCUCCAACAGAUGGUCCAUCUAUCACAAUAGAUAAUACAUAUGUUGCAAUAUAUGGUAAAUUUGUUGCGCCAGUGGGUUAUCUGUUGUGAUAGAUAGAUGAUCUAUUUCAACAACUCAAUAAUAAAUAUUGUUAUUAAGUAUCAAACCAUUUUAAAAAGGUGAGAAUUUUGAAUGUAAAAGAAAAAGUCGUAAAUUUUCACAGAAAAUAAAAAGGCAGCAGUUUGAAUGUAGUUAAUACAGUGGAGCUGAAUAGUCGUGCCUUUUUGCCUAACACAUUCAGAUUUAAUCCUCUAUAAGUAAAUCCCUCCUUAAUCUUCAUUCUACUCCUCUUUUAUUUAUUUCUUGCAUUUUGUCUCUUUGUAUUGCGUCUUCAACCACUUUUAUUCAAAGAGCAUAUUUCUUUUUCGUUGAGGUAAGUUUUUUAUGUGUAAAUAUACCCAUAGAUUGUUUGGCAGGCACCAGAGUAAUAUGCCCACUAUAUGCCAUUGUAUAUUUUUCCAUCGAAUAAUAUGAAGAGGAGUACUCAUAAAUUUUACUUCUAUAUUUUGCACUGUAUUGAGCUUGAAGAGCUGUCAUACCAUAUGGAUAAGGAAUUUUAUCCAAGUCAAAAACUCUGCACCUACAAAAUCUUGUUUGAAGAUCAACCGUGGCAACAUCACCAUGACCAUUGAUACUGAACUUGUAAUCUGCUAUUUGAUGAGAUAAUAACCUAUUCCCUAGAUUGAUGUUCAUUGAUAUUAUUUUUUCCGCUUCUAGAACAAAUGGGGUUCCUGGGUCCUCGUAUUCCACAUACCUUUUGUGAAAAAAUUGGCCAAACUUCUUGUUUAUUAUUUCAAACGGAGCCACGAUGGGAAAUUCUCUUUCAUCACCAAAUAAUGAAUUCACCGUUUCGGCUAUGUUUGACGUCAUAAUAUUGUACCUAUACAAAAGAAUCACUUAGUACGAUAUCAUACUAAACUUGUAACUCAAACAAGACAUUAAAUUCAUAAGAAUGUACCUAUUUGCUAGACAGAAUGCUAGAUUCCAUCUCUCAAAACUGACACAUACGAGAUGUUCUGCUGCCUUGGGAUUUAUAUCCGCCAUUUGAUUGAAAUGGUCUAAAAACUACUAUCUACUAUAUGCUUUAGAUGAUCUAUAAAAAAAGGCCACGACCCUUUCGUUGUGAAAGUUGGUUAGAAUGUUCUCUCCAAGUUGCCUGAUACAAUAACUAAAGUAAGCAAAAGUGAAGAAAAUUGAACCCAUCUUUGGAAUACUUGGAUGCCUAUCCAAAAUAAAACACAACUCUGUAUUAUCUUUGAUGCAGCUUCGCAGUUGUUCAAAAAAAUAUCCAUAAAAGGCAUCAUAUUCCUUGUUCGCUACACAAAAAGUGAUAGGAAAUAUGUGAUUCUCUACAUCCUGUGCCACCACCGAUAGCAGAACUCCAUUUUACCUGCUCUUCAAGAAGGUACCGUCAACGGCUAUGCCUUUUAUCAAAUGUCAAAACCUUGAAUCUAAGUACCAUAGGAUACAAAAAAGUAUUUGAACUUUCCGUUUUUAUUAACAUGCAAUGCCGUCUUACUUUCGAGAUUUGUGGACCCAAGAAUGUAACGGUAGGCAUUGAGGACUGCAUACCCAUGCUCGUGUGUCCCCCUAACCAAGUCCUUGACAAUCCCCAUAGUCAUAUAUAUCUUCCAAUAACUGACCAGGACACACAAUUUCAUAAGGAGUUGAUUGUCUAUAACCCUUAUAGAAGGGCCUUUGCCAUCGGGGAAUUUAUUCUUAAAAUAUUCAUAAGGACCUUUACCGUGGCGUGAGGAUUUUGGCCCGAGAUAUGCUCCAAACCACAUAUGUGAUACAUUUUAUGUAUAUGAAUGACGAAUCUAUUAAAACUUAAGUACUUCACCACUCUUAACCACCACUUGUAAUUCAGAUUAGCAUAUUUGUAGCAAAAGACUUUGCUCGAAUUAAUCACCUUCAUUAUUCUAAAAUCUUUUUUCAAGAAAGAAAUAACCAAAGUAGUAGAUAGUUCUUUAUUGUCCUUGAAUGAAAUUCUCUUGUAAAAGCUGGUCUCAUCAUCUUGAUGAAUGUCAGACUGUGUCGAUCGAGAAGAACUGCCCACUUUAUUGGUCGCAUCAACGGGCGUAGGUAUUUGAUCAUCAUCUAGAAUGUUCAUGUCUAGAUCAUCUAACCUAUCAUCAAAGAAGUCUUGUUGUUGUUGUUGUUCUUCUUCUUCUUCUACAUUUUAGUUCUUAUUCUCUCUCAUAUUUUCAACCACGUACACCCUUAACACUUACCUGGAUGAAUCACCAAAAGAAGAACGCAAUUGAACCUGAUCGAUUAUCUUGAAAGGUAGUACCCUCUGAUUUUCCAAGGAGCUGUGUAUGUUCAGUCCACAAUAGAUGAUGAUUAAGUUCACAAAAUUAUCAUACAAAACAUCACUUUAGACUAUCAUAGCUAUUCUCUCUAGCAUUUUACCCUCCUUCCAAUACCAUACAUAUCGAUUGCUCUUGUCAAUUUAUUGACCAUGACAAUCUACCCCUACUGUUAUUAAUCCUUCCAUUAGUUGUACCUAAAUAAAGUCAUUUGUUAAAAAAAUUUAAUAGCGAUUUCAUAGUGCCAUAACAUGAAUCCUAAUAGAUGUGUAAUCUAUUGCAAUAGGUAAGUGAUCAGUCACAAUAGAUUACUUACCUAUUGGGAUUCAUGUUAUGCAUCUGAAGUUGAUUUCAAUAGAUGAGUCAUCUGUUGUAACGGGAAAAUCAUAUAUUGCAACAUACUAUACAUCUGUUGCAAUAAAUAACAUGUCUAUUGGAAUUGACUUCAGGUUCUGUUGCAACAAGUUACUAAUCUAUUGCAACAGAUUCUUACUAUGUUGCAACAGCCGACACGUCUGUUGGAAUCAAGUUCAGGUUCUGUUAUAAUAGAUAUUUACCCUGUUACAACAAAUAACUAGUUUAUUGUAAUAGAUGACCCAUCUGUUCAAUUCAUGUUACGACAAUAUAGAAUCAUAAACAUGAAUCCAACAUAUUGUUAUACCCUUUUUUCACUCCAAAAAAAGAAUGAUUUUAAGUUUCGAAAGGGUUUUCAUUAUUAAGUGACAAAAAUAAAAAUUUGUUUCGAAAAGUACUUUUAUAUUCAAAAUUCAAAGUCGCCACUUGGCAUAAAUCGGGUGUGCCAGUUACUUUUGAAAAUCCUUUUUCAAAAUAGUUUUGACUCUAAAACUGAUCCGCGAAUAGAGAUUCCACUUAGGGAAUUCUGUUGACCGAGGGGAAGGUGUUAGGCGCCCCUCAAUCCCGUGGUUCGACCAUGGUCACUUAGUGGAGCGUACGGCUAAUUUGACAUUACGAAUGUAUAAACCACACCAAAAAAACACAUAAAACAAUCAAUCAAACACACAAAAAAAAUAAAUCUAAAAUAUAGUGUCCGGUCCAAUUAUACAGUCCAAAAAUAGAAAAAAUACGAAAAUAUAAAUCCUAUUUUAAGCUAAUCCUGAAACUAUGCUCCAAUGCCUUACCCCGAUGCCUCAGGGCUUGAUCACGAACCUCCUUUGCAUACAUGAUAUGUCAGGGCAUUCCCCGGAUAAAUCAAUACAAAUCCCUCGGGGAAUUCCCUGGCCAAAUGAGUACAUUUUUAAAGUAAUAAAGAUGGAAAAAAAUCACUCAACAUAAAUAUUUGCACAUUCGAUAAUUAGAAUCCUAUGAGUUGUCUAUCCCAAAUUCUAGAAUUCGCCUAUAGAUUUAACAAUCUAAUCAUGCUACUAUCGUAUUCAACAAUAUUCAUACUCAAACCAAAUUAAACAAAGUCUUAAUCAAUCUAAAUUUACCCUUUUGUCAAUUCCUUAAUUCCACCCGCCGAAUCCAAUCUCAACAUGAUUAAACUAAUUUGAUACGUGGUUUACCAAUCUAGUUUUCACAUCUAAUUGCAAUAUCAAACAAUUCAGAACAAAGGUUCAUACAUACUAAACACACAAAUCAUUCAGGAUUACUUAAAAUUAAAGGGAGAAAAGACAGAAUUGGACCUCACGGUUUCUUUUAUUCAAUCAACUUGAACUAAUUUCAAUAGCGAAAGAGCCUCGGGAAUCAAUGAACCUCAACCUUGAACUCACCAAUCGAAUAAAACCAACCUUGAUAUAGUUUUUCAAUUGUGGUUUUCACCAAAAAACCGCAUUAUAGAACUAUUUUGGGCAAUUUUGAGACAUUUUUCGGUGAGUUUCAAACAGAGACAGAUGUGAAGCGUAUCAGACUUAGUUAAUUUGGUCAGAUGGAUUUGGGUUUACUUUUUUGUAUCGUUAGAGCUCCGGUGAGCUCCAACAAUGAAUAAAACAAAGAAGAAAGGACGGUAGCAACAUUUUCCAGCGAGAACUCACUGGAAAAAUCCUUCUCUCUUGUGAUUUCUCUCUUUUCCCAUUGGUGUUGUCUUGUCCGAUCUCCCCUCCCCCGUUCCUUCACUAUUUCUGACCUAUAUCCCUCCGUUCACCUUUCCUAAUCUCCAAUUCAUCUAUAUUUCUCUCUUUCCAGUGAUGUGUGCGUAUACUUGUAUGUGGGUGUGUGCAAAUCAGUGAGGAUGAACGAUUAUUAUGAGCUGUGUGUGUAGUGUGUAAAGAAUUCUGUGUGAAUGAGUGUAUAUGUGAGCAAAAUUGAAGAAUGGAAGGUUCUUGUAUGUGUGCCCAUAAAGAAGAAGGUGAAUGAGUGUGUGCUCUUUUUCUUUUCACUGUAUCUUCAUUGUUUUUCUUUUGAAGGGAAGCCGAAUUUGUGAGUGGUCCUUUUUUUUUUUCUAUUUGCCCUACGUAUUGAUAAUGAGGAGGGGUGCUGGGGUAGGUAGGGUAGGAGAGAUAGGGUGUAGUGAGGUGUCCACUUUUAAUUAGAGAGGUUGUUAGGAUAGGAUUAAAACAAGAUAAAAUUUUUUAAGGGUUGUUAUUUUUGUAUAUUUUUGCAGGGUAUAAUUACAUGGGUGAGGGUACAUGGUAGGAUAAAGUAAAAAAUGGGUAAAAACGAUAUGGGGGAGGGACGAAAUUAGGUGUCUACAUAAUGUCCUCUUUGAAUGUAAACAUGAAGUGUUUUCAAACAAAAAAGUAGACAACAAGAUAGAAUUUUGUCUCGACUAUUAUUCAAAGGAAGAAACAGAAAGAAGAAGAACAACCGAGUUCUGGCUUAAGCCAUCCUACCCACCUAAGUUAUGGAGGAAUCAAGUGACGGUGUCUCAAAUGAUUGGAAGAAAAUGGACUAUACGAAAUAGGAGAGUCGAGUGAGGUUCCAUCAAGGUUUCGUUCCGCGGAUCUGUCAUUACAUCAAAAUGAAAAUUACAAGUUGAAACAUAAAUGAAAUUACAAAAUCUUAUCUAUACAGCUUCUGUUGGACUCCUGACUUAAGUUUCAUCACCCUAUUCUUCAGCUGGGCUCCUGACUUGCAAUUUCAUCACUUGUUGCUUGGUCUUCAAUUGCUUCACCUUAUUGCUUAACUUUCCAUUUAUUCGCCUUGUGCUUCGGGUGGGCUCCUGACUUGUAAUUUCAUCACCUUGUUCUUUAGGCGGGCUCCUAACUUGCUAUUUCAUUAAUCUGUUAACUUUCAACUUUUCACCAUGUUUCUUGACUUUCAACUUCUUCACCAUAUUUCUUGAAUUUUCAUUUAUUCGCCCUACUCUUCAGGCGGCCUCCUGAAAUCACAUCAAAACUGAAAAGAAAAUUAUUCUAAACAAAGAUUAUUAUAAAGAGGUUUCAUUUGCCAGAAAAGUGAAGUUUCAACACAAGAAUUAAAUUUUUCCCCAGUUUAUCAUCAAAGGACUUUUGCGAAAGUCACAUCAUUAUAGAAAUCAAGGAGAAUGACUCGAAUAUAAGGUGCAUCUGAUUGGAAUCAAAGGAAUUGACUCGACUAAAAGGUACGUCUUCUAGGGGUCAAGGAGAAUGACUUAACUAAAAGGUACGUUUUAUAGGAAUCAAGGGAGAUGAUUCGACUAAAAGGUACGUCUUACUAGGAAUCAAGGGAGAGGACUCGACUAAAAGGUAUGUCUUAUAUGAAUCAACGGGAAUGACUGCUGCCUUGGGAUUUAUAUCCGCCAUUUGAUUGAAAUGGUCUAAAAACUACUAUCUACUAUAUGCUUUAGAUGAUCUAUAAAAAAAGGCCACGACCCUUUCGUUGUGAAAGUUGGUUAGAAUGUUCUCUCCAAGUUGCCUGAUACAAUAACUAAAGUAAGCAAAAGUGAAGAAAAUUGAACCCAUCUUUGGAAUACUUGGAUGCCUAUCCAAAAUAAAACACAACUCUGUAUUAUCUUUGAUGCAGCUUCGCAGUUGUUCAAAAAAAUAUCCAUAAAAGGCAUCAUAUUCCUUGUUCGCUACACAAAAAGUGAUAGGAAAUAUGUGAUUCUCUACAUCCUGUGCCACCACCGAUAGCAGAACUCCAUUUUACCUGCUCUUCAAGAAGGUACCGUCAACGGCUAUGCCUUUUAUCAAAUGUCAAAACCUUGAAUCUAAGUACCAUAGGAUACAAAAAAGUAUUUGAACUUUCCGUUUUUAUUAACAUGCAAUGCCGUCUUACUUUCGAGAUUUGUGGACCCAAGAAUGUAACGGUAGGCAUUGAGGACUGCAUACCCAUGCUCGUGUGUCCCCCUAACCAAGUCCUUGACAAUCCCCAUAGUCAUAUAUAUCUUCCAAUAACUGACCAGGACACACAAUUUCAUAAGGAGUUGAUUGUCUAUAACCCUUAUAGAAGGGCCUUUGCCAUCGGGGAAUUUAUUCUUAAAAUAUUCAUAAGGACCUUUACCGUGGCGUGAGGAUUUUGGCCCGAGAUAUGCUCCAAACCACAUAUGUGAUACAUUUUAUGUAUAUGAAUGACGAAUCUAUUAAAACUUAAGUACUUCACCACUCUUAACCACCACUUGUAAUUCAGAUUAGCAUAUUUGUAGCAAAAGACUUUGCUCGAAUUAAUCACCUUCAUUAUUCUAAAAUCUUUUUUCAAGAAAGAAAUAACCAAAGUAGUAGAUAGUUCUUUAUUGUCCUUGAAUGAAAUUCUCUUGUAAAAGCUGGUCUCAUCAUCUUGAUGAAUGUCAGACUGUGUCGAUCGAGAAGAACUGCCCACUUUAUUGGUCGCAUCAACGGGCGUAGGUAUUUGAUCAUCAUCUAGAAUGUUCAUGUCUAGAUCAUCUAACCUAUCAUCAAAGAAGUCUUGUUGUUGUUGUUGUUCUUCUUCUUCUUCUACAUUUUAGUUCUUAUUCUCUCUCAUAUUUUCAACCACGUACACCCUUAACACUUACCUGGAUGAAUCACCAAAAGAAGAACGCAAUUGAACCUGAUCGAUUAUCUUGAAAGGUAGUACCCUCUGAUUUUCCAAGGAGCUGUGUAUGUUCAGUCCACAAUAGAUGAUGAUUAAGUUCACAAAAUUAUCAUACAAAACAUCACUUUAGACUAUCAUAGCUAUUCUCUCUAGCAUUUUACCCUCCUUCCAAUACCAUACAUAUCGAUUGCUCUUGUCAAUUUAUUGACCAUGACAAUCUACCCCUACUGUUAUUAAUCCUUCCAUUAGUUGUACCUAAAUAAAGUCAUUUGUUAAAAAAAUUUAAUAGCGAUUUCAUAGUGCCAUAACAUGAAUCCUAAUAGAUGUGUAAUCUAUUGCAAUAGGUAAGUGAUCAGUCACAAUAGAUUACUUACCUAUUGGGAUUCAUGUUAUGCAUCUGAAGUUGAUUUCAAUAGAUGAGUCAUCUGUUGUAACGGGAAAAUCAUAUAUUGCAACAUACUAUACAUCUGUUGCAAUAAAUAACAUGUCUAUUGGAAUUGACUUCAGGUUCUGUUGCAACAAGUUACUAAUCUAUUGCAACAGAUUCUUACUAUGUUGCAACAGCCGACACGUCUGUUGGAAUCAAGUUCAGGUUCUGUUAUAAUAGAUAUUUACCCUGUUACAACAAAUAACUAGUUUAUUGUAAUAGAUGACCCAUCUGUUCAAUUCAUGUUACGACAAUAUAGAAUCAUAAACAUGAAUCCAACAUAUUGUUAUACCCUUUUUUCACUCCAAAAAAAGAAUGAUUUUAAGUUUCGAAAGGGUUUUCAUUAUUAAGUGACAAAAAUAAAAAUUUGUUUCGAAAAGUACUUUUAUAUUCAAAAUUCAAAGUCGCCACUUGGCAUAAAUCGGGUGUGCCAGUUACUUUUGAAAAUCCUUUUUCAAAAUAGUUUUGACUCUAAAACUGAUCCGCGAAUAGAGAUUCCACUUAGGGAAUUCUGUUGACCGAGGGGAAGGUGUUAGGCGCCCCUCAAUCCCGUGGUUCGACCAUGGUCACUUAGUGGAGCGUACGGCUAAUUUGACAUUACGAAUGUAUAAACCACACCAAAAAAACACAUAAAACAAUCAAUCAAACACACAAAAAAAAUAAAUCUAAAAUAUAGUGUCCGGUCCAAUUAUACAGUCCAAAAAUAGAAAAAAUACGAAAAUAUAAAUCCUAUUUUAAGCUAAUCCUGAAACUAUGCUCCAAUGCCUUACCCCGAUGCCUCAGGGCUUGAUCACGAACCUCCUUUGCAUACAUGAUAUGUCAGGGCAUUCCCCGGAUAAAUCAAUACAAAUCCCUCGGGGAAUUCCCUGGCCAAAUGAGUACAUUUUUAAAGUAAUAAAGAUGGAAAAAAAUCACUCAACAUAAAUAUUUGCACAUUCGAUAAUUAGAAUCCUAUGAGUUGUCUAUCCCAAAUUCUAGAAUUCGCCUAUAGAUUUAACAAUCUAAUCAUGCUACUAUCGUAUUCAACAAUAUUCAUACUCAAACCAAAUUAAACAAAGUCUUAAUCAAUCUAAAUUUACCCUUUUGUCAAUUCCUUAAUUCCACCCGCCGAAUCCAAUCUCAACAUGAUUAAACUAAUUUGAUACGUGGUUUACCAAUCUAGUUUUCACAUCUAAUUGCAAUAUCAAACAAUUCAGAACAAAGGUUCAUACAUACUAAACACACAAAUCAUUCAGGAUUACUUAAAAUUAAAGGGAGAAAAGACAGAAUUGGACCUCACGGUUUCUUUUAUUCAAUCAACUUGAACUAAUUUCAAUAGCGAAAGAGCCUCGGGAAUCAAUGAACCUCAACCUUGAACUCACCAAUCGAAUAAAACCAACCUUGAUAUAGUUUUUCAAUUGUGGUUUUCACCAAAAAACCGCAUUAUAGAACUAUUUUGGGCAAUUUUGAGACAUUUUUCGGUGAGUUUCAAACAGAGACAGAUGUGAAGCGUAUCAGACUUAGUUAAUUUGGUCAGAUGGAUUUGGGUUUACUUUUUUGUAUCGUUAGAGCUCCGGUGAGCUCCAACAAUGAAUAAAACAAAGAAGAAAGGACGGUAGCAACAUUUUCCAGCGAGAACUCACUGGAAAAAUCCUUCUCUCUUGUGAUUUCUCUCUUUUCCCAUUGGUGUUGUCUUGUCCGAUCUCCCCUCCCCCGUUCCUUCACUAUUUCUGACCUAUAUCCCUCCGUUCACCUUUCCUAAUCUCCAAUUCAUCUAUAUUUCUCUCUUUCCAGUGAUGUGUGCGUAUACUUGUAUGUGGGUGUGUGCAAAUCAGUGAGGAUGAACGAUUAUUAUGAGCUGUGUGUGUAGUGUGUAAAGAAUUCUGUGUGAAUGAGUGUAUAUGUGAGCAAAAUUGAAGAAUGGAAGGUUCUUGUAUGUGUGCCCAUAAAGAAGAAGGUGAAUGAGUGUGUGCUCUUUUUCUUUUCACUGUAUCUUCAUUGUUUUUCUUUUGAAGGGAAGCCGAAUUUGUGAGUGGUCCUUUUUUUUUUUCUAUUUGCCCUACGUAUUGAUAAUGAGGAGGGGUGCUGGGGUAGGUAGGGUAGGAGAGAUAGGGUGUAGUGAGGUGUCCACUUUUAAUUAGAGAGGUUGUUAGGAUAGGAUUAAAACAAGAUAAAAUUUUUUAAGGGUUGUUAUUUUUGUAUAUUUUUGCAGGGUAUAAUUACAUGGGUGAGGGUACAUGGUAGGAUAAAGUAAAAAAUGGGUAAAAACGAUAUGGGGGAGGGACGAAAUUAGGUGUCUACAUAAUGUCCUCUUUGAAUGUAAACAUGAAGUGUUUUCAAACAAAAAAGUAGACAACAAGAUAGAAUUUUGUCUCGACUAUUAUUCAAAGGAAGAAACAGAAAGAAGAAGAACAACCGAGUUCUGGCUUAAGCCAUCCUACCCACCUAAGUUAUGGAGGAAUCAAGUGACGGUGUCUCAAAUGAUUGGAAGAAAAUGGACUAUACGAAAUAGGAGAGUCGAGUGAGGUUCCAUCAAGGUUUCGUUCCGCGGAUCUGUCAUUACAUCAAAAUGAAAAUUACAAGUUGAAACAUAAAUGAAAUUACAAAAUCUUAUCUAUACAGCUUCUGUUGGACUCCUGACUUAAGUUUCAUCACCCUAUUCUUCAGCUGGGCUCCUGACUUGCAAUUUCAUCACUUGUUGCUUGGUCUUCAAUUGCUUCACCUUAUUGCUUAACUUUCCAUUUAUUCGCCUUGUGCUUCGGGUGGGCUCCUGACUUGUAAUUUCAUCACCUUGUUCUUUAGGCGGGCUCCUAACUUGCUAUUUCAUUAAUCUGUUAACUUUCAACUUUUCACCAUGUUUCUUGACUUUCAACUUCUUCACCAUAUUUCUUGAAUUUUCAUUUAUUCGCCCUACUCUUCAGGCGGCCUCCUGAAAUCACAUCAAAACUGAAAAGAAAAUUAUUCUAAACAAAGAUUAUUAUAAAGAGGUUUCAUUUGCCAGAAAAGUGAAGUUUCAACACAAGAAUUAAAUUUUUCCCCAGUUUAUCAUCAAAGGACUUUUGCGAAAGUCACAUCAUUAUAGAAAUCAAGGAGAAUGACUCGAAUAUAAGGUGCAUCUGAUUGGAAUCAAAGGAAUUGACUCGACUAAAAGGUACGUCUUCUAGGGGUCAAGGAGAAUGACUUAACUAAAAGGUACGUUUUAUAGGAAUCAAGGGAGAUGAUUCGACUAAAAGGUACGUCUUACUAGGAAUCAAGGGAGAGGACUCGACUAAAAGGUAUGUCUUAUAUGAAUCAACGGGAAUGACUCGACUAAAAAAUACGUCUUCUAGAGGUCAAAGGGAAUGACUCGACUAAAAGGUAUGUCUUAUAGGAAUCAAAGGGAAUUACUCAACUAAAAGGUACGUCUUAUAGAAAUCAAAGGAGAUGACUCAACUAAAAGGUACAUCCUAUAGGAAUUAAAGGGAAUGAUUCAAUUAAAAGGUACGUCUUAUAGGGGUCAAAGGGAAUGACUUAACUAAAAGGUACGUCUUAUAGGAAUCAGAGGGAAUGACUCAACUAAAAGGUACGUCUUAUAGGAAUCAAAGGGAAUGAAUCGACUAAAAGGUAUGUCUUAUAAGAAUCAAAGGGAAUGACUCAACUAAAAGCUAUGUCUUCUAAGGAUCAAAGGGAAUGACUCGACUAAAAGGUAAGUCUUAUAGGAAUCAAAAGGAAUGACUCGACUAAAAGGUAUAUUUUCUAGGGGUCAAGGAGAAUGACUCGACUAAAAGGUAUAUCUUAUAGGAAUCUAAGGAGAUGACAUGACUAAGAGGUAUGUCUUCUAGGGGUCAAGGAGAAUGACUCGACUAUAAUGUACGUCUUCUAGGAGUGAAGGUUCAAUUUAAGAAGUGUAUCACCCAGCAAAUGAAAACUGAAAACCCUGGACAAGAAAGUGUGUCUCCGAGGGAUAUAAGAUGAUGAAUUUUUAUCAUGAUUUAAUUGUCAAAACUGUGCAGUAACAUUGCUUCCUACAUUUGUAAAAGUGAGAAAUUACGGGCCUUGAUGUUUAGGCUUUGAAAUCCUUGAUUUGAAGGUAACAUGUGUUCCUAUUUCAUGCAAAGAAAGAUUGUGAGUUUAAAAACAUAGUGGAUGAUUUGUGGCUUUGGCUUUUGUGGCAAACGCUCUUGCCAUUAUCAUAUUUAACCUUGCUUCCAACCAUUAGCCUGUGUCAUUGACUUGUUGCUUCAUUGACCAAACUCAGAUUAUUAAGAGUGACUGAGACAAACACAACAUCUUUGCUUUUCCAUGCUUCUCAGAUAUACCACUUGGAACCUUGGUAUUUUAUGAGUUCCAAGACUUAUUUGUUGACAAAACUUUCUACUUGCCUCAUUUUGGCUCACAAUCAUGUCUCUUUCAUGCGUUGGCCUUUCUGCCUUGCUUUGUACAAUUGAAGAAGCUGGUAGCCAGUUUUGAAAUCUUUUCUCACUUGUUUUGACAUAGACUUGACUCAAAGACAAGAGAAAAAUGACAAUGAUUUUAUUUGGAUAAUUGAAUCAAGAAAAAUAAAAAUAUAACUAUAGAAAAUAAAGAAAUGAUAAUGAAUGUCCCCAUUGAAAAAUAUGAAAGAAAAGUUUAUCUAAAAAUGACAGUCAACUUUAAUGAUUAUGACAUGCAUAUUGGAUUAAACUGCCUGAUCUUUCCAUCUAAAACUCUCACAAAUUGUUAUUGAGUUAAUGACCCUGAAAGUGAGUUGCUUUCUUGGGCCAAUUGCAUUCGGAUACCUCAUUCGGCUAGUAGUGCCUUGAAGGAUUUUCGCCAACUAGCCUCUCUCAUUUCCUUUUAUCACCUGACCAUAGCCUUAUAGUAUCCGAGAGGGUUUUUUACCAAUAAGAUUCCCUUAUUUUUAUUUCUUUCAACUCACAGUCGUCUCACAGUGCCCAUAAGGGUUUUUACUGAUAAGACUCUCAUUUUUAUCUCUCUCAACUUACCAUUAUCUUACGGUGCCCGUGAGGGUUUUCACCAAUAAAUCUCUUAUUUUUAUUUCUCUCUUAAUUCCUUAUACCGAGGAAGAUAAGUAGUAUUCAAAAUGCGUCAUCACAUUCAUUGUAUGCCUAGCCCUAACAUUCUCAAAGAUUGAUCUGAAGGUCUUUUUUUAGUUGUAACUUGGCUUUUGAUAGGUUUAGAAAGAAAGAAUGACAUUGGGCCUAAAUAACACCUGAAAUGGGGUAUGACUUACAAUUUUUGGAAUCGACUCAAACAAUGAGGAUUAACUCAUGCCCCAGUUUCUUUUGACUGGGCAAUUUUAAAUUGUUUAUUUCGUUGGACUGAGAUCGGAGUAGGGCAGCCUAUGUAUCUCACCCCCGAGAGAGGAGAAUCAGGUCAUGCGUAGUUCUGGCAACUUGUUCUUUCUUUUGAUCUGGUUUUUCUUUCUUUUUUUUUCUUUUCUCUUUGGGAAUUUUUUUAUUCCAUUUUUCUUGACACACAUCUUUUCUUUAUUUUUUGACACAUUUUUUUCUCUUUUUUUUAUGAAGCUUUUCUAAUUUAAUUCUUUUGUUCGACAUUCUUCUUUUGAGCUUUGCUGACUCUAUCUUGAUUCCAAAAGAGAGGUAUGAAAGAAAAUAGCACUAAGGUUCAAAUAGGGUAAACAAAGGAUGGCACAAUAUUUGAAUAGCAGAAUAAAAUGCCUUCGUCAUAUCAACCCUUGAAAAUGUAAGUACAAAUCAUGCAAUAUAAAAGUAAAAGAUGAAGAUCAUUUGAGAUAUCUUUUACAGCAUUAACUCUGACUGAGUUUGUACGUCACUAUUUCUUCUGCACUUUUCUGGCAUACAACUCUACUUUUGUUGUGCAUUCCUCACAUUGAAUGAUUCAUGCUUUUGUGGAGCUGAUUUUUUAGUUACUUUUGAUAGGAUCACACAGACACUGUUUGACAUAAUUGAGCUAUGCUUUUCAAUUGAUGACCAAGUUAUUCUUGUGAUUCUCAAAAUAAUCGCCUUAAUUUUGAAAGAAGGCUUCAACUUGUCACCAAAUGUCUCAUCACUCUACCUAUUUUCUCAGAUGUUUUUUCUAAUCUUAGCCCUCUGAUUCCAUGUUUCAUGGUUAAAUUAGACUUUAAGAUCUGGCUGAAAAUUUUGCAAGCAUGUCAUAUCACUAGAGUCAACAUAAAAUGUACUGUAUAAAGAAAACAAACAAAAAACACAUAUUUAAAACACAAAGGAAAAAGGACAAUUCAUUUAGUUGAAAUAAAAGAUAGAAGGGUUUGAACAUAAACAACAAAAGGACAAAACAAGAUAGAUCCUGAACUACAACCCUGAAAUAAUUCAAAAAAUAGAAAAGAAAAGAAAACAAACUAACAAACUUCUUUCUAGUAGGAAGAGGGGUGACUUCUCAAUUGCUUAGCCUGACAACUUAGCCACUGGUUUGCAUAUCAGCAUAACUAGAGCUUCCCUUACUAUCAAUGUUCUGCACCAUAAUUGAUCUAUCUUGAAUCAUCUUUUCAAUUUCUCUUUUCAAAUCUUGACAAUCUUUAAUACUAUGACCCUGAGCAUCAGAAUGAUACGUACAUCGUACAUUAGGAUCAAAAUUUCUUGAACGCCGAUUAAGAGUGCACCCAAGGAGAAGAGUGAUCCUGCCCCAUUGUACCAAUUUCUAAAAUAAACUGGCAUAUGACUCUCCAAUUGGUGUGAAGCUAUCUCUCAAUUUCUGCCUCAUUUCAUCGUUUGACUUGGAUCGAAAAUCAGGCUUAGAAGAGUUUUGGUAUGUUUGUGGAGUUAGAGGAUGACUCUGAGGAGUUGGUAUGUUCCACUGUGGGUAAGAUGAGGGUUGAAUAUGAGGCUGUACAUUAUAUACUGGAUAUGGAGGUGGAGGAGCAGAGUAUAAUGGAUUUUGGGAGUGAUUAUGUAGAGCUUGGGCAUGAACUUGGGUUUUUGCCUAAGAGUGAUUACGAUGGGGUCUUCUUGACCGUUCCUGCUGUCCAACUACAAUAGAAGAUGCGUCUUCCUCAUUUUUUGUCUCCCCAAUACUUCCUGAACCCUUUUGAAUUGCUUGAAUAGUCUCUUUCAAUGUUACCAAACUUACAAUGCGACCCGUCUUAAUUCCCUCUUCUAUCAUCUCCCCCAUUUUAAGGACCUCAAUAAAUGAUUUGCCCAAUACAGUUAAUAAGUAUUGAUAAUAUAUUUUAUCCUGUACUUGAAUAAACACCUUCACUAUUUUGCUUUCUUUCAUUGGCGGUUUCACUCUAGCCGCUUGUUCGCGCCAUCUGAUCGCAUACUCCCUGAAGCUCUCUGUAUUCUUCUUCAUACUUGUUAGGGAUUUUUUGCCAGGGAUCAACUCCACAUUAUAUUAAAAUUGUUGUAAAAAUUCAUUAUCUAGGUCAUCCCAAUGAAUCCACUUGUCGAUGUCUUGGUCAACAAACCAUUCCAAAGCUAGGCCUAAAAGACUCUCCCCGAAAUAAGCCAUGAGUAGUUCUUCCUUCCCUCCAGCGCCUCUUAAUUGGUUACAAUAGCGCCUCAAAUGUGCCACUGGGUCCCCAUGUCCAUCAUAUUCCUCAAACUCUUGCAUUUUAAAGCCAGGAGGAAGGUUGGCACCUGGAAACAUGCAUAAGUCCUUAUAUGAGGCACUUUUGUCCCCCAAGUCCUUGCAAGUUCUUCAUAGCUAGUUCUAAACUUCUCAAUUUUCUGAUCAUUUCCUCUUGUUCUUCUGUCAUAACAGGCUUCUCAGUGUUAGGAGGAAAUUCAGGCGGGUGAGUAUCACCAUAAAGACCAGUCAACUUGAAUGUAGGUUCGAAAGUGUAACGCUGAUCACCACUAAUAUUCAAGCAGGCUCUCUUGUAGAGUAGGGAGGCACAACUUAUGGAUGAACAUCAAAAGUAGGAGCUUUAGGUAGGGGUGGCACCGCAAAAGAAUGAACAUCAGGUGGAGCCGAGUAUGUGGUAGUCUUGGAUUAUGGAGUGAGAAAAUAAACAUUAGAAGUGGUUGGAUAUUGUUUCCCCAGAAUCGAUCCUGAUGCAUGUUGUGGCAUAUCAACAAAAAUGGGAAAUUAUGCAUGUGACACGGGAGGCAAGCUAGAAAGAUAUUCCAGAUUAUCAGUGAGAACUGGAGGAGGCGGCAACCCAUUAGCCCAAGCUCGAUGCAUUUCUAUCAUUUGCUGCCUUAAUUUCUGAAUCUCUUUAUUAGAUCCUAAAUUCUCAUUUCCCAAACUCCCUAUCUGGUUAGUCACAACAAACUCGGUAUCCUUGUAGGCCAUAACCAUCUCUGUGACUUGGUGCAAUAUGGAGGACUAGCCAAAAUGCCAUAAACCAACCACCUCAAACUAACUAAAAAAGAGAUAGCAAAUGCGUUAGAGUUCAACACUUUCUCAAAAUCUCUCCAUUUUUUUUAUUUUUUUUGAAAAGAUCACCGAACCUAAGAAAGGCGCCUACGUAUCUCACUCCCGAAAGAGGAGAAUCAGGUGUGUGUAGUUCGUGAAGUCUUGCCAAAAUGGCCAAUCAAACUCUUUUUUUUCUUUUUUCUUGAAACUUUACAAAGAAAAGAAAAUAACAAAUUGUCAAAAGAAUUGACGAAAAUAUUUUUGAAUUUUUCAGCUUUAAUAACCUAUAAAAAAUGAAACCUAUGAUUACCAAAGAAACUCUUUUUGGGUUUUCAAUUUUGCACUUCAUACGAAAAUGAAACUUGAACCUAUUAAAGGAAAAUCUUUUGUAGUUUUCUUUUAUUGAUGCAUAUGACACCUACUCUAAAUCUUUUUUUUUUUUUGUAUUUUUCUUUUCAAGACAUGUAUGAAACACCUACUCAAAAAGAAAAGUGAAAAAAAUCUUUUUGAAUUUUUUAAAUAAGAUUCCCGAACCUAUAAUAGGCUACCUACGUAUCUCACUCCCGAGAGAGGAGAAUCAGGAGUGCGUAGUUUGUCUAGAUUGAACAAUUAAGGAUUAACUAGCAAACUGAACCCAGAUUUAAGAGACACUACCAAAGAAAAACAAUAAAAGCCGUUAAUAAAAUAUUUUUUGGGGUUUUUCAAUUUGACACUUCACAUAAAACUGACACCAAUAACUAUGAAAAAAAAUCUUUUUAAAAUUUUCGAAUUAUGAAUGCAUGGUAAAGAAAUAAAAGAAAAAUCUUUUGGAUGUUUUUUUUUUUUUGAGAAAAUGAGUGCAAAAGGUAAAAAAUCUUUUGAAUUGUGAAAAAAAAUCAAAAGCCAUAAAGAAUUGUAAAAACUUACGAAACACUCAUUUUUUUUACUCACCUUUUCCUUUUCUCCUUUUUUUUCAACAGUUUCUUGUCUGCACACUUUACUUCUAACACAUGUUUUUCCCAAAUCGUUCCAUCAAAUAACCACGCUACUCUCAGAGAUGCAACAUUUAGCAUAUACGGAUGCUUUAAAGGCGAGUCUCCUACAAAGGAUCAAGUGGAUCCCGCUAGGUCUCAAUAUGAGGCAGAUAAACAUGACCUAAAGGCUGACCUACGUUAUGGUUCACUAACAAGGCCAUUCGGGGAAGUAUAUAGUCGAUAGUGCCUGCUUUGAUUUCCACCUACUCCAUACAUCCAACGCUCCCCCUCCUAAAAUAAGGGUGACUCAACUAGAGUUCGUGCGCACACAUUCACUCUAAUACUUAUUGCAGAAAGAAUUGACUCGGGUUAUGCUCAUGAUGCCAGAUAUAAAGCGGUAACACACAAUAGAAAACUGUAAACACGUAGCACUCAAUAAUGAUAAAAUAAACAACAAAUGAUAACACAAACAAAGUUUAUACACCCAUAAUGUCAAACUAAGCCGAUACAACUCCAAAAAUAAGCUCGAAUUCUGAAAAUUCCCCAGCAGAGUCGCCAGAGCUGUCACACCCCCUUUUCACUUCAAAAAAAGAAUGAUUUUAUGUUUCAAAAGGGUUUUCAUUAUUAAGUGACAAAAAUAAAAAUUUGUUUCGAAAAGGACUUUUAUAUUUAAAAUUCAGAGUCACCACUUGGCAUAAAUCGGGUGUGCCAAGUCACCUUUGAAAAUCCUUUUUCAAAAUAAUUUUGACUCUAAAACUGAUCCACGAACAGAGAUUCAGUUAAGGAAUUUUGUUGAUCGAGAGAAAGGUGUUAGGCACCCCUCGAUCUCGUGGUUCAACCACCAUCACUUGGUGGAGCGUAUCGGCUAAUUUGACAUGGCAAAUGCAUAAACCACACAAAAAAAGAACAUAAACAAUCUAUCAAACACUCAAAAUAAAAUAAAUCCAAAAUUAGUGUCCAGUCUAAUUAUGCAGUAUAAAAAUAGAAACAAUGCGAAAAUAUAAAUCCUAUUCUAAGCUAAUCCUGAAACUAUGCUCCAAUGCCUUACCCGAUGCCUCAGGCCUUGAUCACGAACCUCCUUUGCAUACAUGGUAUGUUGGGGUAUUCCCUGGACAAAUCAAUAAAAAUCCCUCGGGGCAUUCCCUGGCCAAAUAAGUAAAUUUUUAAAGCGAUAAAAAUGGAAAAAAAUCACUCAACACAAAUAUUUACACAUUCGAUAAUUAGAAUCCUAUGAGUUGUCUACCCUAAAAUCUAGAAUUUGCCUAUCGAUUUAAUGACCUAAUCAUGCUACUAUUUUAUUCAACAAUAUUCAUACUUAAACCAAAUUAAACAACGUAUUAAUCAAUCCAAAUUUACCCUUUUGUCAAUUUCUCAAUUCCACCCCCGAAUCGAAUCUCAAAAUAAUUAAACUAAUUCGAUACGUGGUUUACCAAUAAAAAUUUCACAUCUAAUUCCAACGUCAAACAAUGCACAACAAAGAUUCACACACACUAAACACAUAAAUCAUUCAGGACUACGUAAAAUUAAAGGGAGUGAAGACAGAAUUGGACCUCAAGGUUUCUUUUAUUCAAUUAACUUGAACCGCUUUCAACAGCGAAAGAGCCUCAGAAUCAAUGAACCUCAACCUUGAACUCACCAAUAGAAAAAAACCAACCUUGAUAUAGUUAUUUGAUUGUGGUUUUCAUCGAAACAAUCGUAUCAUGGAACUAUUUUGGGCGAUUUUGAGACGUUUUCUGGUGAGUUUCAAAUGGAGUCAGACGUAAAACGUAUUGAACUUAGUAAAUUUGGUCGAAUGGAGUUGGGUUUAAUUCUUCGUAUCGUUAGAGCUCUGGUGAGCUCCAACAAUGAACGAAAUGGAGAAGAAAGGACGGUAGCAAUAUUUUCUGGUGAGAACCUAUAGGAAAAAUCCUCUUCUCUUGCGAUUUCUCUCUUUUCCUGUUGAUGUUGUCUUGUUUGAUAUCCCCUCCCCUAUUCUGUCACUGUUUCUAACCUAUCUUCCUCCGUUCACCUUUCCCAAUCUCUAAUUCAGCUAUAUUUUUCCCUUUUUGAUGAUGUGUGUAUAUACCCGUAUAUGGGUGUGUGUGCAAAUUAUUAAGGAUGAGCGAUUAUUGUGGUUGUGUGUGUAGUGUGUAGAGAAUUCUAUGUGAAUGAGUGUAUAUGUGUGGAGAAUUAAAGAAUAGAAGAUUCUUUUAUGUGUGCCCAUGAAGAAGCAGGUGAAUGAGUGUAUGCUCUCCUCUUUUUCACUUUAUCUUCAUUGUUUUUCUUUUAAAGAGAAGCCAAAUUCGUGAGUGGUCCCCUUUUUUUUCUAUUUGCCCUGAGUAUUGAUAAUGGGGGGUGCAUGGGGUAGGUAGGGUAGGAAGGGUAGGGUAUGGUGAGGUGUCUACUUUUAAUUAGAGAGGUUGUUAGGAUAGGAUUAAAAUAAGAUAAAAUUUGUUAAGGGUUGUUAUUUUUGUAUUUUUUGCGGGGUAUAAUUACAUAGGUGAGGGUACAUGGUAGGAUAAAGUAAAAAAUGGGUAAAAACGAUAUCGGGGAGGGACGAAAUUAGGUGUCUACACAUAUGUCUUCCAUUGUAACAGAUGGUUCAUCUGUCGCAACAGAUGAUUGAUCUAUUUAAACAGAUGUCUCGUACGUUGUAUUCGCGUUUGCAUGCUAUCUAUUGUUGAAAAAACAACAUAAUAAUAGUUAUAAUAUGGAAAAUUCAACUAAAAAUCAUAAUUUCAUUUACCAAAGUCUCCUAUGAAGUAAUGCCAAAGUGAAAAGUAAUGUAUGAAAUAAAAUUUGACCUAAGAAAUUGGUUAAAUAGCAGCAGUAACGGUAACAACAACAACAACAACAACAAUGGCCAAAAAGAAUAAGAUAAAGAUGAUGAUAAUGAAGCAUAAGAUUAUGAAUAAAGUAGAAGCAACAAUGAACAACAAAAAUCACUAAGAGAGAGAAAAAUAAUGGAUGAGAAGAGAGAGAAAUGUGUUUUUUCCCUCCAUUUCCCGUUAUAUUGUGUAAUCAUUUGGAUCAAAGUGUAAAUUUAAAAAUUUAUGAGUUAUUCUCAAACUUAACCAAAUUUCUUAAUCCAUAAUAAAGUAAUUGUCACCUACACUCAAUUAUUAGGACUUGAGUCACCUACACCUCAUUUUCAAACUCUUUUGUCACUUUUAGCUCAAAGCCCCAUGUAACUACUUAAUACACAUAAUAUUAAAACUAUAACAAAAAUAAAAAAAAAUCAAGAUUUAUAUUUUGAUUGAAUUGCCUCACAAAAUUAACUUUUAUAUGGCACAUUUGUAUCAUAAGUAAAAUAAUAAAGGUGAAAAGGGAUUAACAAUAUCAUUAUAUAAAAAGUUAAAUAGAGGGAUUCGAUGAAUUAAUUAUGUGUUGAAGAACUUGAUUUUCCUAAUAAAGCUAAACAAAAAAGAUGACUUUCACCUUUUAUUUUUUUAUUGAUUAGGAGGGAAUAUUGUCAAAAUCUAAAAUUCUAAUGCCGUGAUUGUAAUAUCCGGUACCUCCUAAGACUAGUCGAAUAUGGAUAAAUUUAUUCAAUAUUGAGAUGAUAAGAUGAUAAGUGGCUAAAUUAUUAACUAUCUAUUAUGUGAAGGUAUUUGAAGUAUUAAAUAAUGUUAGAGGUUAAAUGAUAAGGUCUUUGUUCUCAUGGUUUAACUAAAAGCCUUGCGGGGCACAUGAGAAUCCCCCAAGCAAACUUAAUAAUGAAAUACGUGUGGUGUACAUGGAAAUCCCACAUGUAAAAUUAAUAAUAAUGGAAUCUUUGGGUACAUGAGAAUCCCUUAAAAGGUUGGAUAAGGGCAUUACUUGAAAGCUAUAGUCAGUAUAGCAAUACCACUUCUUAUAGCCUUGGUCAGUAAUAAAUAAAAUUGGUGGUUUGGUUGCGUGCUAAUGAUUUUAAUUGGGUAAUAAUGGCAGGUUGUGAUAACUAACCAUGAAGGUGUGAGUCCAAUGGACGGAUACUAAAAACUCAUAUUUGCCGAUAUAAGGAUUGGUCAUGGAAACCAUAUACUUGUGAGUUACACGACAAUCCCAUAAGUUACACUUGUAUAUAUGUAUCAAGGAGGGUGAAGGGUACACAAGAAUUCCCUACCCCUAUGGUAUCUUUGGUUCAUGCAGCUACAAUACUGGGGCCCAUCCAGGGGGUAACACUGGACCCAUAUAGCCUAUGGGUGGUUUUAUGACGGUUAAGCUACACAUGCCCAGGUUAAUGGUUGUAAAGGAAUUCUAAACCCGGUUCUCUUUCCCAGCACAUAUAUAUAUAUAUGCGCAUAUGUGUAUGGAUGUGUAUGCAUAUGGUUGUUUACCUGGUUUUAAAGGUUGGAAUUAUGUUAUCCUUAUCCUGAGUGCAUGUUAGCGUUCACCCGCUUAUCCCAAUAUGUGUAGCCGCAUGAACCAGAGAUACCAUAGGGGUAGGGGAUUCCUGUGUACCCUUCGCCCUCCAUGAUACAUAUAUACAAGUUUAACUUAGGGGAUUACCGUGUACCCAAUAAGUAUAUGGUCUCUAUAACCAAUCCUCAUGUAAGGAAACAUGAGUUUCCAAUGUCCGUCCAUUGGACUUAUACCUUCACGAUUUGCUAUCACAAUCCACCAUUAUUGCCUAAUUAAAACCAUUAGCACACAUCCAAACCACAAAUUCCAUUUAUUAUUAACCAAGGCUAUAAGAAGUGGUAUCUUCAUACCGACUAUAGCUUGAAAGAAAUGUUCUUAUCCAAUAUUUUAAGAAAGGAUUCCCAUGUAUCUAUAAAUCUCAUUAUCAUUAAAUUUAUUUGGGAGAUUCCCAUGUACCCUACAAGUAGUUUAUUAUUAAGUUUGAUUGGGGGAUUCCCAUGUACCUCUCAAGGCUUUCAAUUAAACCAUGACCACCAAGACCUUACCAUUUAGAGAGGAUAUUGAGAGUGUUUUUGUCUUUCUAAGUGAGUUAUAAGAGGCCACCAAGUGUUAUAUAAUGUAGAGACUUAAGGGUUUUGAGGUGGGAAAGGUCCAAACUUUCCUCAAAAGCUGAAAAUUUGACUGCAGGAGGGUACGACCACACCUCCUAAACCGUACCCUAGGGUAUGAGUGGUACCAUUAUCUCAUACCCUAGAACCAUCUUGGACCCUCAUACUGACCAACAUAUGGCCACUUAGGGCUAACUCAUAUCCUAAUAUACGAGAAGUACCCCUUAACCCAUACCCUAGACAAAAUCUACUAGGCUAAGUUUAGGGCAUCAUACGACUUAGCCAUGUACACCUCUUACCCUAACAUAUGCAAAGCAAGAUGGCUACUCAUACUUUAGAAAGAAUACAACCCAACCAUGUUGAUUAUCAUACGAGAGGAGGCACUCUAAAUCAUACCACAUCAUCUACUAGUACUCAAAAGUCAUAUGAUGUCUACUGAGCUUAAAAUUAAGAAAUUUUCCUAGAGGUAAAGACCCAGGGUAUUUCAAACUCCUCCACUUGGAUCAUGCUUCUUUAAAUGAUGGGUAAAGGCAAGCACAAACACAAGUUAACACAUUAAUACACAUCAAACAUCCCUUCAACCAAAUUAGAAAAAAAAGUAAUAAAAUAAAGAUGAGAAGAUCAACACAUACCUCAAGCAUAAUUUUCAAAAUCAGUGUUAGGAAUGAGUACUUUGGACUUCAUAUCCUCUUGAGCGUCCCAAAUAGCUUCCUCAGACUUUUGGUUCCACCAUAGAACCUUCACUAAAGCCACUCCUUUUGUUCGCAACCGACGAACUUUCCAACCCAAGAUCCUUACUGGGACCUCCUUAUAGGACAAACAGUCCAAAAUAUCAAACCCUCCCAGAGGAACAACAAAUGAAAGAUCACUACACCUUUUUGCAACACAUACACAUGAAAUACUGGAUAAAUGGAACUCAUGCUAGAUGGAAACUCCAAUUCAACUUACAAUUUCCCAGAGACACACCACUAUGAGAUCCUGAAUCUAGCUACACACUACUUCCAAAUUUAAGCCUAUUCAGGUCUAAAAGAAUUUAACUUAGUGAAAUACCCUGGAUUUUGAACCUUAGAAAAUUUCCUAAAUUUUUGGUUUUUAGUCAAGAUACGACUAGAGGGUACAGGUCAUAUGCUGGAGUACAAUUGGUAAGGAUUGGUUGUACACUAACCAGUGAUGGUUGGUGUGUUGGAUUGGGUUCUGGAAUGGGUAUGACUUAGACAAUAUGGAACUAUUGCAUGGCAUGGCUUGGUAGUAGAACCCUAAAUGGAAUAAAUAGUUUAAAUAGUUUGGAAUGGUUAAAUUGUAAGGUUUAGUAGUCAUGGUUAUGGUUAAUUAAACAUCCUAGUUGGGCAAAGGGAAUACCCCAAGUAAACAUAUUAAUGAGCAACUUGUGGGGUACAUGGGAUUCCCUCAAGUGAACUUAAUAAUGGAACACUUGUGGGGUACACGGGAAUCCCCCAAGUUAACUUUAUAAUAUAAUCUAUGGGUACAUGGGAAUUCCUUUACUUAAAAAGGUUGGCUAAGGAGAUUAUUUGCAAGCUAUAGUCGGUAUGACGAUUCCACUACUUAUAGUCUUAGUUAAUAAUAAUGGAAUAAUGGUUUGGUUGGUUGGAAAUAGUUUUAAUUAGGAAUUAAUAGCAGGCUGUGAUAGCUAACUAUGAAGGUGCGAGUCUAAUAGACGGACAUUAGUGACCUUAUAUGAUACUAUGAGGUACAUGGGAAUCCUCUAAGUACACUGUACAUAUGUAUCAUAGAGAGCGAAGGGUGCUUAGGAAUCCCCUAUUAUUAUAGUAUCUCUGGUUUGUGCUACUACAUGCAUCAAGGCCCAUUCAAGGGGUUGCAAUUAACCCAUAUAGACGAUGGAUGGAUUUAGAAUAGUUAAGCUACACAUACCCAGGUUAAUGGUUUGAAAGGCAUGCUAAACUCGGUUUCCUUCCUCGACAUGGUUAUAUUUAUAUAUAUGAAUGGUUUGCUUACUUGGUUUUAAUAGAUGACAUUAUUUUAUCCUUAUCAUGAGUUUAUGCUAGUCUUUACUCACUAACCCAUCUUUGGGUGGCUGUAUCCCCAAAUGAUAGAGAAACCAAACAUUCUACUCUUUCUGCUUAGUGAUUGAAUUAAGGAUUAACUACUGGAUUGAAAUGGUGAGCUUCUAUAUUCUAAAAGGCUCUAUUUCAUAUCAUGGAUGUCUUUACAUACUUGGUUUAUUUUAUAGAUAUUGGUUUUUUCUAUGGUUGGGUGCAUGUCCCAACCAAAUAUUUUUUUUGGAUAGAGGCUUGUAUGACUCUGUAGAUUAGAAUGAGAGGGAUCGGUAUUGGUGUCACCCAUAGUAUUGGCAUUGGUAUUUAGGCUAAUACCGUUGGACUGAAUUUAUGAUUGUUCCAUCCUCUUUUAUUUUGGAUUAUAUAUAUUUAUAUUGGAAUUCAUUUGGUUCACAGUUUGGUUUUGUAGUGGUUAUUGGUUGGAUAAUGGAUAGUUGGACUUGUUUGGGUUAGUCAUGAUUAUAGACCUAUCCCAGAGUCUUAGGUUAUUCUUAAUUGCUAUCGUUAUAUAUAUUUGAGAUUUAUUCGACUCAGGAUAUAUGUAGGUUAUUUGGGUUAGGUAACAGGGGCCGUCUCCAGUCUUAGUUAGAUAUAGGAUAUCUAUUAUAAUAAGUCCUUAGUUUAAGUCGUGUCAAGUUGGUAUCAAAGCUUUAGGUUUAUGGUCAAUUGGGAGUCCUCAAGCCACGUCGACCAGAGUCUUUUUUAAGGGUGUGUAGUACGCCACACUUAUAAGGAAGAGGCUACAAAAUAUAUAGGAAUAUUUUACUUUCUUAGUAUUCUAUUUUCAAGCUUGGAGUCUAAGUCUUGGAAUCUUAUCUCAUUUUGGUUUUUUUAUUUUUCAAAUUAUGCCUCGACAAUCUGAGAUGCACGGUAUCUCUUAUGUUCUAAUUAGGGACCAUGUUGAACGAACAUGAGGGAUCCAUACUCGAUCUAGAGGUCUGGUCCUUGAUAUUUCUAGAGUUUCACCAGUUGGUACUCGUCUUCCUCGGGAUAAGGUGACAAAUGCAUUAUUUCAUCAAUUGAUUCAUGUUAUUGCACAGUUGGUUACUCAGGUUAAGCGGGAUGCAUCUGGUGUUACAUCUCUUGAGGCCAUAAGGGUUAGCCAGUUUAUGAAGAUGAAUCCUCCUAAUUUUACUAAUGUGAAGGUAGAGGAGAAUCCUUAGGGUUUCUUGGAUGAAAUGUAAAAAAUCUUUACAGUGAUGCAGUCCAUAAAUAUGGAAGGGGUGAUUUUUACUGCUUACCAGUUUAAGGAUAUGGCAUACUAAUAACACAAGGAGUAGGAUAGGGUAAGAGGUAAUGUUGAGGAGUCAACAUUAUAGGGGACUUUUUAUAAUACUUUUUAGGACCACUUCUUUCCUUAGGAGUUGAGAAAAGUAAAGACAAAGGAGUUUGCUAAUCCGAGACAAGGAAAGAUGUCUGUCAAGGAAUAUCUCUUGAAAUUUCAUCAGCUGUCAAGGUAUGCUCCAGAUUUGGUGUCUAAUAUGAGGGACAAGAUAAGAAAUUUUUCUUCUAGACUGUCUUGGGAUUUGACCCUUGAAAUCAAGAUUGCAUUGCUAAUUAAGGGUAUGGAUAUGUCUAGGUUAGUGGUUUGUAUGCAAUAGGUGGAGAAAGAAAAGAGAAAGUAGGAUGAAUUUGGGUAAAGGUAGGGUAAGAAGUUCAGGUCUUUUGAACAAAGUAGUGGGCAACAACAAGGUAGUCGGGAUGGUAGCAAGUGGCCAAAGAAAAAGUGGGGGAGUUUUGGUUUCUUCUCUACAACCAGUGCUCCUUACCCGAAAUAAUUGGGUGAUAGGCGUCAGUAGGGUAGAGAUAACUUUUGAGCAUAGGGUGACCAAUCCCAGGCAAGUGGGUCUCAGUCGGCCUCAUCAUGUGCUCCUUUUUUAUUUUAUGGUAGGUUGCAUAGGGGUUUCUAUGAUAAGAGAAGGGAUAGGUGUUUCAAAUAUGGUUAGCCAGGCUAUAUGCUUAGAAACUGUUUGGUUAGUAAGAGUUCUUCAAGAGCGAGUUAGGCUCUGGUUGCUUCAUCUAUAGCUCCUGAACCAAAAGAUGCUGUUUCUGUAUCUGUUUCUACUUUUGGUACAGGCACAAGUUGGAAUAGGUUAUAUGCUCUUGCUACUCUACAGGAAUCUGAGGCAUCACCUAAUAUUAUUACUAGUACGUUAUUAAUCUUUUCCCAUGACAUAUAUUAUUUGCUUAAUUCGGGGUCCACUCUUUUAUAUGUGACCACAUUUAUGGCUGUGUAUUUUGGUUUUGAUGCUGAGGUUCUUUUGGAUUCUUUUUCUAUUUCUACCCUGGUAGGUGACUCUGUGAUUGCUAAAAGGGUCUAUAGGGUGUGUGUGGUAUCUGUUGGUUGUAGACAAACUUUGGUAGAUUUGUUUGACCUUGAUAUGGUGGAUUUUGAUAUUAUUCUAGGGAUGGAUUAGUUACACUCUUGUUACAUGUCCUUAGAUAAUUGGACCCAUAAGGUUGUCUUUAGGUUCCUUGGUGAACUAAUUAUUGAGUGGGAUGGUGGUUCCCUAGCUCUUAGGGGAAGGUUUAUUUCUUAUCUUAGAUCUUGGAGAUUAAUCUCAAAAGGGUUUCUCUAUCAUCUAGUCCAGGUAAAGAUUUUAACUCGAAAGGUCCUUCUUUACAUUCGGUUCUAGUGGUAAAUGAGGUUUUUGAGGUCUUUCUGGAUGAUCUUAUUGGUGUUCCUCCGGAUAGGGAGAUUGAGUUUGGGAUUGAUUUGGUUUUAGACACUCGUCCAAUAUAUAUUCCUCCUUAUAGAAUAGCUCCUGCUGAGUUGAGGAAAAUUAAGAAGUAACUUAAGGAGCUUUUGAAUAAGGGUUUCAUUUUCCCUAGUGUAUCCAUGUGGGGUGCACCGGUGUUAUUCGUGCGAAAAAAGAAUGGUUCCCUUUGGAUGUACAUUGACUAUCGAUAAUUGAAUAUGGUACAGUUAAGAACAAGUAUCCUCUUCCAAAGAUAGAUGACUUGUUUGAUUUGUUGCAAGGUGUUAAAUUCUUUUCGAAGAUAGAUCUUUGGUCUGGGUAUCAUCUCUUAAGAUUAGGGAGGAAGAUAUCCCUAAGAUGGCUUUUCGUACUUAGUAUAGGCACUUUGAGUUCCUAGUUAUGUCAUUCGAUUUGACUAAUACCCUAGUGGCAUUUAUGGAUUUGAUGAGCAGGGUUUCAGGCAGUUUCUGGAUCUUUUUUUCAUUAUGUUCAUUGAUGACAUUCUGGUUUAUUCUAAGAGUGAGGUAUAUCAUGUUAAUCACCUCUGUAUGGUGUUGCAGACCUUGAAAAAGCAGUAGUUAUAUGCCAAAUUCUCCAAGUGUGAGUUUUUGUUGAACACUGUAACUUUUUUUAUCAUAUUAUUUAUAGUGAGGGGAUCAUGGUGGAUUCAUAAAAGGUGGUUGUGGUUAAAAGGUGACCUAGAUCUAUGACUCCAACCAAUAUUUAAAGUUUCUUAGGUUUGGCUGGAUAUUAUAGGAGGUUUGUGGAAAGCUUCUUGACGAUAGUUUCCCUAUUGACUAAGUUGACUCAGAAGAAGGUAAAGUUUUCUUUGUUGAAUGCUUGUGAGGGGAGUUUCAAGAAUCUAAAAGAUAAGAUAAUUUCAACUCUGAUUUUGACGUUACCUAAAGGUAAUGAGGGGUUUGUGGUUUAUUAUGAUACAUCUCGGGUAGGACUUAGAUGGAUUUUGAUUCAACAUGGUAAGGUGAUUGCCUAUGCUUCCAGGCAGUUGAAGGUACAUGAGAAGAAUUAUCCUACUCAUGAUUUAGAGAUUUUAGUUGUGGUGUUUUCUUUGAAAAUCUGGCAACUUUAUUUAUAUGGAGUGCACGUGGACAUCUUUUCAGAUCACAAGAGUCUACAGUAUAUGUUCAAUCAGAAGGAGCUAACUCUUAGGCAGAGGAGAUAGUUGGAGCUUCUCAAGGACUAUGAUAUGAGUCUUUACCACCACCAAGGUAAAGAUAAUGUGGUUGUUGAUGCUCUUAACAGGUUGUCCAUAGGAAAUUUAGCUCAUAUGGAUAAGAAGAAAUAGAAAUUGGUGAAGGAUACUUACUGCUUGGCUAAUUUUAGAGUUCACCUCUUAGAUUUCAAUGAUGGUGGUGUGAUGGUACAUGAAGUGGUUUGAUCAUAUCUUGGUAUAGAGGUCAAGGAGAAACAAAUACUAGAUCCCAUCUUGAUGAAAAACAAGAGUAAGGUUGAAGGUUAAGAUCAAUGAUAAUGGUUCUUUGUGGUACCAAGAGAGGUUAUAUGUUCCUGACAUCAAUGGGUUGCGACAAAGAGUUUUGGCUGAGGUGCAUGAAUCACACUAUGUUGUUCAUCCUGGUUCAAGAAAAUGUAUCAUGAUAUCAAGGAGAUGUAUUGUUUGAAUGGUAUGAAGAAGGAUAUAACUGAUUUUGUGGCCAAUUGCAUGGUGUGCCAAUAACUCAAAGUUGAGUACAUGAGGCCUGGAGGGUUGUAUCAGGAAAUUAAGUUACCUGAAUGGAAAUAGGAGGUAAUAAAUAUGGAUUUUGUUACUCGUCUUCCUUGGUAUCAAAACCAAUUUGAGUCAGUUUGGGUUAUCAUGGACAGGAUGACAAUGUCCGCUCACUUCUUACCGGUGCGAACUAACUUCUCGGUAGAGGACUAUGCGAGGUUGUAUAUUCAAGAGAUUAUAAAGCUAUAUAGGGUACCUGUUUUGAUUAUCUCUGAUCGUGGUACGUAGUUUUUAUCUUACUUCUGGCGAUCUUUUCAGAAGUGGCUGGGUACUAAGGUUAGUCUGAGUACUGCUUUUUAUCCGCAGAUGGAUUGGCAAGCAAAGAGAACUAUUCAGACAUUGGAGGACAUGCUUCGUGCAUGUGUGAUUGAUUAUGAUAUCAAUUGUGUUGAGCAUCUACCUUUGGUAGAGUUUGCUACAAUAAUAGUUAUCAUUGUAUGGUAGGAGGUAUAGAUCACCUAUUGGGUAGUUUGAGCUAGGUAAGGGAGAUAUUUUUGGUCCAAAUUUGGUUUAUCAGGAUAUAAAAUAGGUAAAGGUGAUUAAAGAUAGGCUUAAGGCUUCCCAAAUUCUCCAAUAAUCCUAUGCGGAUGUAAGGCGUAGAGAUUUAGAGUUUGAGGUUGGGGAUAAGGUAUUCCUAAAGGUAUCUCCCAUUAAGUGAGUGAUGUAGUUUGAUAAAAAAGGGAAGCUCAGUCCCUGGUAUGUGGGUCCUUUUGUGAUUUUAUGGAGGGUUUAUAACAUGGCGUGCGAAUUGGAGUUUCCCUCUAGUUUGAGCUCCAUUCAUUUGGUAUUUGAUGUCUCUAUGUUGAUAAAGUGUCUUGGUGAUCCUUUUUCAGUGGUUUCUAUGAGAGAAAUGGAUAUCUCGGAUUCUUUGUCUUAUGAAGAGAUACUAGUUGAGAUAUUGGAUCAACAGGUUCAUCGGUUAUGGACCAAAGAUGUUGCUUGGUUAAGAUUCUAUGGCGGAACCACAACGUGGAAGAGGCUACGUCGGAAGCGAAAGCAGACAUGAAGUCCAAAAAUUUGCAUUUGUUUUCUGCUUCAGAUAUUUGUGCGGAAGGUAUGUGUUCUUGAGCGCAUCUUUAUUUUCUAACUUAGUUAAGGGCUAGAAUAUAUAUUUGCAUAUUUAUUUUCUAACUUGGUUAAAGGUUGGAUUGAUAUUUGAUAAUGUAAAUGAAUCGUGCUUGUGUUUGACCUACCUUGUUCAUUAUUUGGGGAUGAAUGAUCCUAGUGGGAGAGACUGAAACACCCUGAUUUUUGAAAUCUUAGAAAAUUUCUGGGAUUUCUAGUUUCUGGUAAAGAUAUGACUAGCGGGUACAAGUCAUAUGUUGGGGUACAGUUGGUAAGGCUUGGUCUUAUACUAACCAGUGUUGAUUAGUGGUUUGGAUUGGGUUCUGGAAUGGGUACGACUUGGAGGAUACGGGUAGUAUGGUUUGGUUUGUUCCUUUACUUAAUAUGAGACUUAGUAACAAAAGUUGGAUCUGGGUACGAGUGGCUCACCAUGAGCCAAAAGAUAGGGUACAAGUCAUACCAUUGACUCGUAUGGAAGACAGUGAUCAAACCUCUUUUGAUUCUAUUCCGCCAGGGAUACGGUUUAGGGAUACUGAUUGUAUAGUUUGUGUACGACACGAAUUGGGUAAGUCAUAUGCUAGACAGUGUUGGGUUCAAGAAGGAGGUCUAGGGUAUGAGUGGUGGGUACCAGUCGUAUUGGAGGGUACGGAUGGUAUGGUGGAGUCGUACCUACCUGCAGGGAUUUUAUACAGUUAAGUUGGAGGUAAUCUGGAUAUUUUUCCACUUAACCACUUAAGGCCCCAUGACUUAUAACUCUAUUGGGAUAUCAUUUACCCUAUUAUUCUAAUCUUAAACACCUAGAAACACUCUCUAGUUCUCUCUAAGUAUCUUGGGUUAAAGAAGUCUAGGGUUUCAUCUAGAGGAGCAACUUGGGGCUUGUUUGAGUGAUUUCUUUCCAUCCACUUCAUAAACUAAGGCAUGUACUCCUCCCUCAUUGUUAGUUCCAACUAAAGGCAUGAUUUAUAUAAUGUUUUCAUGGCAUGAUUAUUGUAUGGUUUUGGGUUUUUAAAUAUAUGUUGGGGUUUUGGUAUUAAAUAUUUGGUUAUGAUUUUCCCAUGUUUUAAUUAUGUUUUACAUGCUUUAAUGGUGGUUUGGACAAUUGGUUGCAUGGGAAUGAUUAAUUUGUAAUUGGAAUUGGUUUUCGAAAAUACCAUGCCCCCAACAUAUUUGAUAAAUUGCCAAUAAGAAUGCUUUUAUUAGAUUAUUGAACUUUUAAUGGAACUAUUGCAUGGCAUGGUUUGAUAAUGGAGCUCUAAAUGGCAUAAAUGAUUUGUAAUGGUUAAAUGGUAAGGUUUAGUGGUCAUGGUUAUGGUUAAUUAAACAUCCUAGUUGGGCAAAGAGAAUACCCCAAGUAAACAUAUUAAUGAGCAACUUGUGGGGUACAUGGGAUUCCACCAAGUGAACUUAAUAAUGGAACACUUGUGGGGUACACGGGAAUCCCCCAAGUUAACUUUAUAAUAUAAUCUAUGGGUAUAUGGGAAUCCCUUUACUUAAAAAGGUUGGCUAAGGAGAUUGUUUGCAAGCUAUAGUCGGUAUGACUAUACCACUACUUAUAGUCUUAGUUAAUAAUAAUGGAAUAAUGGUUUGGUUAGUUGGAAAUGGUUUUAAUUAGGAAUUAAUAGCAGGGUGUGAUAGCUAACUGUGAAGGUGCGAGUCUAAAGACGGAUACUAGAAACUCAUAGUUAUCAACAUGAGGGGUAGUCAUAGUGACCUUAUAUGAUACUAUGAGGUACAUGGGAAUCCCCUAAGUACACUCUACACAUGUAUCAUAGAGAGCGAAGGGUACUUUCAAAUCCCCUACUCUUAUGGUAUCUUCGGUUCGUGUGGUUACACACAUUAGGGCCCGUUCAGGAGGUUUCACUGGACCCAUAUAGCCUAUGGGUGGUUUUAGGACAAUUAAUCUACACAUACCCAGGUUAAUGGUUUUAAAGGCAUGAUAAACCUGAUUCCCUUCCCUCGCAUGGUUAUAUAUAUGGUUGGUUUACUUGAUUUUACUGGAUGGUAUUAUUUUAUCCUUAUUCUGAGUUUAUGCUAGUGUUCACUCGCAAACCUAUCUUUGGGUGGCUCUACCCCUAUGCGAUGUAAGAACCGGCCAAUUUACUCCUCCUGCUUAGCAAUCGAAUCCAGGAUCAGCUAAUGGAUUGAAGUGGCAAGCUUCCAUAUUCCGAAAGGCUCUAUUUCAUAUCAUGGAUGUCUUUACAUACUUAGUUUAUUUUAUGGAUAUUGGUUUUGUCUAUGGUUGGGGACAUGUCCCAACCGAAUAAUAUUUUUCUUUGGAUAGAGGCUUGUGUGACUACUAUGGGUUGGAAUGGGUGGGAUCGGUAUUGGUGUAAGCCAUAGUAUUGGCUUUGGUAUUGGGGUUGAUACUGUUGGACUGAAUUUAUGAUUGUUCCAUUCUUUUUUUUGUUUUGGAUUGUAUAUAUUUAUAUUGGAGUUCAUUUGGUUCACGGUUUGGUUUGGUAAUGGUUAUUGGUUGGAUAAUGGAUGGUUGGACUUAUUUGGGUUGGUCACGGUUAUAGACCUAUCCCAGAUUCUUAGGUUAUGCUUACACACUAUAUUAUUAUACAUUCGGGAUUCAUCCGACUUAGGAUAUGUGUAGGUUGUUUGGGUUGGGUAAUAAGGGUGGUCUCUAGUCCUGGUUAGACUUGGGAUGCCUAUUAUGACAAGGCCCUGGUUCGGGUCAUGUCACUUAGGCAACGGGGUUCUAUUCCUUACAUCCAUCCUGAAUCACAGCUCCGCUUCUAUCACUAUAGUCAAGAUCAUGCCCCAUCAAGAUUCUCAAGUACUCAACAUAACGAUUUGGCAUAUCCGUCAAUCAUAACAUUCGAGCUUCUUUCUUCUAUACCUACGGUAUGGCCUACCCUUCUAAAGAUUUAGUAACCUCUUAUUAUCAUAAGGAUUCUUCACCACCAAAUCCUCUCCUAACUAGUCCCCAUGACAAUAACCUCACCUCAUCCUCCCCUUCUUCUCCAUAACCUUAGUUUUAGUAGUCACCCCAAAAUCUUCCCUUGAAGUCCACCACUAGAAGAAAAUAUAAGAUUAACCCACGACUUCUAUCUUAUUAAACCUAUAAGCACAAUAUUUCUCUCUAAUGGGUACCACCAAGGGCGUACACUAGGGACACUUGGUAAUCCUAUAACUAAAACGUCAUCCGUCCAAAUGCUACCUAAAGUCACGCAUGAUCUUACAAGCUCCAUGCCCUAACCCAUCCAAUGACUUAGCUCCAAUUUUAUCAGUUCAACCUAAAUGUCUGGCCUAUAAGUCACAACUUUCCCAUUCCUGUAUCCCCUAAGCCAUCAACCUCACCCUUUCUGCAUACCUCACUAAGCCUACUAUCUACCUCUAUGAUUCUCAUAUUGCUAUCUCCCGAGCUAACAGACUUCCUUUACUACUAUAAUACCCCAUACUUUACCUAGCUUAGUUUAUCUUUUAGUGUGUUAAUGGUUAGCUUUGAAAGGGUAUAACUCUUGAUGCAUGUGGAAUUUUCCAGAUCUAGGCCCACCAAUAUGUAUUGAAUCAACUUUCUAAUGAUACCAAUUUUUUCUUAAUUCGAUGUUCGGUUGGGAAGUUAUGACGUUUUUAGUAAAAGUAGUAUGGCAUCGCGACAGGCACUGCAUCGCGAUGAAGGACAAAUUUGCUAUUUUCCAAUUUCCAGUAGAGCACCGCGAUUAGCCCGCAUCGUGGUAAAGUUAUUAUUCCCAUUCAUUUCAUUCUAGGAGCUCAUCGCAAUUUACCUAUAUCGCGUCCAAAUUCCAAAAUGGACAGCCACUGCAUCGCGGUGGAGUGCAAAAUGGCACUCAUAUAUUUUACAUGAUGCAAUACAAUUACACCGUAUCACCCUAGAGGCCAAAAUGGCAAUUAUCCCUUAUCCAGUAAGCCACCGCAGUACCACCGCAUCACGGUUGGGCUAAAAAUUAGGUUUUCCAGUUCCGAGUAAGAUUUUAAAAACGCAAUCUAGUCUUUUUCCAAGCCCCCAAAUCGUGUAAAACACAAGAUUAAACCUAUUCUAAGCAUUAUAUGCUCACUUUUCAUCAAAUUACUCACCAAGAAAACCCUAGAACUCAAAACUUAAUCCCUAAGAAAUCAAAAUUCCACCAUUCUUUUUCCAUGAUAACUCAAAAUUCAAGGUUCCCAAUUUCGGACCUUCAAGAAUUCUUCUUCAAUAGCUCAAAUAGGAAUUCGAGUUCAAACUUCCUUAGUAAUUGCAUCAAUUAAGGUAUGUGGGGUUAUGAACAAGGAUAUACUUUCAUCCUUGUACCCAAAAUUACUUUUUAAUUAAAAAUUUACAUGAUUUUGUAUGUUUACCCAUGAAUUUCAAAUUAGGGUUCAUACCCAAAUAUUGCUAUUUGAAGAUUAUGAGAUUUUAAGUGAUUUAGAUGUUGAAUUGCAUGUCUAUUAUCGUAUUUUCAUGUGUAUGAUAUAAAUUCCCAGAUUUAGAAUUGAAUUAUUAUUAUUUUUAUUACCAAGCAUAAACCUUAUGAUGAUUUGACAUGAAUUUGAUGCAUGGGUUAUUAAGCCCUAAUUGAAUAUUGAUAUUUCAAGAAUGUUUGUGCUUCAAGCACCCUAUGAUUAGUUUAUUUUAAGAUUUUUGAUAAAGAUUUGAUAUUUUGAUCUCAGCUUAGACAUGGAAUCCACUCUACAGUCUUAGUUACAGUUUUAAUUAACAUAUAUAUAGUUGGUUUUCAUUAUAAACCAUUAUACUAGUUUUAAAGUGGAAUUCCAAUAGAAUGAGCAUAUAGAUUAAAGGGAGUAGUAUUUAGCACCGAGUUGGGUAUGUUCUUAUUCCCCAGAACUACGAGCCAACGUAGGUUCAGAUUAUCAGAUUACUCCUAUUUCUAUUUGGAUGACAGAUACAGAUGUUAUCACUUAGAUUAGGUUAUACUCCUUGCAAGAGUAUGAUACCUCUCCCCAACGUGAGGUUUUCCCAUAAAGGAACUAGAUGUUGGACACUAUAAUAGCUCGUAUAGUGUAUGUCAAUUAGAAGAAGCUCUCUAAAGCCUACAGACUACAGAUUUCAGAACAGAAUAGUCCUAACAUAAAAACUUUUAGAAACUAAGUGUAAAGGUUCACAACUUUAUUCAGAUAUUGUUUUACAAAAGACAUUAGCAAUAAGAUUUCAGAUUUUAGUUUACAGAUCUAAAAGUGAGUCCUUUCUAAACUUAGAUAGUAUGAUUUCAAGAUGGAACACAAGUACAACUUUUAGAACUAAGCGUUAUGACUCACUAGAUUUAUACAGCCUGCUUUAGAUUUUCAGCUUUCAGUUAUUCAAGCUUAUGUGAGUCAUCUACACUUAGUAUGCAUUCUUUUGCAAAUUUAUAAAGAUGUUGAGAUAUUGUUUUUACUUAUGCAUUCACCCCCGCAUACUCAGUACAACCUAGAAGUACUGAUCCAUAUAUAUGUCUAUGUGCUACAUUGUCUCAUAAUGUAGGUUCAGGUGCUCAGUUUCAGCAGUGUGAGUGAUUUUGAGCAUCUCUAUCUGCAUCCCAACAGUUGGUGAGUCCUCAUAGUUCGGGGACCCAAUUAUUCAGUUUUUUAGCUUUUUAGUUUAGAUGAUUCAGUAUUUACAAUAGUUCAAGUCAGCUGGGGUUUGUCCUAGUGACUCUCUAGUUUUAGUAGUAAAGGCUUGUCAGACUGCUAGAUAUGAUUUAGAUUAUCCAGUAUUGAUUGUUCAGACUCUUGAGUCUAGUAUUUUCAUAGAUUAUAUUCAGAUAAUUUCAGUUAGCUUAGAUAAGAUUCCAUAUUUUAGCUUUGAUUAUGUAUCCAUAUUUCUCUAUUUUGAGCUUCAGAUUUAGUAGAAAGCUGAUAGGGUUAGCUUAAGGUUACUCAUAGUCUUGAGCACUGUGUGAUAUCUCGGGACCUAUUUUUGAGGCGUUACAAACUUGGUAUCAGAGCCUAAGAUUUAUAAGAGUCCCAGAGAGUUAGACAUGCCGUGUUACAUAGAGUCUUGAUCAUGGGUGUGAAGCGUGCCACAUUUUUUAGCAAGAGGCUAUGGGAUAUUUUUAGGAAAUCAUUUCUUUCUUUUAUGAUCUAUCAUGGUUACAGUAUCUCCAUCUAAUUUUAACUCAUGCUUUUAUGUGAUAGUUGAAUAUGCCUUUUCGUCGAGCUAAUGCUCGCAGAAAUGAUAACCAGCCACCCCAGCCUGCUGACCCUCUUAAUGAGAAUGUAUACCAUUCUAAAUUUUGAGUUGCCUUUUAGGUAUUGGCUAAAGCUGUGAUUUCUAAUAUUUAGGAAAACCAUCAGGCGGUAGUCCCAUUUCAGUAAAAUGGGGAUUCAGUAGCAAGCAGAAUCCGAUACUACAUAAGAAUGAAUCCGCUAGAGUUCUUUGGGUCAAAAGCAGGUGAGCACCUACAAAUUUAUUUUGAUGAGGUGAAAAAGAUCACCCAGAUUAUGCAUGUUUCUGAGAUGGAGACUGUAGAGUUGGCAUCCUAUAGAUUGAAAGAUAUAACGUAUGAUUGGGUGGUUAUAUGAAAGAAUGGUAGAGGUAAUAUGUAGCUCAUAUAAGUUGGCAAGUGUUUCAGGAUGUAUUUCUAGACAGGUUCUUUACGUGUGAAAUGAGAGAAGCUAAGGUAGAGGAGUUUGUGAACCUGAGGUACAUCUCGAUGAUAGUGAAAGAGUACUGCCUUAAGUUCAAUCAGUUGUCUAAGUAUGCCCCUGAUACAAUGGUUGACCCUAGGGUGAGUAUGAGUAAGUUUGUUACUGGAUUAUCUGGUUUGGUAGUCAAGGAGUGUAGGAUUGCAUGUUACUGGAUUAUCUGGUUUGGUAGUCAAGGAGUGUAGGAUUGCAUGUUACUGGAUUAUCUGGUUUGGUAGUCAAGGAGUGUAGGAUUGCAUGUUACUGGAUUAUCUGGUUUGGUAGUCAAGGAGUGUAGGAUUGCAUGCUCAUAGGGGAAACAGAUCUUUCUAGAUUGAUGAUUCAUGCUCAACAGAUUGAGGCAAAGAAGUUAAAGGGGAGAGAGAGGAAUAAGAAGACUAGAAUCGAGCAGUUUGAGUAUAGCCAGACUAGGUUUGGAGGGGGAAAUUGUUCGUAGUUUCAAAAUCGUUAAUCUAUGCCAGUACCAUCUUCUGCUUUAGCUCCCACCCCUAAAUCUAGGCAAGAACAGUAAGGUAAGACUUCUGUCCAGAUCUUAGAAUAGUAUGAGUGAAAAGCCCAGUUAUCCUCCAUAUGCUAAAUAUAGUAAGAAUCAUCCUGGUGAGUGCUUGCUUGGAUAGAAAAGUUGCUAUGGUUGUGGUAAGUUAGGUCAUAGAAUCAAAGAGUGUCUGCAUGCUCAGCAGGGAAACAGGGAUGUUCAUCCCCAGACUCAGGAUACUAGUGCACUAGCUCCUCUAGGUUGCCCAGGCCAUUCUUAGGGUGCAUCAUCCAGUAUCGGUGGCGGUCAGCUCCAGAAUUAGUUUUAUGCUUUACCAUCCCAUUAGAAGUAGGAGGAUUCACUAGAUACUAUUACUGGUAUACUUCAUGUCUUCUAUCUUGAUGUUUAUGUGUUGUUAGAUCUCGGGUCAAGUUUUUUUAUGUGACCCCAUUAGUUGCAAUUAAUUUUGAAGUAGGUCCUGAAAAGCUUUCUGAGCCCUUCUUGGUUUCUAUCCCAGUGGGUGAGACAGUUAUUGCCAAGCAAAUCUGUAGAAAGUGUACUAUCAUUGUCCUUCAUAAGAUCAUGCUAGAAGAGUUAAUAGAGUUAGAUAUGGUUGACUUUGACCUUAUUCUUGGUAUGGAUUAACUCUAUUCUUUUUAUGCAGCUAUAGAUUGUCAUACCUGAGUGGUGAAGCUUUAGUUUCCAGAUGAGACAGUCUUUGAGUAAGAAGGUAAUUUAAUGUCUCCUAAGAGUCAUUUCAUAUCCUAUUUUAAAGCCAGAAAGUUGAUCUCAGAAGGGUGUAUCUAUCAUCUAAUCUGAGUCAAAGACACUAAGUCUGAGGCUCCAACAGUUCAGUCAGUCCGUGUAGUCAAUGAGUUUCCUGAUAUUUUUCCUGAAGAUUUGCCAGGGGUACCUCCCGAUAAAGAAAUAGAAUUUGGUAUUAACCUUCUCCCAUAUACUUAGCCUAUCUAUAUUCCUCCAUAUCAUAUGGAUCCAGCCAAGCUUAAAAAGUUAAAAGAGAAACUUAAAGACCUCUUAGAUAAAGGUUUCAUAAAUCCUAGCGUUUCUCCAUGGGGCGCUCCCAUCUUAUUCAUUCAAAAAAAAGAUGAUUCUUUGAGAAUUUGCAUUGACUAUCAUCGGAUGAAUAAAUUCACAAUCAAAAACACAUAUCAUCUUGCUAGGAUUGAUGACUUAUUUGACCAACUCCAAGGUGCAAAUUAUUUCUCAAAGAUAAGCCUUAGAUCUGGCUAUCAUCAGCUUAGAGUAAGGGAAUGUGAUAUUCCAAAGAUAACUUUUAGAACCCGUUAUGGUCAUUUUGAGUUUCUAGUCAUGUCCUUCGAUCUAACAAAUUCCCCAACAACUUUCAUGGACUUGAUGAAUAGAGUGUUCAAAUUGUAUCUGGACAUGUUUGUCAUAGUCAUUAUCGAUGAUAUUCUUGUCUAUUCUCAUAGUGCGGAUGAUCAUACAGAUCAUCUUAGAAUUGUGUUACAAACUCUUAGAGGUCACCAGUUGUUUGCCAAAUUUAGCAAAAGUGAAUUUUGGCUAAGAUCAGUAGAUUUUCUUGCUCAUAUUAUUUCCAGUGAGGGCACUAGAGUUGAUCCCCAAAAGAUUAAAUUAGUGAGAAAUUGGCCUAAACCUAUCUCUCCCUCAGACAUUAAAAGUUUCUUGGGUUUAGCUGGCUAUUACAAAUGUUUUGUUGAUAGUUUCUCAUCUAUUUCAUCCUUUAUGUCUAGAUUGACCCAGAAGAAAGUUAAGUUUCAGUGGUUAAAUUCUUAUCAGAAGAGUUUUCAGGAGUUGAAGACUCGACUCACUCCAGUCCCAAUUUUAGCACUACCUGAUGGUACAAAUGGGUUCGUUGUCUAUUGUGAUGCCUUUAGAAUCGGUCUGGGUUAUGUUUUGAUGCAGAGAGGUAAGGUUAUAGCCUAUUCCUCUAGACAUCUUAAACCUCAUGAAAAAACUACCCAACCCAUGAUCUUGAGUUAGCUGCAGUUGUGUUUUCUGUGAAAAUCUGGAGGCACUAUCUUUAUGGGGUGCAUGUUGAUGUGUUCAUGGAUCACAAAAGCUUACAAUAUGUGCUUACUCAAAGGGAUUUAAAUCUUUGUCAUAGAAGGUGGUUAGAAUUAUCGAAGGAUUAUGAUAUGAGUAUGUUAUAUUAUCCGGGUAAGGUCAAUGUGGUGGUAGAUACCCUUAUUAGACUGUCUAUGGGCAGUGUUGCUCAUGUGAAGAAUUAUAAGAAAGAAUUAGUUUGAGAAGUUCAUCGGUUAACUAGAUUGGGUGUCAGGUUGGUUGGAUUAGCUGAGAGGAAUGUUUGGGUUCAGAGUCGUUCAGAAUCUUCUCUAGUCUCUGAAGUGAAGGAGAAGCAGGAUAAGGAUUUUAGUUCGGUCAACCUGAAGGGUUCAGUUAAAGACCAAAAAGUAGAGGUUUUCUCCGAAGGUAGAGAUGGUGUAUUGAGGUACCAGAAUAGAUUGUGUAUCCUAUGUGUUGAUGAUUUAAGGCAAUGGAUUAUGGCAGAAGUGUAUGGUGUGCGUUACUCCAUUCAUCCAGGAGCCACCAAAAUAUACCAUGACUUGUGGGAAAUCUAUUGGUGAAGUGGUAUGAAGAGAGAUAUCACAAAAUUUGUAGCUAAGUGUACAACUUUCCAACAGGUUAAGGUAGAGCACCAAAGACCCGGUGGUACGUUGCAAGAGUUUGGUAUUCCCAUUUUGAAGUGGGAAGAGGUGAACAUAGACUUUGUGACAGGGCUACCCUAUUCGCGUCGACAAUAUAAUUCGAUUUGGGUUACAGUAGAUAGAUUGACUAAAUCAGCUCAUUUAUUGCCAGUUCACACAUCUUACAUAGCUGAAGAUUAUGCUAAGCUGUAUAUUAGAGAGUUGGUUAUAUUGCACAGAGUUUCUUUGUCCAUCAUUUUAGAUAGGGGUACUCAGUUUACCUCUCAGUUUUGGAAAGUCUUUUAGAAGGGUCUUGGUACCCAAGUUCAUCUCAGUUUAACUUUUCAUACGCAAAGAGAUGGUCAAGUAGAGAGGACCAUUCAAACUCUAAAGGAUAUGUUGAGGGUAUGUGUUCUUGAUUUCAAAGGUAGUUGGGAUGACCACUUGCCGUUGAUCAAUUUUGCCUAUAAUAACAAUUACUAUUCUAGUAUUGAGAUGGCCCUGUUUGAGGCUCUUUAUGGGUGGAGAAGUAGAUCACCAUUUAGUUGGUUCAAAGUGGGUAAAGCCACUUUGAUUGGGCCAGAUAUGGUGUUUGAGGACAUGGAGAAAGUUCAGUUGAUUCUAGAGAGAUUGAAAUCAACUCAGAGCCGUCAGAAAUAUUAUCCAAACGUAAGAAAGAGAGAUCUUAAGUUUGACGUUGAUGAUCUUAUUUAUUUGAAAGUUUUACCCAAGGUGAAGAGAUUUUGCAAAAAGGGGAAGCUUAGUCCCCGAUAUGUAGGCCCCUAUAGGAUUUUGAGUCGUGUAGGAAAGGUAGCGUAUGAUCUUGAGUUACCCACAGACUUGUCAUCAGUUCAUCCAGUGUUCUAUGUGCCCUUAUUGAAGAGGUGCAUGGAUGAUUCAGCUGUUGUAGUCCCUCUAGAAAGUACAUAUAUUCGGAAUAACCUUUCAUACGAAGAACUUCCAGUAGAGGUUCUUGAUCAUCAGAUCCGUAGACUAAGGAACAAUGAAGUUCCCCAGGUCAAAGUUCUUUGGUAAAAUUAAUCUGUUGAGGGUGCAACUUGGGAAGCAGAAGCAAAUAUGCGAACCAAGUAUCCUCAUCUCUUCUCUAUGAACUCAAAUUCAGCCGAAGGUAACACUCUUCCUUAAUUCAGUUCUUUUCUAGUCUCUGAUUCAACCAUAUAGCCACCUUCAUAUAAAAUUCAUGCAUUCGCAAAUCAGUUCAAUCACUCAGUAUAUUUAGAUUCAGUCAUGCUGUUUGUUUCAGUUGUGCAUGCCAACAUAUAAACUUGAUUUCUCAGCAUUUUUAGUUUAAAUAGUCUCAUUCGAGGAUGAAUAUUCCCAAGGGGGAGAUAUUAUAAUACCACAUACUUUUUCCUAUCUCAGUUUAGCUUCUAGUAUGUCAAGGGUUAGCUUUGAAAGGGUAUAAAUCUUGAUGCAUAUGGAAUUUUCUAGCUCAAGAUCCACCAAUGUGUAGAUAAUUAAAUCAGCUCAGUUGGGAAGUUAUGGUGUUUUUAGUAAAAAUAGUAUGGCAUCGCGAUAAGAACCACGUCGCGAUGAAUGACAAAUUUGCUAUUUUUUGAUUUCCAGUAGAGCAGCUCAAUUAUCCCGCGUCGUGGUGAAGUUUCGGUUCUUGUUUUUCCCAUUCCAGAAGCUCAUCUAGAUUUGCCUAUAUUGCGUCAAAAUUCCCCAAUGGACAACCACUGCGUCGUGAUGAAGUGCAAAAUGGCAAUCGUCAUUUUACAGUGGUGCAACACGAUUACACCGCAUCACGCCAGAGGCCAAGAUGGAAAUUUUCCCUUUUCCAGUAAGCCAUCGUGAUAGUACCGCAUCACGGUGGGGCAAAAAAUUAGGUUUUUCAGUUCUGAGUAAAAUUUUAAUAAGGGCAAUCUAGUCUUUUCCCAAGCCCCCAAAUUGUGUAAAACACAAGAUUAAACCUAUUCUAAGCAUUAUAUGUGCACUUUUCAUCAAAUUACUCACCAAGAAAACCCUAGAACUCAAAACUUAAUCCCCAAGAAAUUAAAAUUCCACCAUUCUUUUUCCAUGAUAACUCAAAAUUCAAGGUUCCUAAUUUUGGACCUUCAAGAAUUCUUCUUCAAUAGCUCAAAUAGGAAUUCUAGUUCAAGUUUCCUUAGUAAUUGCAUCAAUUAAGGUAUGCGGGGUUAUGAACAAGGAUAUUCUUUCAUCCUUGUGCCCAAAAUUAGUUUUUAAUUAAAAAUUUACAUGGCUUUGUAUGAUUACCCAUAAAUUUCAAAUUAGGGUUCAUACCCAAAUAUUGCUAUUUGAAGAUUAUGAGAUUUCAAGUGAUUUAGAUGUUGAAUUGCAUGUCUAUUAUCAUAUUUUUAUGCGUAUGAUAUAAAUUCCCAGAUUUAGAAUUGAAUUAUCAUUAUUUUUAUUACCAAGCAUAAACCCUAUGAUGAUUUGACAUGAAUUUGAUACAUGAGUUAUUAAGCCCUAGUUGAUAUUGAAUUUUCAAGAAUGUUAAUGCUUCAAGCACCCUAUAAUUAGUUUAUUUUAAGAUUUUUGAUAAAGAUUUUGUCUUUUGAUCUCAACUUAGACAUGGAAUCCACUUUACAGUUUCACUUACAAUUUUAAUUAACAGAUAUACAGUUGGUUUUCAUUAUAAACCAUUAUACUAGUUUUAAAGUGGACUUCCAACAAAAUAAGCAUACAGAUUAAAGGGAGUAGUAUUUAGCACCGAGUUGGGUAUGUUUUCAUGCCCUAGAACUAUGAGCCAGUGUAGGUUCAGAUUAUCAGAUUACUCCCAUUUCUAUAUGGAUGAAAGAUACAGAUAUGGUCACUUAGAUUAGGUUAUACUCCCUGGCAAGAGUAUGACACAUCUCCCCAAUAUGAGGUUUUCCCAUAAGGGACUAGACGUUGGACACUAUGAUAGCUCACAUAGUGUAUAUCGAUUACAAGAGCCUCCCUAAAGCUUAUAGACUAUAGAUUUCAGAACAUAAUAGUCCUAACAGAAAAGCUUUUAGAAACUAAGUGUAAAGGCUCACAACUUUAUUCAGAUAUUGUUUUACAAAAGAUAUUAGCUAUGAGAUUUCAGAUUUCAGUUUGCAGAUCUAAAAGUGAGUCCUUUCUACACUUAGACAGUAUGAUUUCAAGAUGGAACACGAGUACAACUUUUAGAACUAAGUGUUAUGACUCACUAGAUUUAUACAACCUGCUUUAGAUUUUCAGCUUUCAGUUAUUCAAGCUUAUGUGAGUCAUCUAUACUUAGCAUGCAUUCUUUUGCAAAUUUAUAAAGAUGUUGAGAUAUUGUUUUUACUUAUGCAUUCACCCCUAUAUACUCAAUACAAUCCAGAAGUACUGAUCAAUAUAUAUAUCUAUGUGCUAUAUUGUCUUAUAAUAUAGGUUCAGGUGCUCAGUUUCAGCAACGUGAGUUAUUUCGAGCAUCUCUAUCUGCAUCCCGAUAGUUUGUGAGACCUCAUAGUUCUGGGACCCAAUUAUUUAGUUUUUCAGAUUUUUAGUAUAGAUGAUUUAGUAUGUAUAGACAGUUCGAGUCAUCUAGGGUUUGUCCUAGCGACUCUUUAGUUAUUAGUAGUAAAGACUUGUCAAACCGCUUGAUAUGAUUCAAAUUAUCCAGUAUCGAUUGUUCAGACUCUUGAGUCUAGUAUUUUCAUAGAUUAUAUUUAGAUAAUUUUAGUUAGCUCAGACAGGAUUGCGCAUUUUAGCUUUGAUUAUAUAUCCAUAUUCUCUACUUUGAGCUUCAGAUUUAGUUGAAGGCUGACAGGGUUAGCUUAAUGCUAUUCAUAGUUUUGAGCACUGUGUGACGUCUCGGGACCUAUAUUUGGUGCAUUACAACUACAAACAAUUCCUUAAGUUCCACUCAGUAUCUAUCAACCAUUAUGCACUACUAACAGAGUGCCCCUUAUAGAAUAUGCAUAUGAGGUCCGCACCACAAGGAGGACACCUUAAAUUCCUUAUUGACCCACCGACAACCUAUACAGUCCCAAGGGAAACCAUCCUACUUAUGCAUAAAAGAAUGGAAGCACCCUGUGGAGAAAUAGUUGGACGGAUGAAACCUUUAUCUAAGAGAUCCUUUAAUUUCUCCUUUGAAUCAAUCGGAGCCAUUAUAUAAAGAAAGGAUAGAAAUUAGACAAAUGUCCAAAACAAGAUCAAUCCCAAGCAUAAUCUCCCUAUUAGGAGAACACCAGGAAGUUUAUUAGGGAAGACCUCAGGAAAUUAAUUCACCAUCAGAACAAAAUGCAAAGAAGGACCUUUCGAGUUAGAGUCUGCAACCCGAACCAAAUGAUAGUGACACCCUAGGAGAUUAAUCUUCGAGACCUAUGAUAUGAUAUAAACUUCCUGCUAGGAGCUAGGGAACCACCCUUCCAUUCAAUAACCGGCUCACCAGGUAACUUAAAUAUUACCUUACGGGUUCGACAAUUUAAGGAUGCAUAGAACCAGUGCAACUAAUCCAUCCCAGAAUAACAUUAAAAUCCACCAUAUUUAAUUCAAACAAAUCCAUCAAAGUCUCCUUGAUACCAACAGAUACCACACACCACUAUAGAUUUUUUUAGCAAUCAAAAAGUCACAUACCAGGGUAGAAAUAGAAAAAGGGUCCAAAAUAACCUCAUGACCAAAACCAAAAUACAUAACCACAAAUGGGGUCACAUAGGAUAGAGUGGACCCUGGAUCAGGUAAACAAUACAUAUCAUGGGAAAAGAGUUUCAACAUACCAGUGUCAGCAUCAGUAGAUGCCUUAAACUCUUUAAGGAUAGUUAGGGCGUUGAGACGGUCGUGAUUAGUGUCGGAGCCAGAAGGGGAACCCCUUGGUGCAAUAGCUAUAGAAGUGGCAACUAGUAUCCUAUUUUCCCCAGUGGUAAUCCUUGUGGGACACUCUCGCUGUAUGUGACCUAAUGUCCAUAAUUAAAAUAUUGAUUCCUCUCUUUAUGGCAAUAACUGGGAUGUAACCGACCAUAAAAUUGGCAGAGAGGAUAGAGUGGUGCUGAUCGAGCUCCACCAGCCCUAUAAUGAAUUUUCCUGAAGUAUUUGAAUAAGAGACACUUAAAACUACAUAGGGAGUUCCCAAAAUUCCCUGCCCAGACUAUUGUCCACUAUCUCUACCAUUAUUUCUCUGACUUCUCCCCCACUCUGAAUAUCGAGACUUCCUACUCUUCCUAUUUCUCAAAUUUACCUUAUUGUUUCCUAUACCAAUAAAACUGGAUUGGCAUGAAAGAUAUGCCACUACUUGGGUCAAUAGAUGAAUAAAACAUUAAAACUCAGCAUUGGUAACUUCUCCUUAUGGUAACUGAGUAUGAGUGCCACCUUCUGGAGUAGGGUUAGUGGAGAUUAGUGAAACUCCGCGGGAAAAAUUAGAAAUUACGACCCUUGACCAUAUUUGUUCCCUAUGAAUUAGAUAAGAUCCAUCCAUUACAUCUUCAAGUGGGACAGGUGAGUUUCCAUGAACUUUAGAUCAUCGAGAGAGUAUAAUCUAAAAGGUGAACAAAAGAAGAUUUAGGGGAGAGUUUAAGAUCUUAGACUCUAUAGCCUAAAAAUAGAACAAUAAGAAAGUGAAACAUUUCUAAAUGUCUUAUAGCUUCCUGAUUAUAAGUGUGAUGCACAACACACUCAUAAGAAAGACUCUACUUGACUCGGCUUUGUGGACACCCCAUGACACCAAAACCUAGGCUCUGAUACCAACUUGACACGACCCAAAUCGGGCCUUGUCAUAAUGGGCAUCUCAAGUCUAACAAGGACCAGAGACCACCCUCGAUACCUAAUCCAACAAACCAACAUAUAUCCUUAGUCGGAUGAAUUUCGAACAUAUAACAAGAUAAAAAUUAUCAAAAUGUAAUAACUUUAGGAUAGGUCUAUAACCGAGACCGACCCAAGAAAGUCAAACCAACCUAUAGAAAGCCAAACCCAAUAAUAAACAAAACUAUAUCUAUUCCGUACCCAAAUCUACAGUUGUCCAUCAAAGCCUCUAAACCAAACCAGAGAGUAUUUAGUCAGGACAUGUCCCUGACUAUAGCUAAAACCCAAAGUUUGUAAUAUGGCAAAAAUAUGUAAAGAAAUCCAUGACAUGAAAUGGAGCCUUUCGAUAAUGGAAUCUUACCUCUUCAAUCAAACACCGGCCAUUUGAAAAUCUAAUUAAUGAGUAGAAGAAGUAGUAUGGUCGAUUCUUGCAUCGUGAGCAUUAUAUGUGCACUUUUCAUCAAAUUACUCACCAAGAAAACCCUAGAACUCAAAACUUAAUCCCCAAGAAAUUAAAAUUCCACCAUUCUUUUUCCAUGAUAACUCAAAAUUCAAGGUUCCUAAUUUUGGACCUUCAAGAAUUCUUCUUCAAUAGCUCAAAUAGGAAUUCUAGUUCAAGUUUCCUUAGUAAUUGCAUCAAUUAAGGUAUGCGGGGUUAUGAACAAGGAUAUUCUUUCAUCCUUGUGCCCAAAAUUAGUUUUUAAUUAAAAAUUUACAUGGCUUUGUAUGAUUACCCAUAAAUUUCAAAUUAGGGUUCAUACCCAAAUAUUGCUAUUUGAAGAUUAUGAGAUUUCAAGUGAUUUAGAUGUUGAAUUGCAUGUCUAUUAUCAUAUUUUUAUGCGUAUGAUAUAAAUUCCCAGAUUUAGAAUUGAAUUAUCAUUAUUUUUAUUACCAAGCAUAAACCCUAUGAUGAUUUGACAUGAAUUUGAUACAUGAGUUAUUAAGCCCUAGUUGAUAUUGAAUUUUCAAGAAUGUUAAUGCUUCAAGCACCCUAUAAUUAGUUUAUUUUAAGAUUUUUGAUAAAGAUUUUGUCUUUUGAUCUCAACUUAGACAUGGAAUCCACUUUACAGUUUCACUUACAAUUUUAAUUAACAGAUAUACAGUUGGUUUUCAUUAUAAACCAUUAUACUAGUUUUAAAGUGGACUUCCAACAAAAUAAGCAUACAGAUUAAAGGGAGUAGUAUUUAGCACCGAGUUGGGUAUGUUUUCAUGCCCUAGAACUAUGAGCCAGUGUAGGUUCAGAUUAUCAGAUUACUCCCAUUUCUAUAUGGAUGAAAGAUACAGAUAUGGUCACUUAGAUUAGGUUAUACUCCCUGGCAAGAGUAUGACACAUCUCCCCAAUAUGAGGUUUUCCCAUAAGGGACUAGACGUUGGACACUAUGAUAGCUCACAUAGUGUAUAUCGAUUACAAGAGCCUCCCUAAAGCUUAUAGACUAUAGAUUUCAGAACAUAAUAGUCCUAACAGAAAAGCUUUUAGAAACUAAGUGUAAAGGCUCACAACUUUAUUCAGAUAUUGUUUUACAAAAGAUAUUAGCUAUGAGAUUUCAGAUUUCAGUUUGCAGAUCUAAAAGUGAGUCCUUUCUACACUUAGACAGUAUGAUUUCAAGAUGGAACACGAGUACAACUUUUAGAACUAAGUGUUAUGACUCACUAGAUUUAUACAACCUGCUUUAGAUUUUCAGCUUUCAGUUAUUCAAGCUUAUGUGAGUCAUCUAUACUUAGCAUGCAUUCUUUUGCAAAUUUAUAAAGAUGUUGAGAUAUUGUUUUUACUUAUGCAUUCACCCCUAUAUACUCAAUACAAUCCAGAAGUACUGAUCAAUAUAUAUAUCUAUGUGCUAUAUUGUCUUAUAAUAUAGGUUCAGGUGCUCAGUUUCAGCAACGUGAGUUAUUUCGAGCAUCUCUAUCUGCAUCCCGAUAGUUUGUGAGACCUCAUAGUUCUGGGACCCAAUUAUUUAGUUUUUCAGAUUUUUAGUAUAGAUGAUUUAGUAUGUAUAGACAGUUCGAGUCAUCUAGGGUUUGUCCUAGCGACUCUUUAGUUAUUAGUAGUAAAGACUUGUCAAACCGCUUGAUAUGAUUCAAAUUAUCCAGUAUCGAUUGUUCAGACUCUUGAGUCUAGUAUUUUCAUAGAUUAUAUUUAGAUAAUUUUAGUUAGCUCAGACAGGAUUGCGCAUUUUAGCUUUGAUUAUAUAUCCAUAUUCUCUACUUUGAGCUUCAGAUUUAGUUGAAGGCUGACAGGGUUAGCUUAAUGCUAUUCAUAGUUUUGAGCACUGUGUGACGUCUCGGGACCUAUAUUUGGUGCAUUACAACUACAAACAAUUCCUUAAGUUCCACUCAGUAUCUAUCAACCAUUAUGCACUACUAACAGAGUGCCCCUUAUAGAAUAUGCAUAUGAGGUCCGCACCACAAGGAGGACACCUUAAAUUCCUUAUUGACCCACCGACAACCUAUACAGUCCCAAGGGAAACCAUCCUACUUAUGCAUAAAAGAAUGGAAGCACCCUGUGGAGAAAUAGUUGGACGGAUGAAACCUUUAUCUAAGAGAUCCUUUAAUUUCUCCUUUGAAUCAAUCGGAGCCAUUAUAUAAAGAAAGGAUAGAAAUUAGACAAAUGUCCAAAACAAGAUCAAUCCCAAGCAUAAUCUCCCUAUUAGGAGAACACCAGGAAGUUUAUUAGGGAAGACCUCAGGAAAUUAAUUCACCAUCAGAACAAAAUGCAAAGAAGGACCUUUCGAGUUAGAGUCUGCAACCCGAACCAAAUGAUAGUGACACCCUAGGAGAUUAAUCUUCGAGACCUAUGAUAUGAUAUAAACUUCCUGCUAGGAGCUAGGGAACCACCCUUCCAUUCAAUAACCGGCUCACCAGGUAACUUAAAUAUUACCUUACGGGUUCGACAAUUUAAGGAUGCAUAGAACCAGUGCAACUAAUCCAUCCCAGAAUAACAUUAAAAUCCACCAUAUUUAAUUCAAACAAAUCCAUCAAAGUCUCCUUGAUACCAACAGAUACCACACACCACUAUAGAUUUUUUUAGCAAUCAAAAAGUCACAUACCAGGGUAGAAAUAGAAAAAGGGUCCAAAAUAACCUCAUGACCAAAACCAAAAUACAUAACCACAAAUGGGGUCACAUAGGAUAGAGUGGACCCUGGAUCAGGUAAACAAUACAUAUCAUGGGAAAAGAGUUUCAACAUACCAGUGUCAGCAUCAGUAGAUGCCUUAAACUCUUUAAGGAUAGUUAGGGCGUUGAGACGGUCGUGAUUAGUGUCGGAGCCAGAAGGGGAACCCCUUGGUGCAAUAGCUAUAGAAGUGGCAACUAGUAUCCUAUUUUCCCCAGUGGUAAUCCUUGUGGGACACUCUCGCUGUAUGUGACCUAAUGUCCAUAAUUAAAAUAUUGAUUCCUCUCUUUAUGGCAAUAACUGGGAUGUAACCGACCAUAAAAUUGGCAGAGAGGAUAGAGUGGUGCUGAUCGAGCUCCACCAGCCCUAUAAUGAAUUUUCCUGAAGUAUUUGAAUAAGAGACACUUAAAACUACAUAGGGAGUUCCCAAAAUUCCCUGCCCAGACUAUUGUCCACUAUCUCUACCAUUAUUUCUCUGACUUCUCCCCCACUCUGAAUAUCGAGACUUCCUACUCUUCCUAUUUCUCAAAUUUACCUUAUUGUUUCCUAUACCAAUAAAACUGGAUUGGCAUGAAAGAUAUGCCACUACUUGGGUCAAUAGAUGAAUAAAACAUUAAAACUCAGCAUUGGUAACUUCUCCUUAUGGUAACUGAGUAUGAGUGCCACCUUCUGGAGUAGGGUUAGUGGAGAUUAGUGAAACUCCGCGGGAAAAAUUAGAAAUUACGACCCUUGACCAUAUUUGUUCCCUAUGAAUUAGAUAAGAUCCAUCCAUUACAUCUUCAAGUGGGACAGGUGAGUUUCCAUGAACUUUAGAUCAUCGAGAGAGUAUAAUCUAAAAGGUGAACAAAAGAAGAUUUAGGGGAGAGUUUAAGAUCUUAGACUCUAUAGCCUAAAAAUAGAACAAUAAGAAAGUGAAACAUUUCUAAAUGUCUUAUAGCUUCCUGAUUAUAAGUGUGAUGCACAACACACUCAUAAGAAAGACUCUACUUGACUCGGCUUUGUGGACACCCCAUGACACCAAAACCUAGGCUCUGAUACCAACUUGACACGACCCAAAUCGGGCCUUGUCAUAAUGGGCAUCUCAAGUCUAACAAGGACCAGAGACCACCCUCGAUACCUAAUCCAACAAACCAACAUAUAUCCUUAGUCGGAUGAAUUUCGAACAUAUAACAAGAUAAAAAUUAUCAAAAUGUAAUAACUUUAGGAUAGGUCUAUAACCGAGACCGACCCAAGAAAGUCAAACCAACCUAUAGAAAGCCAAACCCAAUAAUAAACAAAACUAUAUCUAUUCCGUACCCAAAUCUACAGUUGUCCAUCAAAGCCUCUAAACCAAACCAGAGAGUAUUUAGUCAGGACAUGUCCCUGACUAUAGCUAAAACCCAAAGUUUGUAAUAUGGCAAAAAUAUGUAAAGAAAUCCAUGACAUGAAAUGGAGCCUUUCGAUAAUGGAAUCUUACCUCUUCAAUCAAACACCGGCCAUUUGAAAAUCUAAUUAAUGAGUAGAAGAAGUAGUAUGGUCGAUUCUUGCAUCGUGUGGGGAUACAACGCUUGAAGAAGGGUUAGCAAAUAAAUGCUAGCAUGCACUCAGGAUAAGGAUAACAUAAUGCCAACCUUUAAAAUUAAGUAAACAACCAUAUUCAUAUGCAUACAUAUAUAUAUAUGUUCUAAAUCUAUGUCAGGAAAGGGAACUGGGUUUAGCAUGCCUUUAAAACCAUUAACCUGGGUAUGUAUAACUUAACUGUCCUAUAACCACCCAUGAGAUAUAUGGGUCCAGUGUUACCCUCUAGAUGAGCCACAGUAUGUGUAUCCAUAUGAACCAAAUAUACCAUAGGGGUAGGGGAUUCUCGUGUACCCUUCCCCCCAUGAUACAUAUAUACAAGUUUAACUUAAGGGAUUCCUAUGUACCCCAUAAAUGUGUGGUCUCUAUGACCCAUCCUAAUGUAAGAAAAUAUAAGUUUUUAGUGUCUGUCCAUUGGACUCACACCUUCACGAUUAGCUAUCACAAUCCGCCAUUAUUGCCUAAUUAAAAUAAUCAGAACACAACCAAAAUACAAAUUCCAUAUAUUGUUAACCAAGUCUAUAAGAAGUGGUAUCUUCAUACCGACUAUAGCUUGCAAGCAAUGUUCUUAGACAACCUUUUAAGAAGGGAUUCCCAUGUACCCGUAGAUCCCAUUAUUAUUUACUUAGGGGAUUCCCUUAUACCCCACAAGUAGUUAAUUAUUAAGUUUGCUUGGGGUAUUGCCAUUACCCUGCAAGGCUUUCAAUUAAACCAUAACCAUGACCACCAAUACUAUACCAUUUCACCAUUUAAAACUAUCUAAACCAAUUUAGGGUUCCAUUACUACUUUAUACCAUGCAAAGUUUUUAAUAAAAGUUCAACAAUGUAACUAAAGUAUUCUCAUAGGCAUUUUAUCAAACAUGUUAAGGGCAUAGAGUUUCCAAAACCAAAACAAAGUACUAAUGAACCUUUCCCAUGCAACCACAUGUUCAAACCACCAUUAAAAUAUGAAAACUAUAAGUAAAAACAUGGGAAAACCAUAACCAACCAUUUAUAACCAAAAACCCUAAUAUAUAAUUCAAAACCCAAGACCAUACUACAAUUAUGCCACGAAAACUAUCAUUAAAUUAUGCCUUUAGUUAAACUAACAAUGAUAGAGGAGUAACAUGCCUUAUUUACGAAGAUUCACGGAGAGAUUUUGAUCUUUAAGACACUAGAUGGAUACCUUAAGAAAACCCUAGCCCAAUCUUCAAGAGAGAGUUUAAAGGAGAUUUUAAGUGUUUUUAUAUUUCCAAGUGAGUUAUGAGAGGUCACAAAGUGUUAUAUAGUGUGGGGACUUAAGGGUUUUGGAGUGGUAAAUGUCUGCACUACUCUCAGCUUAAAAGCUAAAAACUUAACCGUAGGAGGGUAUGAUCACACCCCCUAAACUAUACCCUAGGGUACGAGUGGUACCCUUAUCUCAUACCCUAACACCAUCUUGGACCUCCAUACUUACCAAUAUACGACCACCUAAGGCUAACUCGUAUCCUAAUAUAUGAGAAGUACCCCUUAACUCAUACCCUAGACAAAAUAAACUAGGCUAUGUUUAGGGCAUUAUACGACUUAGCCAUGUACAACUCGUACCCUAACAUAUAAGAAGUUCUUACUUGUACCUUAGACUAAAUUUAACCCAACUAUGCUAAUUAUCAUAUGAUACGAGGGACCAUAAACUAUACCACAUCAUACUACUAGUACCCACAAGCCAUAUUUUGUCCAGUGAGCUUAAAAUUAAAAACUUUUCUAAGGGUCAAAACCCUGGGUAUUUCGUAAAUAUUUUUUUUGUAGUUUAUAGGUUUUGUAUGGACAACUGUGAAAUUGGGUAUGGAAUGAUUAUGAUACAAAAAUGGGUUAUUAUUUUGGUUUGGUUAUUUAUUGGAUGGAUUGACUUUAUUAGGUUGGUCUUGGAUAGAGACUUAUCAUAGAGUCGAUAUAUCUUAAAUUUUGCUAUCUUGUUAUAUGUUCAGAAUUUAUCCAACUUAGAGUAUAUGUUGUUUGGUUGGAUUGGGUAUUAAGGGUGGUCUCUGGGUUUUAUUGAACUUGAUAUUCCUAUUACGGUAAGGCCCCGAUUUGGAUCAUGUCAUAUUGGUGCUGCUUAAAAUUAUUUGUAUGCUUUUACUACCCAUCAGGAAUUAGAGGCUUCUCCUAAUAUUGUCAUUGGUACAUUACAACUUUUCUCUCAUGAUGGGUAUUAUCUGCUUGAUCCAUGGUCUACCCUUUCUUAUGUAACCCUUUAUAUGGCUAUUCAUUUUGGUUUUGGUCCUGAGUGUAUUUUUGAUUUUUUUUUGUGUCUACCUUGGUGGGUGACUCUAUUGUGGCUAGUAAAGUAUAUAUGGGUUUUUUGGUAUCUAUCUAUGGUAUGGAGACAUUGGUGGAUCUAAUAGAGUUGGAUAUAUUAGAUUUUGAUAUUAUUUUGGUGAUAGAUUGGCUCCAUUUAUGCUACGCAUAUCUUUAUUGUAGAACCCAAAGGGCCAGUGUCCAAUUCACAAAUGACUAAUGAUUGAGUGGGGAUGUAGAUCUUUAGCACCUACGGGGAGGUUUAUUUCAUAUCUAAGAGCCCAGAAGUUAAUUUCCAAGGGGUGCCUGUAUUAUCUAGUUUAGGUUAAGGAUUCUAAUUUUGAGGGCCCUUCUUUACAAUCUAUCCUUGUAGUUAAUAAGUUUCCAAAAAUUUUUCCUGAUGAUUUUCCCUAUAUUUCUCUCGAUAGGGAAAUAUACUUUGGGAUUGAUCUUCUUCUAUAUAUCUAUCCUAUCUCCAUCCCUCUUUAUAGAAUAGCUCUAGUUGAGUUGAAAGAGCUUAAGGAGCAAUUGAAAGAUCCUCUUGAUAAGGUUUUCAUUUGCCCCUGUGUUUCUUCAUGGGGUGCUCUUGUACUUUUUAUGCAUAAGAAGAAUAGGUCCCUUCAAAUGUGUAUAGACUAUCACCAGUUAAAUAAGGUGACUGUUAAGAAUAAGUAUCAUCUUCCAAGGAUUGGUGGCCUAUUUGAUUAGUUUUAGGGUGCUAGAUAUUUUUCUAAUAUUGAUCUUUGGUCGAGUUAUCAUCAUUUGAAGAUUAGGGAGGUGGAUAUUUCUACGAUUGCUUUGUGUACCUGGUAUGGACAUUAUGAGUUCUUGGUCAUAUCGUUCUAUUUGAAUAAUGUCCCGACGAUAUUUACGGAUCUUAUAAACUGGGUAUUCCAUUAUUUUUUGUACUUGUUUACCAUUGUGUUUAUUGAUGAUAUCUUGGUAUUUUCUAAGAGUGAGGAGAAUUAUGCCAGUCACCUUUGUAUAGUAUUGCAGACUCUUAAGGAUUAGCAUUUAUAUGCCAAGUUUUUAAAGUGUGAUUUUUUGUCGCAUGCAGUGAAAUUUCAUUGUUAUAUUGUUUCUAGUAAGGGGAUCAUGGUGGAUCCAUAGAAAGUUGAGGCAAUUAAGAAGUGGCCUAGAUCCAUAACUCCAACUAAUAUUCAGAGCUUCUUAGGUUUAGGUAGGUAUUAUAGGAUAUUUAUAGAGAGUUUUUUUUCGAUUGACGCUCUAUUAACUAAGUUAACUUAGAGAAAGUUGAAGUUUCUGUGGUUCGAUUCUUGUGAGGAUAGCUUUGAGAAGUUGAAGGAUAAGUUUACUUCAGCUCUAGUUUUAACCCUAUUCGAGGGUACCGAUGGUUUUUUUGUGUACUAUGAUGCAUCAUAUGUAAGACUGAGUUGUGUUUUGAUACAACAUGGUAAGGUUGUGGCAUAUGCUUCUAGGAAGAUUAAGGCACAUGAUAAGAAUUAUUCGACUCAUGAUUUUGAAUUACUGGCUAUAGUUUUCUCUUUAAAGAUUUGGCGCCAUUACUUAUAUGUAGUUCAUGUUGAUAUAUAUUCUGAUCACAAGAGCUUUUAAUACGUGUUCACCCAAAAAAAGUUGAAUCUCAGGCAAAGAAGAUGGCUUGAGUUGCUAAAAAAUUAUGAUAUGAGUCUUUACUAUCACCCAGGUAAAGCUAAUGUGGUUGCUAAUACUCUUAAUAGGUUAUCUAUGGGGAGCUUAUCUUAUGUAAAUGAGGAGAAACAAGGGUUAGUGAAGGAUAUUCACUAUUUGGCUAAUCUUAGAGUUCAACUUUUGCAUUUUGAUGAUGGAGGCGUGAUCUUUCAAGAGUUGGUAAAGUCUUUUCUUGGUAUUAAGGUAAAGAAGAAAUAGGUUUUAGAUCCUAUCUUGAUGCAGAUUAAGGAUGAUAUGGGUCUGCAGAAAGUCAUGGCUUUUGAGAUUGUGGAGAUGGUAUCUUGAGGUACCAAGGUAGGUUGUGUCUUCCUAAUAUUGGUGGUCUAUGAGAGAGGAUCUUGGUUGAGGCUCAUAAGUUGAUGUAUACUUUUCAUCCUAGUUCAACGAAGAUGUGCCAUAAUUUUAAUGAUAUCUAUUGGUGGAACAACAUGAAGAGAGAUGUGGCUAAUUUUGUUGCCAAGUGUAUAGUUUGUCAAUAGGUGAAAGUGGAGCACUUAAGGCCUAGUAGUUUAUAUCAAGAGAUUGUGUCGUCCGUGUGUAAGUGGGAAGUAAUUAACAUGGACUUUGUUACUGGUCUUCCAUGGUAUGAUAGUCAGUUUGAUUCAAUUUGGGUCAUUGUGGAUAGGAUGACCAAGUAUGCUUAUUUUUUGCCAGUAAAGACUACUUAUUCUAGAGAUAAUUAUGCUAAGUUGUUUAUUCAGGAGAUUGUAAAGUUUCAUGGUGUGCCUAUUUCUAUUAUAUCAGAUCGAGGCACUUAGUUCUUAUCUCACUUUUGGUGGUUAUUUUAGAGAGGUUUAGGAACUAAGGUGAACCUUAGCACCAGUUUCCACCCUCAGAUGGAUAGACAGGCAGAGAGGACUAUUCGAAUCUUGGAAGAUAUGCUAAUGGCCUGUAUAAUUGACUUUGGUAGUAGUUGGUUUGAUCAUUUACCUCUCAUAGAGUUUGUGUAUAAUAAUAACUAUCAUUUUAGUAUUCGAAUAGGCCCGUUUGAGGCUUCAUAUGGUAGGAGAUAUCAUUCUCCUAUUGGGUGGUUCAAAGUUUUUAAGACUAGAUUUUUUGGUCCUGACUUAGUUUAUCAGACCAUGGAGAAGGUGAAGGUGAUUAAGGAUAGGUUUAAAGCCGCCCAAAGUUUCCAAAAGUCCUAUUAGGAUGUGAGACAUAGGGAUUUGGAGUUUGAUAUUGGUGACUGGGUCUUCUUUAAGGUAUCUCCCAUGAAAGGGUAAUGAGGUUUGGAAAGAAGGGGAAACUUAGUCCCUAUUAUAUUGGAUCAUACUCGAUUUUAAGGAGAAUAGGCAAUGUGUCUUGUGAGUUAGAGUUGCCUUGAGUUUGGGUUCUAUCUAUCCGGUGUUCCAUGUUUCGAUAUUGAAGAAGUGUAUGGGUGAUCCUUUCUUGGUUGCCCCUUUGGAGAGUGUUGGCAUUUUGGAUUCCUUGUUUUAUAAGGAAGUCCCGAUUAAGAUUUUAGAUAGGCAAGUCCAUCAUUUGAGGAAUAAGGAUGUGGUUUCAGUGAAGUUUCUAUGGAGGAACCAAAAAGUUGAAGAAUCUACAAAGCUAAAGAGGACAUGAAGUCCAAAUAUCUAUUCUUAUUCCCCAUUCCAAAUAAUUGUGAUUAAGGUAUGUAUUUUCCUUAACAUCUUUGUUUUAUGUCUUUGUUAAAGAAAGUGUGGUUGCCUUUUUUGUUAAAUCAUGCUAAUGGAUGCCCUAUCUCAUUAUCACGACCCAAGGCUACCCCCAAGUCAUAACAUGGUGCUUAAACCACAAGUAAUACAAAAAUAACCUAUGUACUAGCAUACUGCUUGAGCAACUAAUUUAAAUUAUAUAUAAAAGCUAAAUUUGCUAAGCGGAAGAAUAAUCAUGAGAAAAUCUAAAAGAAUGUUGUAACACCCCAAAUUUUUGGCCCUUGAAAAUUCUUGAGCUUUAGGCUUAUUGCCUUGGUCAUGACUCGUGGUAACAAUUCGUGAGAUAUGGUUAUGGGUCAUCGGACCCUGGCCAUAACCAAAUCAAAAACUUAGUGGAAAAGUUCUUCUCUGAGUAUGAAUGUCUCACUAUGAGCCGUAAGGAUAUGUUAUGAGUCAUAGGUUCAAGUAAUAGGAUGUCCAGUGUUCAAUUUAUUUGGGUUCUGUGUUGCUCAUGACUAUACCUUAUGAUUUGUAAGACCUUAUUAUGAGUGGUUUGGUGGAGUCAUAAAGUAGCAGUGUAUGGGGGUCCUAGUCACUGUCAUGGUUACGAAUCGUGGUCAUGAGUCGUAAGGUGUGGGUACUAGUCAAGGGGUGGACUCGUAUCCAAAGGCCAUUUUUUCCAACUUUUAAGUUGAGGGCAUUUUAGACAUUUCUCUCUUUCCCAACUUAAAACCUAUGAACUAUAAUUUCUUUAGGACAUCAUUAGCUCUCAUAAACACAUCAAAUAACCUCUAAGAACACUCCCAAAUCCUCAAGGUCAAGAACACUUAGGGUUUUCAUCAAGCUAACCAAUUGGGGCUUUCAUGGGUGAUUUAUCUCCAUACUUCUUGGUGAUUAAGGCAUGUUACACUUCCCUCAUUAUUAUUUUAUUAAAAGCAUAUAUUUUAAGGUAUGGCUUUCAUGGUAUUGAUAUGGUUUUAAACCAAGGGUUGGGGGUUUUAAAUGCUUGUAGUGGAAUGAUGUUUUCCCAUGGUUUAAUUAUGAUUCUUCAUGCUUUAAAUAUGGUUAUGAACAUAUGGGUGAAUAGGUAUGGUGAAUGGACUUGGAAACUUUGAUUUUUUAAACUUGUGACUCUUAAAGUGGUUUUGACCCCAACCCUGUACAGUGAAACUGGUUUUUAGUUAUGAGAAAUGUGGGAAUUUUAAUUGUGGCAUUAUGAUGUUGAAUUGAACCUUAUGGAACUAUGUUUUCACAAUCCAUGGUUUUAAUGAACUAAAGGAGGUCGAGGUAUUCUUCCAAAUUAAUUUUAUGAACUAAAUGGGGGUGUGGUGUUCCCCUAGGUUAAAUAUGAUUAAUUUGGCAUGAAGUUAAACUUGCAAGUGACGAUGCUCAUGUGUGCCUUAAUGGUUGGUUCAUUCAUCAAUAAUUUGAAUUAUGUGCAACUUGUUUUAAAUUGGACUUAUUAGGGGCUAUGUAUCGAUGCCAUGAAGGUGUGGGUCUUGGACGACUUGUACUGGAAACUCGUGUUCGCCGACAUGAGGUUUGGUCUUGAUGACCUGUGUGCAUGAGUCACACUUGAUAUAUUUUGGUAUGGCUAAUUACUAGAUGUCUUAGCUUUCCCUCAGAUUUUCUUGGGUAUGUGCGGCUAACACGUACCGGGGACUUUUCAACAGGGGGAGAUGAAUCCAUUUAGCCUAUGGGUGCCUAUUAUGAUGGUUGAGCUACAUAGCCAGGAUAAAAAUUUUACUUUAUGAUUAAACUUGUCCCCUAUCCUAACAUGAUAUAUAUAUAUAUGUAAUUGCAUAUGGUUAUGUGUAUUGGUUUGACUUGGUUUUGAAUUGAUGGUAUUACCUUACCUUUAUCCCUGAGUAUAUGCUAGUGUUCACCCCACUAAUCGUCUCUGGAUGCUACAUCCCUAUAUGAUGUAGGCACUGGAGCAACUUUACUUUUCCUGUACAAAGUUAGUUAGAUCAGCUCAGUUUAUUAGUCUUUGGUAGUGAAGUGGUGAGCUUCCAUUCCUUUGGAAGACUUAGUCAUUUCAUAAGUUUCUUUCAAUAAUUUAGAAGUGAAGAGUUCACAUUAACAUUAUCAUUGUGAUUGUCAUUUUCAAAGUCAGGGGUAUGUCUUAAUAUUUUAUUGGUACUAAUUUGGAACAGGCUUUGACUAUGGACUUUGGAAGGCUUGGUAUGAUUUGGUUUGGUUUGAUUGUUUUUGGUUAUAGACUAUUAUAAUAUCUUUAAGAUUGAAUUUUCUUAUCUUGUUAUAUGUUUGGAAUUUAUUCGACAUGAGCUGUAUGGUUGUUGGUUGCUUGGAUAUUGGGGGUGGUCUUCGGUCCUUUUUGGACUUGAGAUACCCGUCACGACCAGGUGCUAGUUCGGGUUAUGACAAGAUGGUAUCAAAGCGCUAGGUUCAUGAUCAGUUGGGUGUCCAUAAAUUUGUAUCGAGUAUAGUCUCUUUUAUGGGUGUGUAGCGUGCCAUACUUAUAAGGGAGAGGUUACGAGGCAUUUAGGAAUAUUUCCCUUUUUUAUUAUCUAUUUUGGGUUGUAGAGUCUAAGGUCUUGUAUUUCUAUAAUUCUCGUUUGCUUACUUUUCAAAUCAUGCCUCCUAGAUGAUCUAAAGCUCAUGGAAACUCCUCUGUCCUUCUUGAGGAGAACACUAAUGGGACUUGCCCUACUUAUAAGGUUUAGACCUAGUCUAGGGGUCCAAUUCCUGAUUGUCCUCCUGGAGUCCCAUCGGUUCCCUCUAGUCCUCCUCGAGGUCUUCAGGAUGAUGUGUCAAAUGCUGAGUUUCGUCAGUCUAUCCAUAUAUUAGCUUUGUUGGUAGCUUCUCAUUCUGAGGGCGGUGCUUUAAGUUGGGCAAUUUAUGAGGUUUAUGAUGCCACAAGGGUUGGCUAGUUUAAAAGGUUGAGUCCUCCAACUUUUACUGGUGUUGAGGUUGAGGAUCCUCAAGGUUUUAUUGAUGAGAUGGAGAAAAUCUUUUGGGUUAUGCAUGCUUUAGAUAUUGAGGGAGUGGAGUUUGCUGCUUAUCAAUUAAAGGGUGUAGGUUACUAAUGGUAUGAGAAAUAGGGGCAGUCUAAGGGAGAUGAUGUUGACUCUGCACUGUGGGAUAUUUCUCUAGUGCCUUUCUGGACCGCUUCUUUCCUCAGGAGUUGAGGGAGAAAAAAAUAGAAGAAGUGGUUAAUCUGAAUCAAGGUAGGAUGACAGUCAAAGAGUGUGCCUUGAAGCUCUAUUAGCAGUACCAGUAUGCUCCUGAGUUGGUGUCUAGCAUGAGAGCUAGAAUGGAGAAAUUUAUUUCUGGGUUAUCCCAUGAGUUGAUUUUAGAGAGAAGGAUACCUUUUUAAAUAAAAAUAUGCACAUCUCUAGUGCUCCUUGUCUGAAGCUAUAGGGUGAUCAUCAUUUUUAGAGUGAUGAUGGUUCUAGGGAAUAAGGAGCCCAAUCUCACAUUAGUGGGGCUCAUUGAGCCCCAUUCCAUCCUCCUUGUAGAUUCUAUGGGCAGUUGCAUCAUGGCUUUUGUAUUGAAGGGAACAAGAAAUGUUUUAGAUGCGGUCCGCUUGGCCACUUUUAGAGAAACUUCCUUUCAGGUAAUGUUGCUAUAGGGGCAAAUAAGGUUCUUGUUGCCUCUUCAUUAGUUUCUAUACCAAAAGGCGUUGCUUCUAUUUCUAGUAUCGGUACUGGUCGGAAUUGCUUAUAUGUUCUUGCUUUUCGCUAGGACUCUGACGAAUCUCCCGAUGUCGUUACUGGUAUGUUGAAAGUCUUUUCCCCUGAUGUGUACUAUUUUCUUUAUCCAAGGUCCACUCUUUCUUAUGUGACCCUAUUUGUGGCUGUGUAUUUUGAUUUUUGUCCUGAGUGUAUUCCUGAACCCUUUUUUGUAUCUAACCUAGUGGGUGACUCUGUGGUUGCUAGAAGAGUCUAUAGGGGAUGUGUUGUAUCUGUUGGUGGUAGAGAAACCUUGAUAGACUUGAUAGAAUUAGACAUGGUUGAUUUUAAUGUCAUAUGAGGGAUGGAUUAGUUGUAUUCGUGCUACAUCUCCUUAGGUUGUCGAACCCGUAAGGUCAUGUUUAGAUUUCCUAAUGAGCCGGUCAUUGAAUGGGAAGGGGGUUCUUUGGUGCCUAAGGGGAGGUUCAUAUCAUAUCUUAGAGCCCAAAAGUUGAUUUCAAAAGGGUAUAUUUAUCAUUUGGUCCGGGUUAAAGAUGCUAGCCUGGAGGGUCCUUCUUUAGAAUCCGUUACUUUGAUUAAUGAAUUUCCUGAGAUUUUUCCUGAUGAUCUUCCUAGUGUCCCUUUUGAUAGGAAAAUUAAUUUUAGGAUUGAUCUUAUUUCGGAAACUCGCCAUAUCUCUACACCUCCUUAGCUCUGACUGGGUUGAGAAAGCUUAAGAAGUAGCUGAAAGACCUCAUAGAUAAGGGUUUUAUCCAUCCUAGUGUGUCUCCAUGGUGUACGCCUAUUUUUUUCAUGCGUAAGAAGGAUGGUUCUCUGCGGAUAUAUAUUUAUUACCCUCAGUUGAAUAAGGUGAUGACAAAUAAUAAGUACCCUCUCCCUCGAAUUAAUAAUUUGUUUGAUCAACUUCAGGGUGCUAGAUAUUUCUCUGUGAUUGAUCUUAGAUCAGGUUAUCAUCAGCUAAAAAUUAGGGAAGUGGAUAUCCCUAAGAAUUCCUUCAGAACCCGGUAUGGUCAUUAUGAGUUUUUUAUCAUGUCUUUUGGGUUAACCAAUGCCCCGGCAGCAUUCAUAGACCUGAUAAAUAGGGUCUUCUGCUAGUUCUUGGAUUUAUUCAUCAUUGUAUUCAUAGAUAAUACUCUAGUGUACUCUAAGAGUGAGGCAGAUCAUGAUGAUCACCUCCAUAUCGUGUUGCAGACCCUGAAAGAUCAGCAGUUGUAUGCCAAAUUAUCUAAAUAUGAAUUUUGGUUGAAAACUGUUACUUUUCUGGGCCAUGUCUUUUGUAGUGAAUUGAUCAUGGUGGAUCCGCAAGAGUGGAAGUAGUUAAAAAGUGGCCAGACCCAUGACUCCAAUGAUAUUUGGAGCUUCUUGGUUUUUUCGGUUACUAUAGAAGAUUUGUGGAGAGUUUCUUUAUUAUAGCUGCCCCGUUAACUAAGUUAACCCAGAAGAAAGUAACAUUUUUAUGGUAUGAGGCUUGUGAAGGGUGUUUUGAGAAGCUAAAAGAUAAGUUGACUUCUACUCUAGUUUUGACCUUGCCCGAGGGUAAUGAUGGAUUCUUGGUCUAUUGUGAUGCAUCCAAUGUAGGAAUUAGGUAUAUGUUGAUACAACAUGGCAGGGUGGUGGCCU
rnacentral:lncRNA from 1 species